CGCCGCGCCGACGCGUGCCCGUCCGCGCCCGCGCUGAUCGACGCCGCCACGGGCCGCGCGCUCUCCUUCGCCGGCCUCCGCUCCGCGGUGCUCACCACGGCCGUCGCGCUCGCCUCCCGCGCGGGCGUCCGCCCCGGCGACGCCGUGCUCCUCCUCGCGCCCAACUGCGUCCUCUACCCGGUCUGCUUCUUCGCGGUCACCGCCGUCGGCGCCGUCGCCAGCACCGCCAACCCGCUCUACACCCCGCGGGAGAUCGCCAAGCAGGCGUCCGACGCCCGCGUCAAGCUCGUCGUCACCGUGGCGGAGCUGCUCCCCAAGGUCGCCGCCCUCGGCCUGCCCGUCAUCCUCCUCGACGACGCCGCGUCCGCCACCCCAUCGGCGACGGCCAACGUGACGCUCUACUCGGACCUCGUGUCCGGCGCGGACGAGUCCCAGUACCGCCGCCCGCCGACAAAGCAGGGCGACACGGCCGGGUUGCUCUACUCCUCCGGCACGACGGGGGAGAGCAAGGGCGUGGUCCUGACGCACCGCAACUUCAUCGCGGCGGCGACGAUGGUGACGUCGGACCAGGACGAGCGGGGGGAGCCGCCCAACGUGUUCCUCUGCUUCCUGCCCAUGUUCCACAUCUUCGGCCUCUCCGUCAUCACCUUCGCGCAGCUGCAGCGCGGCAACGCCGUGGUCGUCAUGUCGGGCUUCGCCAUGGACUCGGUGAUGAGGGCCGUGCAGCAGCACCGGGUGACGCACGUCUUCUGCGUGCCGCCGGUGAUGAUCGCGCUCGCCAAGCACGGGCGGGUCGGCAAGUACGACCUCAGCUCGCUCAAGUUCAUCGGCUCCGGCGCCGCGCCGCUCGGCAGGGACGUCAUGGAGGUGGUGGCCAAGAACUUCCCCGACGCCGAGAUCGUUCAGGUAACCAACCAGUCAGAAUCAGAAUCAUCCAGCCAGCUGCUCUGCACUUUUUAUCUGCUGUUUUGGAAGGACCAGAUCGACUUUUCAGCGUCUUUUUGUUGUGCUUUUGUGGGGACUGAAUAUCUGUACUCUUGUCGCUUCCCUGAAAAGGUUAAUCAGGUGAUUAAGACAGAGUUUCUGCUUAUAUGAUUCCCGCCUUUAUGGCAAUCAGAGCUUGCGAGUAUACAGCAAUAUGCAAACAGCUAAGAUUUGCUGCUUGAUUUUGACGGUGGAUCCUAAUAUUUUGUCCUGCGAAUACAACCUGAACUACUGCACCACACAGUAAAAGAAUCUUGUAAUGUCUGCAUAAUGUCUACACGGUGCUGCUACAGUGCCACUCUUAAGAAUCAGCUGUGGGAAUACUUGCCGCGUAUGAGUAUUCAGACUUUUUUCGACAGAGGACAUUUCAUUCCGUUGGUAUAUCGGGGUGAUACAACUGCAUCGAUGGAAUUUUGGGCCUCUGCAUAGCAUGAUGCACAUAGCCAACAUGUCCAACACACUCAAAAAUUAAAAAAAGUCUUAUCGUGUUACAACAUUUUUGUCUCAGGUUACUCGUCAUUAAUUUGUAACAAUUAUGUGCUGUUGCAACUGUGAUGCCAAAGUCUACUAUGCAUUCUUAAAACGAAAAAAACGACAAAGUCAACUAUUCUUGUAUCAGUUACACGUUAGUGCCUCUCUGAAUCAUAUUAUUCUAUAAUGCACAUAUCUGUUAUUUAUUUAUUUAUCUGAACUAUUACUUUUAUCAGUUGCAUAGUAGUAGCUGUUUGCUUUCAGUAUCAUGCAUUAUGUAAUGUCUAUCUAAGUAUUUAUUCAUUUAUCUGAACCAUCAAUCUGGGAAUAGAAAUAUGCGCCCUGCCAUCCCGUAAAUAAGAUGUACUCCCUCGUUCCUAAAUAUAUGACGUNNNNNNNNNNNNNNNNNNNNNNNNNNNNNNNNNNNNNNNNNNNNNNNNNNNNNNNNNNNNNNNNNNNNNNNNNNNNNNNNNNNNNNNNNNNNNNNNNNNNNNNNNNNNNNNNNNNNNNNNNNNNNNNNNNNNNNNNNNNNNNNNNNNNNNNNNNNNNNNNNNNNNNNNNNNNNNNNNNNNNNNNNNNNNNNNNNNNNNNNNNNNNNNNNNNNNNNNNNNNNNNNNNNNNNNNNNNNNNNNNNNNNNNNNNNNNNNNNNNNNNNNNNNNNNNNNNNNNNNNNNNNNNNNNACGUCAUAUAUUUAGGAAUGUAGGGAGUAUCUUCUAUAAAUCUACAGGAAGAUGUUUAUUUUCAGAUAACUGUGUAGAAUCUCAUGCUAGCAAGCUCCGAGCCAAUUUCAAAACUAUGAUGAAGUGGUUUAGCGGUUUGGUAUAAAACACUCCUUACUGUAUGUGUAGUAUUGUGGCUUUAUUUUCUCAUUGUGAUACCUGAUACCUGUAAACAGGCUUAAGUAGUUCAUAUCUCAAGUCCUAUUGCGUGUUGUGCUCCUCUGGCAGGGCUAUGGUAUGACUGAGACUUGUGGGAUCAUAUCGCUUGAAUACCCAGAAAAGGGACAGGCUCGUCAAUUUGGGUCAACCGGAACGCUUGUUGUUGGAGUUGAAGCAAAAGUUAUCGACGUAGAAACGCAAAAACAUCUACCGCCAAGUCAACUAGGAGAAAUCUGUAUCCGAGGACCACACAUAAUGCAAGGUAAAAAAAUCGAACAUGUUCGUUGCGUUUUGUUCUUCCCUGCCUUACCAAACAAGCCUUGCAAUUACAGUGUAAAUGAUAUUAGUUAUUGCAAUGGAAUUAUAGGUAUUGAUUAUAUUGCUCUGUUACAAAAUGUGGACAUGUGGUAAAAUUUGAUAUUAACAUUUCUUUCACUUGUUAUUAACAUUGCGCGGUUUAUCAAGGCUGGUGAUUUUUUCGUAAUGUGAAACCGGGUGACUAUCAGGCAGCUACUAUUUCUGUAUAAAUUUUCACCGACAAGAACUCCACUAAAUUUCCACGUGUUCUGUCAUGAACGGAUUGUAAAGGCCAGAAAUUCUCCUUAUAUGAGUUCAUUAUUUGUAGGGUAUUUCAACAAUGUAGAGGCUACUGAAUUUACAAUCAGGCAAGGAUGGUUGCAUACUGGUGAUCUUGGAUACUUUGAUGAAGAAGGCCAGCUUUUUGUCGUCGAUAGACUAAAAGAGCUGAUUAAGUACAAAGGUUUCCAGGUAAUUUUGUUUUUUGCAAACUGCUAAUGAUUGCUAGAAUCUUCUACUUGUGAAUGCAGAGCGCUUUCCCAGGGUCCUUUCUUCUACUUAUGUUCGUUCCAUAUGUAGCCAAACAAACAUUACGCUGAUAGAGGGUUUGUGUAAGCAUUGUCCAAUGACAUAUCGGAGUUAUCCAGAGUUCACCACAAGCAUAUUCAUACUUCUAGUUAGGAUAACACCACACUUUAUCCAGUGGGAGGAAUAUUGUGUGACAUUAUUCAUUAUAUAACUUAACAAUAUUUGUGUUGCAAACUGUAGCCUCCCAUUUUUUUGUUAAAAAUUCUUCUUUGCCUAGCGAGCCUUAAAGUUCACUAAAUGCCUUCUUUUAUUAUUAUCAUCUUACCAAAAGCCAAUUCAUGCUAACUUAAGCAGUUGGGUUCUUGAUUUCUGUCUGAAUAGAAGCCUUGCUUUGCUAGUAUCCAAUCUAAGAAUCAUGGUAGGAACCCGUCCUUUUGUACUUGUUUUCUUGCUCGAACAUACGUCAUAUUUGUUCUCUGUACAUACACCCCUGUGAUCUUUUGUUUGUUUAUAACUGGUAGAUUGCACCUGCUGAGCUUGAAGGAUUACUUCUAUCUCAUCCAGAGAUUCUAGACGCCGUCGUUAUCCCGUAAGUUGCCUCCUAAACGUCAAGUGAUUCUAGCGGCUUUUGAAUAUACAAAAUAAUUGUUGCAGCCUUCUUGGUUUGGACUUGUUUUGUUUGUUGUUCUGUAUCUCUUGGUUGACUGGGAGCUCUGCUUGUUUCCAAGGUUCCCUGAUGAUGAAGCUGGGGAAGUUCCUAUUGCCUAUGUGGUGAGGUCACCUGCCAGUUCAUUAACCGAAGUGGACGUCCAAAAAUUUAUCGCCAAACAGGUGAGGCUGACUUUGAACCUUGCUAAAUCGUGACAUCAGAGCACCUCUAUCUUAAAUUCCAAAACUCAAAUAGCACCAGAACUUGUGGCCGAGUCACCAUCACCAGCAUGAAAAGAUACACUUGAACAAGCAAUGUUUUUUUCUUUUACUUUCUCACAGCUGCAUUCUAAUCCAGUUGUAACUCUGACCUACAUUUCAGGUCACGUACUACAAAAGACUGAGGCGGGUUACCUUCGUGGAGAGCGUGCCAAAAUCAGCCGCAGGCAAGAUCUUGAGAAGAGAGCUCAUUGCGCAGGUCAGGUCGUCCAAGUUAUAGGAAAAUCUGCUUCGAUAUCGUCGUGCUACAUUUCCAAAAAUCUACCGUUGGGCAAUGCUGAGGUUUAUAAAUCCUUUUGCUAGGGCAGCAUUUUCGUUUAUAUGAUGCAACAUAACUCUCAAUCUCAACAUUGUACAAAAGAUCGUAUGUGACGAAACCAUUGUUUUAAAUUGACCCUGUAUGAUAUCGGUACAACAAAUGAAGAUGAUGAAUAUGAAUGAAUAACAGGUAUCUAUACAAGGAAUGAACAUGUGCUAAUUGAGUCUGAGUCCUACAACUGGGUGCCCCUGUGCUCAUGACGCGUCGGAGAAUCAGCCCCUGCGGACCAUACAAAAACCGUGCGUUACUUCAGGUUCAGAUGAUGAAGGGCAGGAGCAAAACUGCUCCGAGACGCUCUCUGAUCACUUGGGAGUCUCGGAGAACGACCAGAAUUUUAGUUGUUUACCAGUGUUUGCUGAGCCUGCCAUCAUGAUGAGCGCCGCCCCACCGAGGAAUGGCGGGGAAGGGAACGGCAGCGACGAUUUGUUGGGCGUUUGUUGCAUGGGCUUCUUGUUCCUCCUGUCCGGGAAAGCGCGACGGCAGUAGAAGCAGCGAAGGGUCGGCGUACAUCAUUUUGCCGUAGGCCCUCUCCAGCGUCCCCUUGUCAAACCAGAGGAAAAAGGUCCUGAAGAUCCAACAAUGGUUCAGGCGAAGCAUCAGUACAGUAGCCACCUUGCGUCUGCAUGGUAGCUAGAGAUCGAAACCUAAGAUGGAGGCAUGGCCUAUUAUUACCUUGGCUGAACAUCGUCGCACCGCUGCCAUCGGAGAUGCAUUCUUGCAGCUGUAGGUUGAGUGGCAGUGUACCGCUCGGACGGGCAUUUCACCUGCACGUACAAAUACAAUACAAACACCGGUCGGUUCGUUGCACGCACGUGAAUCGUUUGUGUUAAUUCUACAUCCUCAUGAUGAUCUUCUUUUCAAAGGGGGGCGCUGAGGUUGCAAGAACUCGUGUUACGGAUGCAUACAUUGAUCCUCAGCGUGUCGAAUCUCGGGUCGUCGAAGCGCGCCGACAUGGCCAGUAUGUUGGACCAGAGGAUGUCGACCUUGACGAAGGCGUUGUCCCGGUGCACCUGGAGCACGAUCUUCUUGGGCUUCUUGUACUGGAACUUGGCCGCUAUUUCGACCACGUCCGUUCUAGCGAUCUAGAUAUGACCAUGAGUGAGCACAUAGAAGAUAACAAUCAACGAAACAAGAUAAUAACCAAGAAAGAAAGGAACACAAAGAAACCAAGAGCAUGCGAUCCUAUCUGUCGAUGUGCAUAGAUAGUAUGUGCUCAAAUCUGAUGAAGAGGCCCGGGGUAAUCAUACUUUUUCUUAGAAGAAAAGGAGUAUGUACUCUCAAAUCGGAGUAGUUGAGUAGGAACCUUGUUCUGGCCGAAUUGGAGCGCCCGCAGUCCCACCCGCGUCAGCCGUCUCCGGCCCUGAUUCUUCCCCGCUGGCGCCUCCUCCCCCUCCGGGCCGGCGCCGCCGUCGGCGGCCGCGGGGUUGAGCGCGGCUCGCAUGGACGCGAUCAGAUGCAGGAAGGGCUCCCGGAUCUCGAGCCCCAGCCGCGGCGCCCUGGCGGGGCCGCCGUGCUGGUACUGGCACAGCUCGCCUGCUCCGUCGCCGUAGUGAUCGCCCGCGCCGGCGGCCGCGUGCUCCGACGGCGUGAGGAUGGAGUCCGUCAUCUCGUCUGGCCGGCGGGGGGCGGUGCGGCGCCCGCGCAUGGGAGGAGCGGGCGGGGGGAGGAGAGAAAAGGUGGAGGCCCGCGUCGGCACGCGGGCGUGGCCGUACGACGCGUUUGUAGCUAGCUUGGCCGGUGAGACGCGGCCGGUUUCCGGCGGGCGCACGAGUCGCCGACUUGUCGUGCUGCCGGCGCCGCGCUCGUGCGUGCGGGCCGUUGCGAAUUGGGAUUGCGGUUGGGGCACCUGCACUUUAGUGGGGCCGGGGUAGAUAGAUAUAUAGGUGCCGCGUGACGUCACGUCCUGUGAAGCUAAGGGUGUGUUUGGUUGCUGUCAUGGGCUGGAAUGUCACGGAUCGGACUCGUUCCUAGUCCUCGUUUCUGUGUUUGGUUUACCAACUGGAACAGAACCCACUCAUUCCACUUUAGAGAAUAUUCCACUCAGAUCCGGAACGUGCUAGUACCACGAAAUUGACGGAAUCACACGGAACGACUCGUCUCGCGCAACUCGUCUCCUCCUUCCCUAACUGCGCCGCCGGCCCCCUCCCUCUCUGCUGCCGCGCUGCGCCGCCGGUGGCCCUCUCCCUCUCUGCUGCCGCGCUGCCGGCCCCCUCCCUCUCUACUGCCGCGCUGCGCCGCCGCCGCCCGUCUCCCUCUCUGUUGUCGCGCUGCGCCGCCGCCGGCCCUCUCCCUCUCUGCCGCCCCUCCGCGUCGCCGGCCCUCUCCCUCUCUGCUACCCCUCCGUGCCGCCGGCCCUCUCCCUCUCUGCUGCCGCGCUGCGCCGCCGCCGGCCCUCUCCCUCUCUGCCGCCCCUCCGCGCCGCCGGCCCUCUCCCUCUCUGCCGCCCCUCCGCGCCGCCGGCCCUCUCCCUCUCUGCUGCCGCGCUGCGCCGCCGCCGGCCCUCUCCCUCUCUGCCGCCCCUCUGCGCCACCGGCCCUCUCCNCUCCCUCUCUGCCGCCCCUCCGCGCCGCCGCCCCCCUCCCUCUCUGCCGCCCCUCCGCGCCGCCGGCCCUCUCCCUUCCUCUGUUGCGUCGUCGCCGGCCCUCUCCCUUCCAUUUUUCAUUCCAUGCCUCCCAAUCAAACACUCGAACGGAACCAUCCCGUUCCACUUUUUUGCUCGUAUCAAACACAGGAACGUAACCGAUCCGUUCCUCUGGAAUGGAACCAUUCCAUUCCAUGACAGUUGGUUCUCCAACCAAACACACCCUAAAGCAACUCCAGCCGUUUGCCCUCGGCGCAUCUAGCGAAUGCUUUUCGACGUUUACUAGAGGUAGGGGCACGCCCUAGGCGUGCCUCUUGCGCGAUCCUGUGCGCACUUGCCUUAGUGGUGUAGUUGUUCACGUGCAUAUGCGUUUUAGAGUACCUUAAUUGUUAAAAUAUGAAUACAAUUACCACAAGCUUUGUAGAGAAGUGUUGGAUCAUCAAACAUAGCAAGAUAGUAGGUGCAUAUUAUAUGAUAGGUCAGAGUCUUAAAAGAUGGAUGAUAGAGCACAACAUUAAGAUAUGCUAAAGACGAUAGAUAGUUCAUAUAUAUCCUAUUGAUGAUGUGACAAUGGUGAGGGAGAGGGUGCCCUUCCUUGCGCUUGAAAUGGAAGGCACAUGUGUCGCCCUCCUGGAUGUUAAGAGUGGUGGUGAAACCAUGACAAGUUCGUCGUGAUGUUGGCCCUCUCGUGUCAGUUUCAAGCGAUUGUCGCAGCUCACGGUGCCGUAUGCGAUCUUCAGCGGAAGGGUGUAAGUGUCUUUGUAAAUGUACUUCUUUCCUCUGUGUACUUCACCUGAAAGUACUAUCAAGACAAAAAGAAGCACUUACUCAUGGCAAGACUUCUCAAACAUUAAACUUGUACUAUCAGGAAGAUAUAAGAAUUGUGUGGUAUUUGCUCAGUUAGCACACAAAGUUAAAACUUUGCAACAACAAAGAAAAGUAAUUAGUUCAUGGCAUGAUUUUUCUCAAACCUUACACUUAUACUAACAUAAGGUACAAGAACUAUGUAAUAUUUGCUUAGUUAGCACACAACGUUGAAACUUUGCAUCAACAAAGAAAAGUAAUUAGUUCAUGGCAAGAUUUUUCUCAAACCUUACACUUAUACUAACAAAAGAUACAAGAACUAUGUAAUAUCUGCUGAGUUACUACAUGGUUAAAACUUUGCAAAAAAAAACUACACCUCCAUAGGACCCAAAUUUAUGAUUGCUCAAGUAAAAUGGCUGGUGAAAGAGCAAAGAGAACUCAAUAUUUCUGAUGUUGAAUUCCCAAAUUUUGAGUUUCUACAACCUAGUGCAUGUGCAAAGAACAAACAAAUGAAAAUAUCUUGUAGCAAAGUUCAUAUAGUAAGCAAUCAGAUCUAAUAUUACAAAAGAGAGUUGAAUCAAUCUCAUUGAAUAUAUAAAAGUAUUAGAGUGAGAAAGAACGUCGACAAAAGAAAAUUAAGCUUACAGGUAGAUAUAGAAUAUCAAAUUUGUCAUUUUGACUUACAGUGUGGGCAUGGCACUAAAGCAUUAGUAGUGGUGUUCAAUAAAUAAAGUUAAAAGCACAAAUAUUCAGCGAGAACCAAUCAACAUGUUUCCUGUUAAAAAAUCAAUAAAAAGUGGGAGUCCAUACUACGAAGAUACAACUUGCUACAUCAUGAAGUGAGUAAACAUUGAACAGGCUCUGCAUUUGAGCAUACCAUGCACUGGCCUGGUUUGGCAAACAUCUUGUUGAUAUUGCAAUCAUAGUACUUCUUUGAGUUCUUGUGCCAAAAUAUUGUGAAGAGCUUAUCCACAUGAUUCGCAUACAACUUCAUAGUUUUUGCAUCUCUUUCUUUGGAUUGUAAUGAACAUUAUGGUUAACAAAUAAAGGUCCAUGUUUUCCUUAAAAACAUUAGUGCGUUGAAUAAAUCUAGGCAAGAGUAGCUAAUAUCUGGCUGCAAUUGGAGCAUCAGUAGUUCCCACUUGUUGUGCAGUGCCAAGCAGAGGCCUUUGAUCAGCCAUGGCCCAUGUGAUACAACUAAGUUUGGAAUACCUAGGAAAACAUAUUGAUUUCUGAGUGAUGUAAUGCUAUGUAAAUUUAGUAGGGCAAAGGCAGAGAAUAUAUGUUCUCGUGUGAAAUAGAAAUCAGCCUAUUAUAGAUGGUAUCAAAUUGGAAACAAGUAAUCUACAAAUUUUGAAGCAACAAGAAUUUCGGACCUGAACAAUAGACGAUAUAGAUGGCAUAUAAUGCAAACAUUUUCUUGACAUAACAUCUAGAGUUCCAUAAUAAACAGGAAAAAGAAACCCAUGAAAUUCAAAAUACGAUCGAAAAGCAUAGUGCAAAUAUAUGAAAUUCAGAUUGUGCACAUCAAGUUAGGUUAAAUACCCACAAUUAUGUGCAAAUAUAUCACUUCUAAAUUUCACUAGUAAGUCAUGACUACACUUUGGAAUUAACAAUAUUGUAAAAAAAAUAUCAGAAAACAUACUUAGGCGACAUCCAAUCACGUGAAAGGGAGCUCUCCACAUGUGUUUUUGAGAAUAUCCAAGAAAAUACAAUUGAAGCUGGCAGUAAUCUAAAAAACGGACCGACAUCCAUACUCGGUUGUAGAAAAAUACUUCAUUAGCACAUAAUUUUUGUAGUAUAUUGGAUUUUAUAACCUAGAUACGUAGCUACAAAUUUGGAUCCUCACCUCCCUCGAAUUACCAUCUCUUAUUAUAUCAUACCAAGGCUUCCUCGCAUGGCAUCACAUAUGAAGUGCCCAUUACUAACUUGUAAAGUUUGUCCUAUUUAUACAUCUCCAGUAAAUAAAAAUGAGGAAGCCACAUAUUACAAUGUUUUAUUGCACCAAGCCUUCCUCAUACAGUAUCAAGAAUAUCAAACCCCGAAAAGUCAAGAUAAACGUGCAUGUAUUCCGGUUUUCACUAAUCAUAUUUAAGAUCAUGUCGCAUGUCUCACCAUCAAGCUCGGAAGCUUGAGACACGAUGAGAUACAUUAUAUAGUAAGACAUGAUCCAUCAAGCUAUGUGAUGAGAAUAACCACUUAAAAAUGUAGGAAUCUGUUUGAAAAACUUCUAAUUUGAUUUGGUGGCAACUCAUGCUGCAGCGACAAGUGCCUGUGCACUUGAUAAAAUAUAAAUCUUCUAAUUAAUUUACACGAAAAUAUGAAAGGAAGCAAAGAGAAAUUAAGAAGUAUAAUAAGGGCUGCAACAAAACACCACACACCUCACAGUUAGAUAUGAACAUAGUGCCAAGACAACUAAGUUUUCAGUCUUGUGAGGUAAAAUACUUGCUAACUAAAAAAUUCUGCAAUGCACAAGCUGCAUGGAAUAUGCAAACACAAUUAAGCAUAGCUGAUAGUUGUGUAUGGAAAGCAUUGCAGCACAAAACCUACAUAUCCAGUGGUAAAAAAUAAACCUCGAAUGAUGAAUUAAUUAGUGACCAAACUACAUGAUGUAUCAUAUCCUGUGCUCUCAAAAUAUAUGGGUACGACAAGCACUGAAGAGUUGUAACGUGUUCCACACCUAUAAUAAAAUUAGUAGCUCUCCUUUGCAAUUUCUAACUCAUGCCCACCAUGACAUGCAAAUUAUCCAACAAUAGCUCAUCUUUGGCAAAGAAGCAAAUUGUCUUGUGAAAUAUCAAUUGAACCAUAUGAUCUAAUAUAAGCAGGCGAAGAAUCUAUGUAAAACAAAAUUUAUGAUACAUGGUCUGUAGAUAACAAUAUAUAUAGCUUCAACUACACUAUAUACGAGUAGAGAUGACCACGAGGACAGAUUCAAAGCCAGAUGGCAUGGAAAGGAGUCAAAUAUAUAACAUUUAACUCGGAAUGUGAAAAGGACGUAAACAGAAUAUACAGAUAUAGCGGCACGGUAAGAUAAAUAACGUGAUGUAAUAGUGGCUAUGAUUUGUUUCUGGUAAAACCAUCACAAAGAAAUAAAAUUGUUGGACAAACAACCCUUUGUUUUUUUAUGUGUGGCUCGAAAAAUAACCAUAUGUUUUCAUGUGUAAAAAUAACACUAAAUUUAACUCAAACGUUGGAAAUUCAGAUCAUGGCGCCCUUUCAUGCACAAAAGAAGGAGACCACCAACAUUUCCAUGCACAAAGGAACAAUAAUUGUAGGCCCUACCUAGAUCCAAACAAAGAACAAAAGGCAUAAAUUCAGUUUAACACCUCCGUUAAAAACAAGGCAACAUGAAAACAAGGGAGCUACGAAAAUCCAAAGCACAAAUAAUUGUGCUUUUGGCCUUUACCGAAAAAGAAAGCCCUCAAUGGGGAACCUGCGUAUCAACACAUGUUACACACACAACAACCAGGACAAGGAGAACAUAGCGAAUCCCAGAAACAAAUUGCCAUACAACCGCACACCUAGGCGUGGAAAAGAAUAUGAGUGCAAAGAAGGAGAAUAAGAGGGGUUGACCUGCAGAUCCAUGAAAGGAAACGUGGGAGGAUGCUUAUAAGGGAUGUACAUGCAGAUAUCAAAGGAGGAACAUCCAGGGGACUGACCAACCAAAAUGAAGAGAAUCUAUGGAGCAAUCUGCAGGGAAAAUGAAGAAAAAAUCGCAUAUGAGCAGCAACUAAUGAACACAUCCAAGCACAACUUGGUUCAACCAUGGCAGUUGAGGGGAAGACCAACUUCAGGAACGAGGGGGGAUAGUGGUGUCCUCUUGCUCCUCUCUCCCACGACCUCCAUGGCUUCUUCUUCCUCCGGCUUGACCUUCAUGCCCUCUUCCCCACCUUAUCUCCUUCUUGUAAGAGUCUAGGGUUAGUUGUGCGGGCGCAACUAGGGCGUAGAGCAACGGCUAGGGCGGCGAAUCAGUAGAGUAAGGCGAGGUGGAGCCUUGCCUAUUGAUGCCGGCGCCGGAGUUGGCCGUGCACAGGAGGAACGGCGGCGGCGGCGAUUUGUGGAGAGAGGGAGUGAGGAGAGCGCAGGAAAAAGGGGAUCGAGGGAGCUAUGCGGGAGAUAGUGUGCGAUCUUUUUCUCUCUAUUUAUUUCUCCCUCCGUUACAGUAAAAAGGCAGCCAAUUCGCCAUCGCGUGCACUAACAAGCAAAGCCAUCCAUAACAGUACCAUAGAGAUGAUGUGGCACCCGCGAGAUGGUGCCCAGCAUUCCCCUCUUGAAGAGUGUAAUGUCGACGCUUUUUUUCCUAGGUUAAACGAGUUUCCAGCAGUGCCUUCAGGUUUCGGCUUUCAAAUGCCAACUAAUUUAAACUUGUUUUUCCCGCUGCCAAAAAAACCAAUAGUUCGAUGAUCAUCAUGUCACAUGUCGACGAUCAACAUGCCACAGUUUGCCGAUCAAUCACACUCAGUAGUUCGACGAUUAAAAGGAAGGAAUCGUAGACAUGGAACGAAUCAAACGGCCAGCUCCUUUGCCGCGGGACUGGUCGGCGUGAGCGUAGUCAGGCUCGGGCUCGGCAUCGGCAUAGUCGGGCUCGACGUCGACGUGGUUUCUGUGCUCGGGCUGGGCGUCAUUGUUGGUGUUGCCGUCAUGGUCGCUGCCAGCGCGGGCAUCUGGUUUAAGAUGAGGCUGCGCUCCGCAAGGUACCACGCCUUCACCUGCUCGUCCAUCGUCGACAUGUAUGCCGCCAUCAAGAAUGUCAGGGCGGUGUUCCUCUUCUUCGCGGCGACGUUGGUCCUGAGAAGGUCGAGCUUGACGUCAUGCUUCAUCAUCAACGCCGACCACCGCGCGUCGGAUUUCUCCUUCCUCUUGGGAGGUUGUUCUUGGCGUCGGUGAUGCAUUGCUUGAUCGAAGAUUGCAGUCGUUUGGCAGUGGGCGUCGCGUCCCUCACCGCCUUGGCUUUUUUGGUGCCAUCGGAGCGCCCUUUUGUUGCAUCCGGGGCAGGCGCGUCUGGAUUGUAGGUCUCUGAUACGUCUCCAACGUAUCUAUAAUUUUUGAUAGUUCCAUGCUAUUAUCUUGUCAAACUUUGGAUGUUUUGUAUGUCUUUUAUAUCUUUUCUGGGACUAACUUAUUAACUCAGUGCCAAGUGUCAGUUCCUGUUUUUUUCCAUGUUUUUGACCCUUUUCAGAGGAGGAUUUUAAACGGUGUCUAAAUGGAAUAAAACUUCCGAAAAGAUUUUUUCCAGAACAGAAGAUACGCGCUACACUUGAGAAUCAAGGCAUGGGCCAGCAGGGGACCCCACAAGCCCCUAGGCGCGGCCAGGGGGCCCGCGCCUAGCAGGCUUGUGGGCCCCGUUGGCACGUCUGCCCUACCUCUUCCGCCUAUAAAUUCAGAAAAAUUGCAAAACUGCGUGAGAGAUCCACGAAAAUACUUUUCCGCCGCCGCAAGCUUCUAUCUCCGCAAGAUCCCAUCUUGGUCACAUUUUGGUGCCCUGCCGGAGGGGGAUUCGGAUACGAAGGGCUUAUUCAUCAACACCAUGACCUCUCCGAUGAUGCGUGAGUAGUUCACGAUAGACCUUCGGGUCCAUAGCUAGUAGCUAGAUGACUUCUUCUCUCUCUUGGAUCUUCAAUACAAAGUUCUCCAUGAUCUUCAUGGAUAUCUAUCUGAUGUAAUCUUCUUUUGCGGUGUGUUUGUCGAGAUCCAAUGAAUUGUGGAUUUAUGAUCAGAUUAUCUAUGAAUCUUAUUUGAGUUUCUUCUGAUCUCUCGUAUGCAUGAUUUCAUAUCCUUGUAAUUCUCUUCGAGUUGUGGGUUUUGUUUGGCCAACUUGAUCUAUGAUUCUUGCAAUGGGAGAAGUGCUUGGUUUUGGGUUCAUACCGUGCGGUGACCUCACCCAGUGACAGAAUGGGUAGCGAGGCACGCAUCGUGUUGUUGCCAUCAAGGGUAAAAAGAUGGGGUUUUCAUCAUUGGUUUGAGUUUAUCCCUCUACAUCAUGUCAUCUUGCUUAAAGCGUUACUCUGUUUGUCAUGAACUCAAUACACUAGAUGCAUGCUGGAUAGCGGUCGAUGUGUGGAGUAAUAGUAGUAGAUGCAGAAAGUAUCGGUCUACUUGUCUCGGACGUGAUGCCUAUAUGUAUGAUCAUUGCCUUAGAUAUCGUCAUGACUUUACGCGGUUCUAUCAAUUGCUCGAUAGUAAUUUGUUCACCCACCGUAAUAUUUGCUAUUUUGAGAGAAGCCUCUAGUGAACACUAUGGCCCGCGGGUCUACUUCACACCAUAUUUUCAGCCGUACUCUUUUACUUCGUUGCACUUUCCGCCUUCAGAUCUCACUUUGCAAUCAAUCUUGAAGGGAUUGACAACCCCUUUAUAGCGUUGGGUGCAAGCUCUUUUGUGUUUGCGCAGGUACUCUAGACUUGACGCGGUUCUCCUACUGGAUUGAUACCUUGGUUCUCAAACUGAGGGAAAUACUUACUGCUCCUGUGCUGCAUCACCCUUUCCUCUUCAAUGGAAAAACCAACGCAAGCUCAAGAGGCAGCAGUCUCCUUGGCCUUGGCGAGAGCGAGCCGAACGUCCCUCCACUUCUCGCAUGAACUCUUGGUCACUGUUGUCUUGGCGAUACAUGCUGAACAUCCGAACCAUCUGCACAGUCGCGGACAAAAUGUGUCGGCAAAGUACACGACAACGCGACGAAAUGGGGUCGGCGAACUAUGUCCUUACGUGGCCCUCGACGUUGGCGCCGCUUUCGGGUGAGCAGCGACCUCCUCGAUGAUCGCAUGCCACUUGUUGCAGGUCAUCUGGAUCGUCGCACAAUGGUUCGCCAUGGCCUUGUCGUCGCAGUCCAUGUGGAUGUUGGCGAAGUCGGGGUCAACCAGCUUGCGUUCGUCGAACAUUGUCUUGAUUGUCCCCCAGUAUGUAUCGAUGUUCUCAUUUGCGCCGGUAAUCAGGUUGAUGCUUACGGUCUGCCAUGCUUCGGCAAAGCACUCGUCUUCCUUGGACAUCCACUUAAAGCGAGGUUCGGCCCGCCUCGCGUUCGGCGCAUGCUUCUUCUUUCUCGCUUUCAGCGCUGGUUCUGGUUCCGCCUCUGCCUUCUCUUCCUCCCUCUCCUCCUCCUCCUCAGCGUUGUCGAGCUCAUUGUCCAUGUCGACGAUGGCGUCCAUCGUUUCAUCUUGCACACCAAACCCCAGGCAGGAUGCGGUGGCGACAGAGUCGUUCGUGAUGAUCUCGUCCAUGUUGGCGUCGGUGUGGCUAAAUUGUAGCGUCGAGCCGGGUACGAAGGGUAGGGCACCUCGACGCAGAGGCGACACAGGCGAGCUGAUGAGUAUGCUGAUGGUGAGUAGCUAUACUGGGUGUUGAGACCGACGUUGAAUGCGGGGGAGGGAGUGUGCGGGUAAUGGUUGAAGUUGGUGGAGGAGGAACGUUGCGGCGCGCCAUAAGGGAAGGUGAUGUUGGGGUUGAAACCGCCAUGUGCGUCGCCGUCGGAGUAGGUAGGGAGGGUGCAUACCCCUAGGGCGGCAGCGGCGGAGAGAGAUUGGCCGGUGACGCUACGCUCUGUCGACUCCUCCACGCGGCUGGCGGGUUGUGGUCGGGUGAAUUCAUCAUCUCCGCGCAAGACGCCUAUCCUACUUGGCCACCGCCGCUGCCACUUCUAUGGCCCUCUUGCCGUCGAGCCUUUUCCACCGGUAGGUUGUGAUUGCCUCCCGGCACUGGACAUUCUACCUCCACUCGGCGUCCGACACGCCCGGCUGUCUUGCCAUUGGCGCCCUCGGCUUCCUCUGCUUGGGUCGGUCGGAAUCGGCAACGACAGCGGGGCGAGGGGCGGAAUAAUUCUUUGGUGUCAUGAUGGCAUGGUGGCCGGAUGGCGGGAAAGGGAGAAGAAUGGCGGGAACGGCGGGGGAGAAGGGGAAGCAAUGUGGAAAUGGAGGGAAAGGGGGAGAAAACGGCAGGAAUAGGCCCGUCUAUCGUCGACAGCAUGGGCCCACUCGACUUUUUUGCUUUGGCCGACGCCCCCAAGCGCUCCCGAGGGGCUAGGUUCGGUUCAGGCUCGCUGGUUGUUAUUUUAUGCCAAACCGAUGCUAAACAAGAAGUUGGGGCGCGGAUGGACCGAUGUUACGCCGCCGACGCUAAAAAGGCGCCUUGGGGGCCUGUUGGGGGGGGGGAGUGGAGAUGAUCUAAGCUCGACUGGUCGAACAGCUGGAGGUUGAUAGGCUCAUCGUGGACAUUGCCAACAGAAUUGAUAUUGAACUCCAAGACUUGAAGCUAAGCUUCUUCACCAACUGAGCACCCAGACAGCCGUCCCGACCAAUGUGAGUCAUCUCUUUUGCGCGGCCAUGAGUCCAGAACUGAUUGGAUAAACAUGUAGUACCCCCACCUUAACGCCUAGAUGUGUCCACAAGUGGGUUGCACGACCCGAUCAGGCAUGGGGAAGAGGCCAUGGAAGAAACGUCGGGGCUAUUAUACAUUGUGCCUCGGAUUCCCACAUCAUGAGAAACCGCAAGCACAACUUUCAACUCUCCAAUUCCAAACCAGGGACACCGCGAGCAACUAAGGCAACACAUUCAUGGACACGCAUGGCAACACGGAUUGAUCACGAGGUCAGACCACCUUGUGCUAAAAAAGAGCGUCAUCGCUAUGAGACCUAUCCACCACCUCUUGGUAUUGGAAACCCUUAUUCGAGUCUUCGAGGAAAUUAACAAACGGAUGAGAUCUUUCUUCUCGGAGGGUCAAAUAAAGUUCAUGGAGGCCAAUGCAUCGUAGCUCCUCGCAGGCAACCCGAGGGCGACUAGGUUUUCCGCUGCACCGCCACUCCCCAUCCACUUCCCCUCUCGUCGUCGUCGGAGGCAGCCGUCGGGCCAGACCAUGCGGACGGUGGUGGGGUCUCGGCUGCUUCGUCGCUUGGGCGGAGGGCCUUGGGUGCGCCGAGGCGGCGGGCUCGGGUGGUGAAGAGGCGACAUUAGAGGGGGCAGCCACACAUGUUCAGAGUCGUUGACUAUAAACCUCUCUCACAAGCAAGACAUGAUCGAACCUCAGAACUGUAUGAAUGUUAGAUUCAUUGCAAUCACAUCGUGAUGUGAACUAGAUUAUUGGCUCUAGUGCAAGUGGGAGACUGUUGGAAAUAUGCCCUAGAAGCAAUAAUAAAUUGGUUAUUAUUAUAUUUCAUUGUUCAUGAUAAUUGUCUAUUAUUCAUGCUAUAAUUGUAUUAACCGAAAACCGUAAUACGUGUGUGAAUAUAUAGAUCACAAUGUGUCCCUAGUGAGCCUCUAGUUGGCUAGCUCGUUGAUCAAUAGAUGAUCAUGGUUUCCUGAUCAUGGACAUUGGAUGUCAUUGAUAACGGGAUCACAUCAUUGGGGACUGAUGUCAUGGACAAGACCCAAUCCUAAGCAUAGCACUAGAUCGUAUUGUUCGUCUGCUAGAGCUUUUCUAAUGUCAAGUAUCAUUUCCUUAGACCAUGAAAUUGUGCAACUCCCGGAUACUGUAGGAGUGCUUUGGGUGUAUCAAAUGUCACAAGUAACUGGGUGAUCAUAAAGGUGCACUACAGGUAUCUCCGAAAGUGUCUGUUGGGUUGUACGAAUCGAGACUCAGAUUUGUCACUUCGUGUGACGGAGAGGUAUCUCUGGGCCCACUCGAUAAUCCAUCAUCCUAUUGAGCUCAGUGUGACUAAGGAGUUAGCCAUGGAAUGAUGCGUUACGGAACGAGUAAAUAGACUUGCCGGUAACAAGAUUGAAUAAGAUAUAGGGAUACCGACGAUCAAAUCUCGGGCAAGUAUCAUACCGAUAGACAAAGGGAAUUUCAUACGAGAUUGAUCGAAUCCCCGACAUCGUGGUUCAACCGCUGAGAUCAUCGUGGAACAUGUGGGAACCAACAUGGAUAUCCAGACCCCGCUGUUGGUUAUUUACCAGAGAAGUUACUCGGUCAUGUCUGCAUGUCUCCCGAACCCGUAGGGUCUACACACUUAAGGUUCGAUGACGCUAGGGUUAUAUGGGAAAAGUGUACAUGGUUACCGAAGGUUGUUAGGAGUCCCGGAUGAGAUCCCGGACGUCACGAGGAGUUCCGAAAUGGUCCGAAGGUAAACAUUCAUAUAUAGGAAGUGAGGAUUUGGUCGCCGGGAGUGUUUCGAGCGACACCGGUAAUGUACCGGGACCACCUGAAGGGUUCCGGGGGUCCACCGGGAAGGGCCACCAGCCCCAGUGUGCUACUUGGGCCAAAAGUGGAUGGGAACCAGCCCUAGGUGGGCUAGUCACCACCACUAAGGGCCCAAGGCGCAGCAAGGGGUGGAGGAGGCAAAACCCUAGGCGGGUGGAGAGGCCACCUUGGGCCUCAAGGCCCACCCUAGGGUGCCUCCACAUUUGGCCGCCGCCCCACACCCAUCUAGGGCUGCCGCACCCCUUAGGGUGGGAAACACUAAGGGUGGUCACCCUCCUCCCUCUCCUCCUAUAUAUAGUGGAGGGUUUGGGGCAGUUUAGAGACACAAUCUCUCUCUCUCUCUCUCUCUCGGCGCAGCCCUACUCCUCCUUCUCCUCGUCCUACAUAGUGCUUGGCGAAGCCCUGUCGGAGUGCCACGUAGCUCCACCGUCACCACGCCGUCGUGCUGCCGGAUCUCUCCCUCAACCUCUCCUCCCUCCUUGCUGGAUCAAGGUGUUGGAGACGUCACCAGGCUGCACGUGUGUUGAACGUAGAGGCGUUGUUGUUCGGCGCAUAGAUCGGAAUCCACCGCGAUCUGAAUCGCUGCGAGUACGACUCCAUCAACCGCGUUCUAGCAACACUUCCGCUUAGCGAUCUUCAAAGGUAUCAAGAUGCUCUACAACCUCUCUCGUUGCUGGUUUCUCCAUAGAUAGAUCCUUGCAUGAUGUAGGAUUUUUUUUGAAAUUACUACGUUCCCCAACAUGUGUCUCCCCAACACUCUCUGUUAUCUCCGGGGGGAAUCCUAGAUCAGUCGAUCGGAUGACGGCGGCUCUCUUGUGUCGUUCCCCCCUUAGGGGCGUCAUUCUUGGAGGUACACACGAGCUCGAGGGACCGGAGGACGGCUUCUUUGGUGGAGCGGUGCUUCAUCUUACACAUUCAUGGCGAUGGAUCUCAGCGGCAUGGCAUUGUGGAGACUUGACGUCCGAUAUGCGGAUAUUGACUCGCGCACGAGGAGGAUGUUGUCUAGCGUCAUGGUGGCGUCGAUGGCAGAGAAGCCUGGCAAGGUCAGUUCGUUAGUUUGCUCUAAAGAUGGAUUGGUGGAUGAUGGCGGCGAUGACACAUGAGAGUGUCUCAGACCGGAUUGUGUCCUAAACCCAGUAUGUGGCUUUGUUGGGUUUUCUAGCUUUAGAUGUUACGCUUUUGUGCGAUGUCUAUCUGGAAUUAGGCUCGGACUAUCGGCACCCCUUCAUCAUGUGGUAUGGAGUAAACACAGAUGUUGCUAACAUGAUGACUUCAGACUACCUGAUGUACUACUUUGUAAGGUCUUUAUGAAUAAUAAAUAAAAUGGUUGCAUGUAUCGCUCAGAGGCCGGAGGUAAUCCUCCUUUUUUAAAUGCCUCGUGGCAUGCAUCAUUGUUUGUUGUCCGACCGAGUUUGAAGGGCCGGGCGUAAAAAACUUGAAACUUCAAGCGUUGAGUGAUGAUUUGGCCGGGAGCAUUUUUGAUAGGUAAACAUUUAUACACGGCGCGCCGGCCGAACCGUUUUGGCCAGACGCAUCGCGUUCGUCCGAUCUGCGCGGAUCGCGCGUUCCCCUUUGCGCAGGCUGCUGUCGCCCCCUCGCGUACUUCCCCCCACGAGCGCAUCCCCUGUUGGAUCUCGUCCCGCCGGCCGUCAUGGAGUUGCAUCGUAUGCCACCAGUGUUGGAGAAGAAAAGCUAUGAAAGAGAUGACGAUGUUGCAACCGGCGAUGAAAAAAGCUUCAAACCGGCGAUACAAAAUGCUACAACCGGCAUUGUCGAAAGCUUCAACCAGAGACGAGGGGAAUCGAGGGCCACCCACCAUACAAACCGAGAAUGUUGCAACCGGUGAUGAAAAAAGUUUCAACCGGCUAGAAAAAAGCUUCAACCGACGAUAUAAAAAGCUUCAACCGGCGACAGCGAAACACAAAAAGCUACAAUCGUUGACACAAAAGCUACAACCAUAUGUUUGAAAAGCUUCAACCACAAACCAACGACGAAAGCUUGUCAUUUUUGCUACAACCAGCAAAACGCUUCAAGCGACAUGGAAAAAGCUUCAACCAUUGUGAAAAAGCUUCAACCGUUGUGGAAAAAGCUUCAAGCGACAUGGUAAAAGUUUCAACCAAAGUGAAAUAAGCUUCAAACCGGCGGCGUCGACGGCGACGAGCGGUGAGCGACGGGGGGGGAGGGCGUGAGGAUGCUGCGACGAGCGGCGAUGACGGGGGGAGAGGGAUGGGGGUGCUCAUGCGGCAGGAGGUCGGAGGCGCGCGGGGUUGUGCGCCAGCGCAGAGCGGGGACGAGAUGCCAGAUCUGACAUCUACCGAAGUUAGAUCGAACGACUGUCACCCGAUCGGCGGGAGCGCUUGCUCCGGUGCGUCGGCGCAGAGCAGUGCCCUUUUUGAUAGCCUUAUGCACAUCCAGCUAGGAUAGAUUAAAGCCCUCGUAUUAUGAAGAGACCGCUGGAUCUACGGUACAAUAGUUAUGGACAUAGUGUUAAAUUACAUACCUUGUAUAGCUAUAGCCUACCGAGCACGCUGUUGCACAGACCGGGCUCCAGUGAGGCCGAUAUAUAUAAAAAAUCAAUAUAUAUUUAAAAAAUUCAAAAAAUACCAGUUUUUUUUAUACAAAUACAUAUAUAUAUAUAGUGGUCAAGCUGCGACCAGGAGGUAGGUUCUGGGUGCUCGCCGACGAUGGAGAGGAGGAGGAGGACAGGGAGGAGACUCCACCGGUGGCUUCCCCGGUAUCUUCGGACGUUCUGGACUCUAUGACUGUCGGAUGUUCGUACAAGAUCUCAAAGAAGGAUACUCGGAACCGACGAACGGCGGCAGAAUGCCACGAAGCUUCACGACGGCGGAGGACUACGACGAUGUAGGUCCGGCCGUGGCACGGACCUCUACCUAAGCUAUGUCUCAAGGGUUUAACGAUUUCAGACUGCAUUCAUCCGUCGGCAUGGAAAAUUGUUCAGAAAAAGAAGAAGAAACGUCUGCAGCAGGUGGAGGCCGCUCCGGCGCUCGCGAUCUCGAUCUCAGAGAUCAGAUCACGACGUUUGAACGUGUUGCUGGGCCCAAUUGGGCUGCCAAACGCUGACUCAGCCGUGGGACUCGAAGUGGAUGGGUAUGAGGCCCAUCACGAGUCACAAACUGGUCGCGACGGCGUCAUAUCAUGCAUAACCGAAGUCUCUGCACCAGUUCACACUGCUUUUCUUCCGCCUCAUCUAGGGCUAGCCACCAAAACAAGCCGGGCUACCCUAGACAGGGAUGCGGCAGGGCAGCUCGGAUUCCACCGUUGCUGCGGUCCGUGAUGACGGGAAGAGGUGGCUCGCAGCAGCCCCCCAAAGCUCCGGCGGGGCAAGGCACCUAUGGUGGUCAGGGGCGGGGUGAUGUGGAGCCCGCUUCUCGAGGACGUGGGAGCUACGGCGGAGGUCGUGGCCAUCACUAGACUGACGGAAGGGGCUUCGCCGUAGGCAGGUGGGGAGAAGAUGGUUAUAAUGUAUGCGGUAAUGGGAUCCACCGAGGUUCGUCUUCGAACGGUGGAGGACGAUGUGAUGGCGCCAACUGGGGGUUCAAUGGUUCCCCUGGCCCGUUUGUCGAAGGAGCAUCGGGUCCGAUUAAUAGGAACCGACAAACAUACCGCGGCAACCACGGGGUGCAGGGAGGAGGACGUCGGUCGCGAGGGCCUAAACCGCCACGAGACGAUCCACCAGCUCUCCCUACAGAGGAGGUGGGCCAUGUGCAAGACAAGAACACUGCGGAUGCCACGAGCAAGGGGGCGCUUUCUGUUGCUGCAUUGGAGACGGUACGUGCCCUCGCUGUGGUCGACGUGCCAUCCGCGCCCGUGGUUGCUCCUCGAGGUGCUGCGACAGAUAAAGCCAGCGACAAGUUAGAAGGUGAGAGAGUCACCAAGUGGGCUCGGAAGAAGGAAAAAAUGACAAUGCUACCGGUGCGGUGGACAUGGACACUUUGUGGUAGAAUGCACGGUGGAGCUGUGUGAUAUUUUCCGCAAGCCCAAGCAUGAGAGUGGCGAUUGCCCCCUACUCUCAAAGUCGAAGCCGGUUGUUACUAUGUAUGGGGCAUGUUGCCCAAAGCUAACAUUUUUCGAGUCACCUAAGACAGCUACACAAGUACCGGAAAGUGCCAAGACGGGAGUCGUUAAGGUUACUCGUCGUACGAUGACCAUUGAGCAGAUUGUACACCGUUUGCGUGAGCUGGUUUCUGCUUCUUUCCAAUGGGAUCCCAUCAAACUUGACGAACAAAUGUUCAGAGUCAAGUUUCCGAGUAAGGAGGAUCUUGCCAGGUUGCUUAAGCUAGGGAUGAGCCGUGUUCCAAACAACACAUGUGUCCUCGAGUUUGAUGCUUGGACACAGAAGGAUCCUGAAGGCACUCUGCUUUCGCAACUUUGGGUACGGUUUAAUGGAGCACCUCGUCGGGCUAUAGAGGAUUUCUUGGUCACAUGGAGCCUUGGAUCGUUGAUUGGUAAGACGGAGAAGGUAGACAUGCCUUUCACUCGAGCAUAGGGAAUCGCUCGCCUCCUUGUUUCUGUGAUAAACGUUGAGCAUAUUCCUGACACAAUCAGAUGGACGUAUGAUGGCAAGGGUUUUGACCUUGAUAUUGAGCUAGAGGAAAGUGAGGAUUUUCACGAGCUGGGAAAGGAGAUUGACAUGGACACGGACGAGGGACAUGGAGAUGAAGGAAACUUAGCCAAGGGCAUGGAGCCGAGGGAGGGCGCUGAUAGAGGCUCUUUAUCUUCUAACAAACCAACAGUCUCUUGGUUCGUCAUUUAGCAUCAAUUGAGAUUUGUAUCCUUUGGGUCUUCAUCAGCGCCUUCUAAGUUGUGGGGUGCCAGGGUUGACAGUGACGAUCCGGCGGAGCAUGAGUUGUCGUCGUUAUCACCGGUGGAGUCACCGAGAGGUGGUACCACGCCUAUGUCGUGGGCACAUGACACUACCGGAAUACUUGGCAGUCCCAGGAUGGAGUCGCAUGCAGACCAGGGAGCUGCUGCUGAGGCCGAGACACACCAGCUCACCCCGGCUGUCUCUGGAGCCGACGAAGCUAGAGGAGAUUCGGCGGGUGCACUGCUCCCCGGCUCACUGCAUGCUGCCAGGGACGGCAGCACUAGCACUACUGCUGCUAGGCUACUCGGGUCGAGUAUCUCGAGCAGAGGCAGUCACAGGACCUUCGACGGGUGCGCUGCUCCCGAGCUCAUUGCAUGCUGCCAGGGAUGGCAGCAACAGCACUCCGGCUGCUAUGCUACUCAGCUCGGUCACCCCGCUACAGGCGCCGGCUGGGGUUGAGUUGUGUGCUUUUGGAGUUAUGACUCGGAGUGGGUCAGUUAAACAGACUGGCCACCCUAUGACAACGAUUGAUGGUGGCGGUUCGGAUGGCCAGACUAGUUGUGUGACAGGCGGUCAUACUAUGUCGUCGAGGCCCUCCACUGAAGAGGUGAUCGAGUUUGGAGGCAUCCCAGACCCGGCAACAGAGGCUAGGCGAUCGAGUGCUUGCCUGCAAGCCCAACCUGAUGUUGACGAGCUACAGUUGGGCCGUGCUAUGCGCGCGGCUAAGCUUCGCGACAUUGAGACCUCUUCAGGUAUGUCUAUCGAUACGAGUUGUUCUAUUUUGCAUUUAUCUGAAGAUGAUAUAAUUAGAAACGCUACCGAACUUGGAAUUUCAUUGGGUAGCAAUGGGUAGGAGAUAUCUACUUCGAUGAAUUACUUGCUAGACUUAGAGGCAGAGAGGGCAAUUGAGAUGGUGAGAAACAUUGCAGCCAUCAAACCAAUGAAUGAUAAGGAUAUAAAUGCACUGGGGUUGGGAGCUUUAGAGCGUUUAUGUGAGGAUCUUGUGUCAUCCUCCAUUUUGCCUGAAGAAACAAAUGAUAUCGUUGAGGAGGGGUAUGAGUCCCCUUCACAAAUGACUACUACCACGCAACAGCAGACCGGAUAUGUGGACCGGUCGGAUGUUCGGGAUAGGCCAAAAAGGACCUGGAAGAGAAAGGUAUAUCCUGUUUCAGUUGUGCGCCGUAGUGCUAGAUUUAAAACAGCUAAGAAAUUUCAUGAUGAGGGAUGAAAGGAAUAUUCUAAAAUAGCAGAGGUCUAGUAGACUUGGCUAAAACAAGAUUUCUAGCUGAAACAACUAUUGAGCAAAAAUUAGAUUUCAUUGCAUUGAUGGAAACUCGGAGGGAUAACUAUACAACUCAAUUUCUAAAUACGCUAUUUGGAGGGUCUGAAUUUGACUGGCACUGUUUACCUCCAAGAGGAAGAUCCGGUGGGAUCUUGCUUGGGGUCCGGUGCGACACACUCGAAGUCCGAAAUGUGUUGUAUGGGGACUUUGCCGUUAAGUUUAGAGUUUGCUCCAAAGUGGAUGGGUUCCAAUGGGCCCUCGUAGCAGUGUACGGGGUGGCCCAACCUGAGCUCAAGAGAGACUUCUUGGCUGACCUUGUCCAAAUUUGUGGGGACGAGAGACUACCGAUUUUAGUGGGGGUGACUUUAAUAUAAUCCGGAGGCGAGAUGAAAAACAAUAAUAACUUUGAUGGCAGAUGGUCAUUUAUGUUUAAUUCUAUCAUCAAAAGCCUUAAUCUACGAGAGAUAGAGCUAUCAGGAAGAAAGUUUACUUGGGCGAACUCCUUACCUAACCCAACUUUUGAGAAGUUGGAUCGGGUUCUCACGAGUGUGGAAUGGGAGAAGAAAUUCCUCCACAUCACAGUUCACGCAUUACCAAGAGCUAUCUCUGAUCAUACACCAUUGUUUGUAAACUCAGGGGAAGCAACUCACGUGGGGAAUAAAAACCUUUUUUCUUUUGAAUUGGGAUGGUUUGAAAGAGAGGGGUUUGUCGACCUCGUAGCCAGAUAAUGGGAUAUGGUCACGGAAGGUGAUACCAAUGUUGACAGGUGGCAAAAAAAGAUAAGGCACCUGAGGCAAUUCUUACGGGGAUGUGCAAAGCAUGAGAGUGGAAUAUAUAAGAAAGAGAAGCAAAGACUUCUCGAACUUAUAAAUACGCUAGACAUAAAGGCCGAAGAAACGUUAUUAGAUGAUGAUGAGAGGUCAUUGAAAACAGAGGCCGACCUAAAGCUCAAACAACUGCUCAGAGAGGAGGAGUUGAAGUGGGCACUUAGAGCGAAAGUCCGCCACGUGAUACAAGGAGAUGACAACACACAAUAUUUCCAUCUGAUAGCCAACGGAAAGCAUAAAAAGAAAAAAAUAUCCAGCUGGAGCAAGAUGAGGGUACAAUUGUGGGACACGAGAAUCUGAAAUUGUAUAUCUAGGAGUACUAUAAAAAUUUGUUUGGGCCUCCAGAGGAAAAUUUUGUAUCCAUGAAUGAGCAUAUAGUCGGUGACAUACCUCAGCUCGGGACAGACGAGAAUGAGGUACUAUCCGCGCCUUUUACGGAGAAAGAGGUGUUUGAAGCGAUAUCAAAAAUGAAAAAUAAUAAGGCACCAGGCCUAGACAGGUUUUUGGCUGAGUUUUACAAGAGAUGUUGACACAUUAUCAAAGGUGAUUUGUUACCUAUGUUCCAAGAUUUGUUUAACGAAACCUGCAGCUAUUCCAUCUUAAUUAUGGGACUGUGACACUAUUGUCAAAGAAGGAAGGAGCGGUGUGUAUAGAACAGUUUAGACCUAUCUGCCUGCUGAAUGUCAACUUCAAGAUUUUCACUAAGGUAGGUACGAAUAGGUUUACGAAGAUUGCACAUGAGGUGGUGCAACCUAGUCAAACAGAUUUCAUGUCGGGCAGGAACAUACCGGAGGGUGUGGUAGUCAUUCAUGAAAUGCUGUAUGAAAUUCACUCGAAGAAACUAGAUGGGGUAUUCUUCAAGGUGGAUUUCGAGAAGGCCUAUGAUAAGGUCGAGUGGCCUUUCCUACAAUAGGCACUACGUAUGAAGGGUUUUGAUGAAAUAUAGAGAAGACAUAUUGAAUCCUUUGUACAAAAAGGGAGUGUUGGAAUUAAAAUCAAUGAUGACAUGGGCCAUUUUUUCCAAACACUCAAAGGUCUCAGGCAGGGAGAUCCAAUGUCACCUAUCCUAUUUAACAUAGUUGUUGAUAUGUUGGGAAUUCUAAUAGGAAGGGCUAAACAGGAAGGCCAAGUAGGUGGACUCGUGCCGCAUCUGGUGGAUGGUGGUGUCUCCAUUCUAGAAUAUGUUGAUGAUACUAUCCUGUUCUUGGAACAUGAUAUAGAAAAAGCUAGAAAUAUGAAAGUCAUACUCUGCCUAUUUGAACAAUUGUCAGGCUUGAAAAUCAAUUUUCAUAAGAGUGAGCUGUUUUGCUUUGGGAAAGCCAAGGACGAAUAAAACGCUUAUAAACAAUUAUUCGGAUGUGAAUUGGGAAGCCUACCAUUGAGUUAUUUAGGCAUACCAUUCACCAACGGGAACUUUCCAACAGUGCGUGGAAAUGCAUCGAAGAUCGGUUUGAGAAAAAGUUAAGCUGCUGGAAGGGCAAGUUGUUAUCUUAUGGGGGGAGAUUGAUUCUCGUAAACUCGGUACUGACGAGUAUGCCAAUGUUCCUUCUACCCUUCUUUGAAAUGCCAGUAGGGGUACACAAAAGGUUGGAUUUUUAUCGAUCAAGAUUCUUUUGGCGGAGUGAUGAGGAUAGAAAGAAAUACAAAUUAUCUAAAUGGGAUAUUAUUUGUAAGCCUAAAGACCUCGGAGGUCUGGGGAUUGAGAAUUUAGAGCUAAAGAAUAGAUGUUUGCUGAGCAAGUGGCUGUUCAGACAUUCUGUAGAGACAAAGGGCAUGGGGGUACAAAUUCUACGUACUAAGUACCUACAAUCUAAUACCUUAGCUCAGGUAAAUGUCAGAUCCAAUGACUCACCAUUCUGGAAAGGGCUGAUGAAAGUAAGGUCGGCCUUUUUUCAGAGGACUAUAUUUAUUAUCGGAAAUGGUGAGGGGACAAGAUUCUGGAGGAUACGUGGUUGGGGGACAUGCCUCUAGUUAUCCAGUAUCCAGCCUUAUACAAUAUAGUGCAACGUAAGGAUGCAUAUGUUGCCACAGUUCUACAGUCAAAUCCUCUAAAUAUCCAAUUCCGUAGAGCUUUGAUUGGGCACCGUUGGGAGGACUGGCUCCACUUGGUGAGGAGACUCCUGGAUGUCCAUGUUGGAAAUAUGCCCUAGAGGCAAUAAUAAAAUGGUUAUUAUCAUAUUUCCUUGUUCAUGAUAAUCGUCUAUUGUUCAUGCUAUAAUUGUAUUAACAGGAAACAGUAAUACAUGUGUGAAUAAAUAGAUCACAAUGUGUCCCUAGCAAGCCUCUAGUUGGCUAGCUCGUUAGUCAAUACAUGAUCAUGGUUUCCUGAUCAUGGGCAUUAGAUGUCAUUGAUAACGGGAUCACAUCAUUGGGAGAAUGAUGUGAUGGACAAGACCCAAUCCUAAGCAUAGCACUAGAUCGUAUUGUUCGUAUGCUAAAGCUUUUCUAGUGUCAAGUAUCUUUUCCUUCGACCGUGAGAUUGUGCAACUCCCGGAUACCGUAGGAGUGCUUUGGGUGUAUCAAACGUCACAACGUAACUGGGUGACUAUAAAGGUGCACUACGGGUACCUCCGAAAGUGUCUAUUGGGUUGGUACGAAUCGAGAUCGGGAUUUGUCACUCCGUGUGACGGAGAGGUAUCUCUGGGCCCACUCGGUAGAACAUCAUCAUGAGCUCAAUGUGACUAAGGAGUUAGUCACACGAUGACGUGCUACGGAACGAGUAAAGAGACUUACCGGUAACGAGAUUGAACAAGGUAUAUGUAUACCGACGAUCGAAUCUCGGGCAAGUUCUAUACCGACAGACAAAGGGAAUCGUAUACGGGAUUGAUUGAAUCCUUGACAUCGUGGUUCAUCCGAUGAUAUCAUCGUGGAGCAAGUGAGAGAAACCAUGGGUAUCCAGACCCCGCUGAUGGUUAUUGGCCGGAGAGGCGUCUCGGUCAUGUCUGCUUGUCUCCCGAACCCGUAGGGUCUACACACUUAAGGUUCGAUGACGCUAGGGUUAUAGGGAAUUGUUAUACGAGGUUACAAAAAGUUGUUCGGAGUCCCGGAUGAGAUCCCGGACGUCACGAGGAGCUCUGGAAUGGUCCGGAGGUAAAUAUUGAUAUAUAGGACGGAUGGUUUCGGAUACCGGAAGUGUUUCGGGCAUCACCGGUAAUGUACCGGGACCAUCGGGACCACCGAAGGUGGCCCCGAGGGUCCACCGAAGGGGGCAACGACCCCGGGAGGUAAGGUGGGCCAAGUGGGGAAGGGAACCAGCCCCUGGGUGGGCUGGUGCGCCUCCCCACUCAGCCCAAUGCGUGGGGGAGAGAAAAGGGGGGGGCAAACCCUAAGCCAGGUGGGCCUAAGGCCCACCAGGGGUGCGCCACACCCCUCCUCCCCCCCUUGGCCGCAGCACCAGCCCCCAUCUAGGGCUGCCGCCCCCCCAGGAGAGGGAAACCCUCAAGGGGGCGCAGCCCCUCCCUCCCCCUAUAUAUAGUGGGCACUUUUGGCCAUUGGAGAUCAGACUUUUGCCUCUCUCUCGCCGCAGCCCUGCCCUUUUUCCUCCUCCUCUCUGCCGGUGCUUGGCGAAGCCCUGCCGGGAGACCUCGUCUCUCCAUCGACACCACACCAUCGUGCUGCUGGAGUUCUUCCCCAACCUCUCCCUCCUCCUUGCUGGAUCAAGGUGCGGGAGACGUCACCGGGCUGCACGUGUGUUGAACGCGGAGGUGCCGUAGUUCGGCACUAGAUCGGAAUCGCUGCGAGUACGACUCCAUCAAUUGCGUUCUAGCAACGCUUCUGCUUAGCGAUCUUCAAAGGUAUGAAGAUGCUCUUAACCCUCUCUCGUUGCUGGUCUCUCCAUAGGAAGACCUGAAUAAGCGUAGGAAUAUUUUGAAUUUAUGCUACGUAACCCAAAAGUGGCAUCCGAGCCAGGUUUUCUAUGCGUAGAUUCUAUGCACAAGUAGAACACAAAAGUUGUGGGCGAUGAUUUGUCAAUUUGCUUGCCGCUACUAGUCUUAUUCUUUCCCGGCGGUAUUGUGGGAUGAAGCGGCCCGGACCGACUUUACACGUACGCUUACGUGAGACUGGUUCCACCGACAGACAUGCACACCGUGCAUAAAGGUGGCUAGCGGGUGUCUGUCUCUCCUACUUUAGUCAGAUUGGAUUUGAUGAAAAGGGUCCUUAUGAAGGGUAAAUAGCUUUGGCAUAUCAUCGUUGUGGCUGUCACGUAGGUAAGAAUGCGUUCUUGCUAGAAACCCAAAUCAGCCAUGUAAAACUUGCAACAACAAUUAGAGGACGUCUAACUUGUUUUUGCAGGGUUUGACAUGUGAUGUGAUAUGGCCAAAGUUGUGAUGUUGCAUGUAUGAUGUAUGAGAUGAUCAUGUUAUUGUAAUAGGUUUCACGACUUGCAUGUCGAUGAGUAUGACAACCGGCAGGAGCCAUAGGAGUUGUCUUAAUUUAUUGUAUGAGAUGCAACGCCAUGUGCUUACUACUUUUACUUCAUUGCUAAUGGUUAGCUAUAGUAGUAGUGAUAGUAGUAGUUGGCGUGACGACUUCAUGGAGACACGAUGAUGGAGAUCAUGGUGUCACGCCGGUGACGAUGAUGAUCAUGCGAUGCGUGAAGAUGGAGAUCGAAAGGGCGAAGAUGAUAAUGGCCAUAUCAUGUCACUAUAUGAUUGCAUUGUGAUGUUUAUCAUGGUUUUCAUCUUAUUGCUUAGAACGACGGUAGCAUAAUAAGAUGAUCCCUCUUAAAAUUUUGAGAACGUAUUCCCCUAAGUGUUCACCGUUGCGAAGGUUCGUUGUCUCGAAGCACCACGUGAUGAUCGGGUGUGAUAGAUCCUAACGUUCGCAUACAACGGGUGUAAGCCAGAUUUACACACACGAAACACCUAGGUUGACUCGACGAGCUUAGCAUGUACAGACAUGACCUCGAAUACAAGAGACCGAAAGGUCGAACAUGAGUCGUAUGGUUGAAUACGAUCAGCAUGAAGUUGCUAACCAUGGUGACUAGUCCGUCUCACGCGAUGAUCGGACACGGGUUAGUCAACAUGGAUCAUGUAUCACUUAGAUGACUAGAGGGAUGUCGAUUUAAGUGGGAGUUCAUACUUAAUUUGAUUAAAUGAACUUAAUUGUCAUGAACUUAGUCUAAAAGGUUUGUCUUUAUAAAUAUUGUAGAUGGCCAACGCCAACCUCAAUUUCAACGCAUUCCUAGAGGAAAACAAGCUGAAAGAUGAUGGUAGCAACUAUGUGGACUGGGUUCGCAACUUGAAGCUCAUCCUUGAAGCAGCUAAAAAUGCUUAUGUCCUUGAUGCGCCACUAGGUGACCCUCCCUCUCCCGCAGCAGCCCAGGACAUUUUGAAUGUCUGGCAAACGCGAAGUGAUGACUACUCUCUGGUUAGGUGUGGCAUGUUAUACUGUUUAGAAACGGGGCUCCAAAGGCAUUUUGAGCAACAUGGAGCAUAUGAGAUGUUCCAAGAGCUGAAGCUUGUUUUUCAAGCUCAUGUGUGUGUCGAGAGAUAUGAAGUCUCCGACAAGUUCUUUAGUUGUAAGAUGGAGGAGAACAGUUCUGUCAGUGAGCACAUACUCAAAAUGUCUGGGUUACACGGUCGUCUGACUUCACUUGGAGUUGAACUUCCGGAUGAUGCUAUAAUUGACAGAAUCCUCCAGUCUCUCCCACCAAGCUACAAAGGCUUUGUGCUUAACUACAACAUGCAAGGGAUGAAGAAGACCAUUCCCGAGUUGUACUCGAUGCUCAAGUCUGCAGAAGUAGAAAUCAAGAAAGAGCAUCAAGUGUUGAUGGUCAACAAGACCACUAGUUUCAAGAAGGGCAAGGGUAAGAAGAACUUCAAGAAAGACGGCAAAGCUGUUGCCGCGCCCGGUAAGCCAGAUGCCGGGAAGAAGAAAAAUAAUGGACCCAAGCCUGAGACUGAGUGCUUCUAUUGCAAGGGAAAGGGUCACUGGAAGCGGAAUUGCCCCAAAUACUUAGCGGACAAGAAGGUCGGCAACGUUAAAGGUAUAUGUGAUAUACAUGUUAUUGAUGUGUACCUUACCAACGCUCGUAAUAGCUCCUGGGUAUUUGAUACCGGUGUUGUUGCUCACAUUUGCAACUCAAAGCAGGAACUGCGAAAUAAGCGGAGACUGGCCAAGGAUGAGGUGACGAUGCGCGUCGGGAAUGGUUCAAAGGUCGAUGUGAUCGCCGUCGGCACGCUACCUCUACAUCUACCGUCGGGAUUAGUCUUAAACAUUAAUAAUUGUUAUUUAGUACCAGCUUUAAGCAUGAACAUUGUAUCAGGGUCUUGCUUAAUGCGAGACGGCUACUCAUUUAAGUCAGAGAAUAAUGGUUGUUCUAUUAAUAUGAGUGAUAUGUUUUAUGGUCAUGCUCCAUUGGUGAAUGGUUUAUUCUUGAUGAAUCUCGAUCGUGAAGUUACACAUAUUCAUAGUGUGAGUACCAAAAGAUGUAAAGUUGAUAAUGAUAGUCCCACAUUCUUGUGGCACUGCCGCCUUGGUCAUAUCGGCGUUAAGCGCAUGAAGAAGCUCCAUACUGAUGGACUAUUAGAGUCUCUUGACUUUGAAUCAUUUGACACAUGCGAACCGUGCCUCAUGGGCAAGAUGACUAAGACUCCAUUCUCAGGAAUAAUGGAGAGAGCAACCGACUUAUUGGAAAUAAUACAUACUGAUGUGUGUGGUCCAAUGAACGUUGAAGCUCGCGGUGGCUAUCGUUAUGUUCUCACUCUCACUAAUGAUUUGAGUAGGUAUGGGUAUAUCUACUUGAUGAAGCACAAAUAUGAGACAUUUGAAAAGUUCAAGGAAUUUCAGAGUGAGGUCGAGAAUCAACGUGACAGAAAAAUUAAGUGUCUACGAUCUGAUUGUGGAGGAGAAUAUUUGAGUCACGAGUUUGGCACACACCUAAGGAAGUGUCGAAUCGUUUCACAACUGACGCCGCCUGGCACACCGCAAUGCAACGGAGUGUCUGAACGUCGUAAUCGCACUUUAUUAGAUAUGGUACGAUCUAUGAUGUCUCUUACCGACUUAUCGCUAUCAUUUUGGGGAUACGCAUUAGAAACUGCAGCAUUCACUUUAAAUAGGGCACCGUCUAAAUCCGUUGAGACGACACCGUAUGAACUAUGGUUUGGCAAGAAACCUAAGUUGUCGUUUCUUAAAGUUUGGGGCUGCGAUGCUUAUGUGAAGAAACUUCAACCAGAAAAGCUCGAACCCAAAGCGGAGAAAUGUGUAUUCAUAGGAUACCCUAAGGAAACUAUUGGGUAUACCUUCUAUCUUAGAUCCGAAGGUAAAACCUUUGUUGCCAAGAACGGAUCCUUUCUAGAGAAAGAGUUUCUCUCGAAAGAAGUAAGUGGGAGGAAGGUAGAACUUGAUGAGGUAAUUACACCCCCUCUCGAACAGGAUAGUAGCGCAGCGCGGGAAGUUGUUCCUGUGGCGCCUACACCGAUUGAAGAGGAAGUUAAUGAUGAUGAUCAUGAAGCUUCGGAUCAAGUUACUACUGAACUGCGAAGGUCCACAAGGGCACGCUCCGCACCAGAGUGGUACGACAACCCUGUGAUGGAAAUCAUGUUGUUAGACAACGGUGAACCUUCGAACUAUGAAGAAGCGAUGACGGGCCUGGAUUCCAACAAAUGGCUUGAGGCUAUGAAAUCCGAGAUAGGAUCCAUGUAUGAGAACAAAGUAUGGACUUUGGUGGACUUGCCCGAUGACCGGCGAGCCAUAGAAAAUAAAUGGAUCUUCAAGAAAAAGACUGAUGCAAACGGUAAUGUAACCGUUUACAAAGCUCGACUUGUCGCAAAGGGUUUUCGACAAAUUCAAGGAGUUGACUACGAAGAGACUUUCUCUCCCGUAGCAAAGCUGAAAUCAGUCUGAAUCAUGUUAGCAAUUGCCGCCUUUUAUGAUUAUGAAAUUUGGCAAAUGGACGUCAAAACAGCAUUCCUUAACGGGAACCUUAAGGAAGAGUUGUAUAUGAUGCAACCAGAAGGUUUUGUCGACCCUAAGGGUGCUAACAAAGUGUGCAAGCUCCAGCGCUCCAUCUAUGGGCUGGUGCAAGCAUCUCGGAGUUGGAACAUUCGCUUUAAUGAGGUGAUUAAAGCGUUUGGGUUCAUAUAGGUUUACGGAGAAGCCUGUCUGUACAAGAAAGUGAGUGGGAGCUCUGUAGCUUUCCUCAUACUGUAUGUGGAUGACAUAUUAUUGAUGGGGAAUAAUAUAGAGAUGUUGGAGAGCAUAAAGGCCUAUUUGAACAAAAGUUUUUCAAUGAAGGACCUUGGAGAAGCUGCAUACAUAUUAGGCAUCAAGAUCUAUAGAGAUAGAUCAAGACGCCUUAUAGGUCUUUCGCAAAGUACAUACCUUGACAAGAUAUUGAAGAUGUUCGAUAUGGAAAACUCAAAGAAAGGGUUCUUGCCAGUUUUGCAAGGUAUGAGAUUGAGUAAGACUCAGUCGCCGACCACGGCAGGAGAUAGAGAGAAGAUGAGUUCUGUCCCCUAUGCAUCAGCCGUGGGCUCUCUAAUAUAUGCCAUGCUGUGUACCAGACCUGAUAUAAACCUUGCCAUAAUCUUGGUAGGGAGGUACCAAAGUGAUCCCGGUAUGGAACACUGGACAGCGGUCAAGAAUAUCCUUAAGUACCUGAAAAGGACUAAGGAAAUGUUUCUCGUUUAUGGAGGCGACGAAGAGCUCGUCGUAAAGGGUUACGUCGACGCUAGCUUUGACACAGAUCCGGAUGACUCUAAGUCACAUACCGGAUACGUAUAUGUGUUGAAUGGUGGGGCAGUGAGCUGGUGCAGCAGCAAGCAAGAAGUUGUGGCAGCAUCUACAUGUGAAGCGGAGUACAUAGCUGCUUCAGAAGCAGCUCAUGAAGGAAUUUGGAUGAAGGAGCUCAUCACCGACCUUGGAGUGGUUCCAAGCGCGUCGGGUCCAAUGACACUCUUCUGUGAUAACACUCGGGCCAUUGCCAUAGCCAAGGAGCCCAGGUUUCACCGGAAGACGAAGCACAUCAAACGCCGCUACAACUCCAUCCAGGACCAUGUCCAGAGUGGAGUGAUAGAUAUUUGUAAAGUACACACGGAUCUGAAUAUUGCAGACCCGUUGACUAAACCUCUUCCACGAGCAAAACAUGAUCAACACCAUAAUGCUAUGGGUGUUCGAUACAUCACAAUGUAACUAGAUUAUUGACUCUAGUGCAAGUGGGAGACUGUUGGAAAUAUGCCCUAGAGGCAAUAAUAAAAUGGUUAUUAUCAUAUUUCCUUGUUCAUGAUAAUCGUCUAUUGUUCAUGCUAUAAUUGUAUUAACAGGAAACAGUAAUACAUGUGNNNNNNNNNNNNNNNNNNNNNNNNNNNNNNNNNNNNNNNNNNNNNNNNNNNNNNNNNNNNNNNNNNNNNNNNNNNNNNNNNNNNNNNNNNNNNNNNNNNNNNNNNNNNNNNNNNNNNNNNNNNNNNNNNNNNNNNNNNNNNNNNNNNNNNNNNNNNNNNNNNNNNNNNNNNNNNNNNNNNNNNNNNNNNNNNNNNNNNNNNNNNNNNNNNNNNNNNNNNNUACAUGUGUGAAUAAAUAUAUCACAAUGUGUCCCUAGCAAGCCUCUAGUUGGCUAGCUCAUAAGUCAAUAGAUGAUCAUAGUUUCCUGAUCAUGGGCAUUAGAUGUCAUUGAUAACGGGAUCACAUCAUUGGGAGAAUGAUGUGAUGGACAAGACCCAAUCCUAAGCAUAGCAAUAGAUCGUAUUGUUCGUAUGCUAAAGCUUUUCUAGUGUCAAGUAUCUUUUCCUUCGACCGUGAGAUUGUGCAAAUCUCGGAUACCGUAGGAGUGCUUUGGGUGCAUCAAACGUCACAACGUAACUGGGUGACUAUAAAGGUGCACUGCGGGUACCUCCGAAAGUGUCUGUUGGGUUGCUACGAAUCGAGAUUGGGAUUUGUCACUCCGUGUGACGGAGAGGUAUCUCUGGGCCCACUCGGUAGAACAUCAUCAUGAGCUCAAUGUGACUAAGGAGUUAGUCACACGAUGAUGUGCUAUGGAACGAGUAAAGAGACUUACCGGUAACAAGAUUGAACAAGGUAUAGGUAUACCGACGAUCUAAUCUCGGGCAAGUUCUAUACCGAGAGACAAAGGGAAUCGUAUACGGGAUUGAUUGAAUCCUUGACAUCGUGGUUCAUCCGAUGAGAUCAUCAUGGAGCAAGUGGGAGCCACCAUGGGUAUCCAGACCCGCUGAUGGUUAUUGGCCGGAGAGGCGUCUCGGUCAUGUCUGCGUGUCUCCCGAACCCGUAGGGUCUACACACUUAAGGUUCGAUGACGCUAGGAUUAUAGGGAAUUGUUAUACGAGGUUACGAAAGUUGUUCGGAGUCCCAGAUGAGAUCCCGGACGUCACGAGGAGCUCCGGAAUGGUACGGAGGUAAAGAUUGAUAUAUAGGACGGAUGGUUUCGGAUACCGGAAGUGUUUCGGGCAUCACCGGUAACGUACCGGGACCACCGGGACCACCGGAGGUGGCCCCGGGGGUCCACCGAAGGGGGGCAACGACCCCGGGAGGUAAGGUGGGCCAAGUGGGGAAGGGAACCAGCCCCUAGGUGGGCUGGUGCGCCUCCCCACUCAGCCCAAUGCGUGGGGGAGAGAAAAGGGGGGCAAACUCUAAGCCAGGUGGGCCUAAGGCCCACCAGGGGUGCGCCACACCCCUCCUCCCCCCUUGGCCGCCGCACCAGCCCCCAUCUAGGGCUGUCACCCCCCCCAGGAGAGGGAAACCCUCAAGGGGGCGCAGCCCCUCCGUCCCCCUAUAUAUAGUGGGCACUUUUGGCCAUUGGAGAUCAGACUUUUGCCUCUCUCUCGGCGCAGCCCUGCCCUUCUUCCUCCUCCUCUCUGCCGGUGCUUGGCGAAGCCCUGCCGGGAGACCUCGUCUCUCCAUCGACACCACGCCGUCGUGCUGCUGGAGUUCUUCCCCAACCUCUCCCUCUUUCUUGCUGGAUCAAGGUGCGGGAGACGUCACCGGGCUGCACGUGUGUUGAACGCGAAGGUGUCGUAGUUCGGCACUAGAUCGGAAUCGCUGCGAGUAUGACUCCAUCAAUCGCGUUCUAGGAACGCUUCCGCUUAGCAAUCUUCAAAGGUAUGAAGAUGCUCUUAACCCUCUCUCGUUGCUGGUCUCUCCAUAGGAAGAUCUGAAUAAGCGCAGGAAAAUUUUGAAUUUAUGCUACGUAACCCAACAGUCCAAUUAUCACAAGAAUCUGAUUGGGUGCAUUGAAGCUUACGAAUAGCGGAUUUUUUGGUCAAAUCAAUGUAUAUCAAUCUUAUUGAUACUAUUACCAUCCCCAAAUCUCUGAAUAUUUGGAGUGUCAAGGUACCCGUAAGGAUCAAAGUCUUCAUGUGGUUUGUACACAAGGGGGUGAUUCUGACUAAGGAUAAUUUGGCUAAAUAAAAUUGGGGGCAGUACUAAAUGUAGCUUUUGUGAUAAUGACGAGAACAUUAAACACCUAUUUCUCCAAUGUCCACUAGCCAGAAUCUUAUGGCACACAAUUCGUAUAGCCUUUAACAUUAUGCCUCCAGAUAGCAUCCACACGUUAUUUUGAACGUGGCUAGAUGGAGUAGACAUGACGAUUGCAAGACACAUCCGUAUAGGAGUUUGUGCACUUCUUUGGGCUAUAUGGAACUGCAGGAAUGAUGUGGUUUUUAACAGACGUAUCAAUAUACAAUUUUUGCAGGUACUACACAAAGCGGCAUCAUUGAUCCGUACGUGGUCAUUACUCACUCCUGCGGAAACCAGGGAGCCUUUGGUUACUGGGUCUACCCGAUGGGAGAUGGUAGCACUGGAUAUCUUCAACUAGUUUGGAUGGCAGUCCAGUAAUAGGAUAGAUGGUUAGGCAUCUAGGCCUAUUUUGCCGGUUGUGGCACUUUUUGGUUUACUCUUACAUAUUUAUUGUUUUAUCAGAGACUAUGUGGAACCGUGAUUUGUUCGAUUAUUUGCAAUAAAGGGGCCUUAUGCAUCGUGCUGAUGCAGAGGCCGGAGGUAACCCUCCUUUUCUAAAAAAACCUACAAGAUGUUGUGCGAGGGCAUGAUUUGCCUGCCCACGAGUCACUCAUAUGGAAGAGUUGAGCGCCACUCUUUUUUAAUAUAAACACACUUUAUUAAUGCUCAAUAAUUGAAGAUCGGGUGGGUUUAACAACCACACAUGGCGCCAAAAAUCUAAACCAAAAGCGUGUUUAGCGAGGCUAUGUGCCUCAAGAUUAAUAGCUCUACCAUCGAAGAUGAAGGUGCGGUCAUUGAAGGUUCUUGCGGUGUGAACAAUCUCCUUGACAAUUCUUGCAUACAUCCCCCAAUUUUCUUUUUAAUGUCCAAAACCAUAGCUUGGCAAUCAGAGGCGAUAAUGACAUGUGAUAACGCAUGGUCUGAAGCAAGAGCGAGCGCCUCACGGAAUGCUAGGGCUUCAGAGUUAUUUACGCAAAACCAUCACACUUGGGGCUAGGGUAACAGAUCAUUACCACAUUUGAGCCAGGUCACAGGUAAUAGAUCAGUGCCCGUUGUUUCGGUGGCCGACGCCCACAAUGCGACCCCGUUGGCAAGUUGAGCUCAACCUCGGCGCCCAACCCCGAUGGCCUCUCCGCCGACCUGGAUUCGAACUCGUCGGCGGGGGAACAAGUUUUCCUGUCACCGCCGUCCCCGUAUGUGGAGGAGGCAGACAAGGGUGUCGCGAAGCCAGAGAAGGCGGCGGUGCGGGCUCAUUCGAUGGGGGAGGAAGUAUCCCUCUUCGCUCCAUCUCCACCCAGGUAAUCUCACUGCCAAUACCAAAAACUUAGGGUUGGAAAUGCUGCAACUUAGCGUUAGAAAUUGUUGUGGGUUAGUUCUAGCUGCACUGUACUGAAAAUGCAAUUAUUCUGUUGGCCUGAGGAGCCAUGGUCAUUAUAUUUUUGGUUUCCUUCUAAAGAUGCUGCAAAAAAGUAUGGCCUUGUGAAGAUGUAUGAGAGGGACAUCAAUUAUGGCAGUUUGCUUAAUGUGAUGGUCAGAAAUGGAUAUGGAAGUGAUGACAGUACUUGCUACUUGAGGAAUGAAGGCAUAGGGAUGCAAGGCAUUUCUGUCAUAAAAACAACAUAGAAGUAGAUGAGUUGAUUAAUCAAUUUACAAGCAGUCAGACAUUGCCUUUGUAUGUUAAAGUGGGGAAGUUAAAUAUUAAGCAAUCCCCAGUUCACAAAAAUGCAGAAGAUGAAGCAUAGCGACCAGCUGAAACAAUUGUAUUUGAUGUUAAUGAGUCAGGUGUUGUGCACAAAACAACAAAUGAUUUUUUUGAUACACAAGAGAGAAUGAACUAUAAGCCAAUAAAAGCAGUUCCUCCACCAUGUCUGUUACUUCUGGGGACACAGAAUGACCCAACUGAGCCAGAGAUGGAAGAUGCAGAGCAGGAAAAUAAUCCAUUGCAGGUUAACACUCAAGUUAGUGUUAAUUAUCAAGAUUUCUAGUUUGAUACAAAUGAAGAGGAGGAUGCAACAAAUGAGAACACAUUUGAUGAUGAAGAUGAAUAGGAGGAUGCAGCAAAUGAGGGCACAUGUGAUGAUGAAGAUGAUGACUUAGUUCUUGAUGAUGAUUUUGUAGUUCAUGUGGAGCCAGAAGAAGAAGAAGAAUUAGACUCUGGCAUUAAGAGGAAGAGAGUUGAAUACAUUUGUAGUACACACUGUGAAGGAGACACACACCCUGAAGAUUUAUAUGACACAUACUUGGAGGAAGAUGGUGAUGACUAUCAAGAGAUUGUAGUUCCUCAGUCGGUUGAAAAGAAGGUAAAAAGACCUGGGCCUACAAGUAGGUCCCACUCUAGGGGUGCUAGAAGCAUGAAUAAGGACUAGUAUCCAUCUUCAGAAGAGGAUGACACAUGCUUUGAAGCUGAUGAUGAUGGAAAUGAACCAAUGUCAUUUGUAAUCCCCUCUGGUAGAAGGAGCAGAGCUAAGAGAAGACCACCCAGGGUCUGGUAUGAUGAAGACAUGCUACAUCCAAAGCAGCAAUUCCACCUUAUGCUUUGUUUCGGAGAUGUUUACCAAUUUAGAGAGGCUCUUGUGAAUUUGCAUGUCAAACAACUUAGAAGAUACACAUAUCACAGGAACGGUAGUGAUAGGAUUAUAGUGCGUUGUGAUGGAGAGGGUUAUCAGUUCCACAUGGUUGCAUCAAAGAUCAAUAAUGAGCCCACUUUCUGCAUUAAGAAGAUGAUAUUUGAGCACACAUGUCCCACCCAAUCUGAGAAGACAAGGAUUAGCUCAACAUGGCUUGGCAACAAAAUGCUUGAAACUAUCAGAUCAGACCCCAACACAACUAUACCUGCCAUAAUUGACAAGGCAAAGAGGCAGCUUGGUCUUGAGGUUCCCAAGAUGAUGGCAUGGAGAGCAAAGAGGAAAGCAAAGAAUAUUGUGCUUGGAGAUCACAAUAGGCAAUACAAGAGGCUGGGAGAUUAUUUGGAGACUGUGAAAGCUACAAAUCCUGGAUCAAGAUGCAUUGUCACAAGUGUGAGUGGAAAAACAAGAGAAAAUCCAACUGCAAGACCAAGGUUUCAUGGUCUUUUUUUCUGUUUGAAUGCAUGUGUUGAGGGAUUUCUGAAUGGAUACAGGCCAUUCACAGGCCUAGAUGGUUGUUUCAUUAAGUUGACUAAUGGGGCACAAAUACUAGCUUCUAUCGAAAGGGAUGCAAAAAAACAUUAUGUACCCCAUAGCAUUUGGAGUGGUUGGAGUUGAAGACACACCAAAUUGGUCCUUGUUUUUGACUCAGUUGAAGUAUGCCCUAGGAGGGACUGAAGAGGGAAAAUUUGGGAAGUACACAUUCAUGUCUGAUAGACAGAAGGGUCUACUGAAUGGAUUCACAACAGUCUUUCCAAGCUGCCCUCAUAGGUACUGCUUGAGGCACAUUUAUGCCAACUUUCAGAGAGCAGGAUUCAGAGGAGAAGACUUGAAGAAAUGCAUAGAUGCAGCUGCAUAUGCUUACAGUGAACAUGACUUUCAAUUGGCAAUGGAGAGCAUGAAGGAUGCUUGGGAGUGGAUGUCAACGAUUUCUCCUCAAGCUUGGUCAGGACAUGCAAUGGAUACUAACUGCAAAACUGAUCUCGUGCUCAAUAAUUUAAGUGAAGUUUUUAAUAAGUACAUACUUGAUGUGAGAAACAAGCCAAAUUUCACUAUGAUCAAUGAGAUCAAAGACAAAUUUCUCGUGAGGUGUGAACAAAAGAGAGAGGGUGGACAAUUUGCAAGAUGGGAAAUUGCACCAACCUAUGUUGAACCUAUGGAUAUUCUCCUUGUGAUCUUGAAACUAUGUUGAGCCUAUGGAUCUUCUCCAUAUAAUUACUGAUACAUAUAAAUUACUGAUACAUAAAAAGUAUUGAUCAUAUAGAUUAUGUUUAAAUUCUAGUCUUGCAGAUAAAUUGGAUAAUUCAGUACAAAUUCAACCAUUACAUCCAUUGCAACAAUGCACUUCUGAUUACAUACUUAUAAUUCAUCACAGAUCUCCUUCAACUUCUUGAUCUUGUCCUCAUAGCCAUGCUUCUGUUUCAUCAAAUCAGAAAUGAUGUACUCCAGAUUUUUCUUCUCUUACUUCACUUGGUCUCUCUCUAGCACAAGCUGGUCCCUCCCCUUCUCUACCUUUGCCCUAAGUACCUGAUGUAGAUUGGUGCAACCAUGGUCUGCCAACUUCUUCUUCUCAAUCUCCUCUUUCAGAUCACUAAGAGCCAACCUACCAUUGACAAGCUGAUUAAUAGCCUCCUCCUUGUCAGCCACCAUUUUUGCAAAAUCAAGUUUGAAAAAUCUAAGCUCUUCCUCCAUCUUCCUCUUUUCUCCAAUUACUCUGAAAUUUUCUUCGCCAAGCUUAAGAUUGUCUUUGAUUCUGUCCUCGUUUCCUUUGUCAUACAUACUCCACAAUUUAGCUACGCAAAACUGCAUAGCAACUGACCACUCGGGGGCUAUCCACUCCAGAUAGCUGCACUUCUGUUCUGCCUAAAAUUCAAAAAAUAUCAGUGAUUAUUGGCAAUUAUAAUAAAACAUGAAAUUGAGUGGAGUAGAAACCAACUAAGAUUAACUAAUGACAGUGCUAAGCAACAUACCUUCUCCUUUGCACAAGCAAGAAAACGCCAGCCAGUGUCCAUAGAUUGAAAUGCAACUUGCCUGAGGCAAGGCUCUAGAUGCAGACAGCGGGAAGAGAGUUCAUGAGCAAUACCGCUCCAUUCAUAGCAUGGGAUAGUCCUAGGAAGCUAAAAACAAAAGAAAUUGAAAAAAAAAUCACCGAGCUGUUAAGAAAUCCCCAAACGAAGAACCCUAAACCUAACCAUAAAUGCUGGAAUCCCAAAAUUAACGUACCUCGCUAUUCACACUCUUGUUAUCCGAAGAAGAGCUUGACCCCUCGCUCCAAGAAACCAUGGCGAGUCGACGGUGGCGACGGCAGCGGGCGUCGAGGUGGAGACAGAGUGACCGGUCAGUCUGAUGUGGUCUGGUGUGACAAGCCACCCGCGCGAGCGAGUCAUACACGGCCAGGAAACGGCCAUCUCCCGUCGUCUAACGGCGCCCGUCAGCCGCGCCACGUCGACCCGACAGGUCGGUCCCACCUGUCGGUUUGGCUAUUUUCGUGGCCAAAUUGGCUUGUCAUUGCUCUGCGUUACGCAUUAGGCAUAGAACCGGUGGUCCUCUGUGACCUAGCUCAAAUGUGGUACGGAUCUGUUACACUAGCCUCAAGUGUGGUGGUUUUACAUAAUUAACUCGGGGCUUCAAGAUAGAGUCCCGACGAGUCCCUACAGUCUGCACUGAAAGAGACUUCAUUGUGGUUUCUUGCAACAGCCCCAUCCACCCUAAUCUUAAAAAUCCAGGUGGUGGUGGAAUCCAUCGUAACGAACUAUAUCGUUGAACUGGCACAAAUCCUGAAGGAGCCUUCUUCGGUUUGCACUCUUCCAGUUCCCAUAUGUACUUUAGAAUGAAAUUAUGUGUGGAAAGUGGACUUUGGAAGAUGUUUUCAUGCAAAGCUUGUCUCCUUGAGUACCAAAGUGCCCAAAGAGUUACUUAAACUUGAACAAAUUCUGACGUGGAAAGCGUACCCAGCAGAGCAAACAACUAUCAUUUAGCAUCAUGUUCCCUUGUAGUGUUUGAAGUGUCGAAAAAAAUCUUAAUUCUGUAAUGCCCAGACGCAUCAGGUGACAGUACAAUGGAGCAAUGAAUGUUUCCAUGAGCCCUCAGAACCACAGAGACCACAACUUGUGCUGGUCAACAUAUUCCGGUGGUGACAAACAUCCGCUAUUGGGAUUGACUAAUGAGCAGUCUCCACAAAAAGAUCUUUACUUUGGACGGGAGCUCGACCUUCCAAAGUUUGCUCCAAAACUUGGACUCCCGCUCAUUGUUUGAAGAAGCUAGCCUCCCUUGAAGGGUCAGCGUGGUGGUCGACGAGGUGGACGAUCUGCUGGACGGUCUAACAAUUAGGCGAGGGAAGACACCAACGAUGACCUUGACAUGGAUUUAGAGAUGCAGCGGGCCAAAGAGAACAUGAAAUGGUCUUCUGAUAUGUCAAAUCCUUUGGGUGAAGCGGGAGCUGCAAUGCUCACAGGUAAUGCCCUUCUUGCGUUGCACCCACCGGGGGUGCCAGCUAUUCCAUCAUCAAAAUAGGACCUGAAUAGGAUGAGGACAAAUUCGGAGAAGAAUGCUGGGAAGAAAGGACAAGCAAAGGAAAAGCAGACUGGAGCAAAAUCAAUGACCUCCUGAGGGGAGGAUCACCGGACACAAUGAAUCUUCUAUGUUGGAAUUGUCGUGGUGCGGGCAAAGCCACGACAAUUCGUGAGCUUCACGAUCUAGCGAAGCAAUUUGCCCCGACCGUGUUAUGUAUAGUUGAAACUCAAAUUUCAAAAGCACGAGUCGAAAGUCUUGCUGGUACUUUAGGUUUUAACCACUCUUUUGUUGUUAGUAGUUCGGGUCGAAGCGGAGGUAUUGGUGUCUUUUGGAAUGAUGGAAUAAAACUUGAUGUUUUUGGGUACUCAGAAUAUUAGUUGAUGGAAUAGUGUCCAUACCAAACUGUGCAGAUUGGAGGCUCACUUGUGUGUAUGGUGAGGCACAAGUUGGAGAGAGAUAUAAAACCUGGGAUCUGCUCAAAUCCUUGGUUGCGGCAAGCAACUUACCCUGGUUGUGUAUUGGUGAUUUUAAUGAGUUUCUACACCAGCGUGAACAUGUUGGGACUCGCCAGCGCAGGACAACUCAGAUUCAGGGUUUUCGGGAAGCAAUGGAUGUUUGUGCUCUUGGGGAUCUAGGUUACCACCGGAAGGCUUGGACUUUUGAGAAGAAGACGAUAGGGGGAAGUUACUGUCGAGUUCACUCGACCGUGCUGUGGUAAGCACGGAAUGGACCUCCCUAUUUCCUCUUGCAUGUCUUCAACAUGAGAUGGCUGCUGCAUCAUAUCAUUGUCCUAUCAGACUGAUGUUUGAACCUGGCAACCCGGUGCAGAUUAAAAAAAACUGUUCAGAUACAAACUGUACUGGGAGAAACAUGCAGAGUUCGGCUCCUCCCCGAAAGGCAUGUGGACUGGGGCUCCGGAAGGGCAAACAGUGACACAAUUGAGCAAAAACUUGGGUGACCUAUCUGCAUCUUUGCAACAGUGGAGUGGUACUACCAUCGGCAACGUUGGUAGAGUAAUCAAAAAACUUAAGAAGGAGUUGGCUACUCUACAAAAUGACCCCAACCGAGUUUCACCUUCACAUGCAGAGAUAAAGUCACAGAUCGCCUUGUUGAGCUAUAUCACAUGGAAGAAAUAAAGCAGAUGCAGCGUUCUCGCAUCGACUGGCUUUCAGAGGGAGAUUGCAAUACUAAAUUCUUUCACAGAUGAGCUAGUAUGCAUCGGCGGAAGAAUAUCAUCAAUUGUUUGGACCGUGCUGAUGGCUCUCUCACUCAUGAUCCGAAGGAGAUGGCCUCUUUGACCAAUGCUUUUUACAAAAAUAUGUUUGCAUCUGAGGGUACUUCAAGCAUGGAUGUUGUGCUCAACGUUGUCCCGGUAAGGGUCACGGAAGAGAUGAACAAGGUCCUUACAGCUCCCUUCACAGCUGAAGAGGUGAAAAUUGCUCUUUUUCAGAUGUACCCCACUAUGGCUCCAUGGCCGGACGGAUAUCCAGCACAUUUCUUCCAGAGGCACUGGGAGCUUUGUGGCACCGAGGUCACGGUCGUGGUGAUGAUAAUUCUCCAUGGGGAGGAGAGCCCUAAGGUAAUCAAUGAAAUGAUCCUUGUAUUGAUUCAAAAAGUUAAAGAUCCCACAAACCUCUCUCAGUUCUGGCCUAUAAGUUUGUGUAAUGUAAUUUAUAAGAUUGCGUCAAAGGUGUUGUCUAAUAGAUUGAAGCACAUCUUGCCUGAGAUUAUCUCUAAAGAACAAUCUGCUUUCGUUCCUGGCCAGCUAAUCAUGAGCAACAUUAUUACUUCUUAUGAAUGAUUACACUUCAUGAAGAGGAACAAAGCUCAAAGGAACAUAUUUUGUGCUGUUAAAUUGGAUAUGAUGAAGGCAUAUGACCGUGUGGAAUGGGAGUAUCGUCAAGCUAUCAUGACUAAUAUGGGCUUUGCGCCGUCAUGGGUCAACACAAUAAUGAGAAUGGUAUCUUCUGUGAAAUUUUCAGUCAUGUUCAAUGGAUCUAAACUUGAUGAAUUCACUCCUUCAUGGGGUAUCCGCCAGGGGGACCCAAUUUCUCCAUACCUAUUUUUGCUUGCAGCAGAGGGCCUUUCGUGCCUCUUAAAAACCCAAGAUGAAUCAUCUCAACUGAAUGGUAUUCGAGCAGCUCCUUAGGCUCCGCCGGUAAGCCACUUGCCGUUCGCGGAUGAUAGCCUGUUGUUUGUGAAAGCUAGCGUUACUAGAGCAAAUGAGUUGUCUUCGCUGAUGGAAAGUUAUUGUAAUGCAUCGGUCAGAGAAUAAAUCAAGUCAAAUCAUGUGUGUUCUUCAGCAAGGGGUGCCCCAACACUCUUAGAGCUGAGGUAAAGGGGACUCUAAACAUUGAAAAUGAAUCUCUCAUAGAAAGAUACCUUGGAAUGCCUUCGGUUGUUGGAACAAGCAAGAAUGGAGCGUUCAAAUUUCUAAAAGACAGGGUAUGGGCCAAGAUCAACAGAUGGAUGGAGAAGUUUCUUUCGGCUGGGGGGAAAGAAGUGCUGAUUAAAUCGGUUGCUCAAGCCAUUUCCGUGUUCUUCAUGUCUUGCUUUAAGCUUCCCUCGUGGGCUAAGUGAACAUCUGAACUCAUUGAUUAGAAAGUUUUGGUGGGGCAGUAAAGAAGGACAAAGAAAGCCAAGUUGGAUAUCAUGGAGUACGAUGACCAGACCAAAAGAUUGUGGAGGUUUAGGCUUCCGAGAUGUUGAGCUCUUCAACCUAGCUUUGCUAGCUAGACAGGCUUACAUAAUUCUGAUGGAUCCAGGGGCGUUAAGCUCACGCGUUCUCAGGGCAAAAUACCACUAGGCUUCAGAUUUCUUGCAAGCGGACCAUGGCUCAAACCCACCCCAGAGUUGUAGGUCGCUACUGGAGGGGAGAGACGUCCUAAAGCAGGGGUUGAUUCGUCGCAUCGGAGACGGUCAAUCGAUGAACGUUUGGGACCAUUGCUGGAUCCCAAGGCCAUCAAAUAUGAGACCCAUAAUGUCCAGAAUAGCUAACGCACCCCAGAUGGUAGGCGAGUUGAUCCUACCAGGUGCAGAAUGGGAUAGAGGCACGAUAACUCAUGUAUUUAUACCAACAGAUGCAGAGGCCAUUAUGUCAAUACCGCCGUGCACAAGGCAGAUUGACGAUUUUUGUUCGUGGGUCCAUGAGAAGAAUGGUGUCUUCACUGUGAGGUCGGCCUAUCGUAUGCUCGUUGAAACAGAAAUGCAGAGAAGAGUUGGGCGCCACUCAAAUGCAAAAUAUUCAUAUGGCUUGCUCUCCAGUACCGUGUCUAGGCCAUUGACGAUUUCAAUAUGCACUACAAGACACCAAUGUAUCAUUCUUUACUUCCUACCAUGAGGAGGAUACUCUUGACCACAUCCCGAUGUAGUGUGUUUAUGCUAGACAGGCAUUUCACACAUGUUUCACUUCGCUGGUUGUUCCUAUCGCCAUCCCUUCCAUAGAGGACAACUUGGAGGAGUGAUGGCUAAGAUCACGCAACGAUGUGCCAAAGACAAGCAGAAAGAUUUUUUAUUCACUAGUCAUUCUCAUUGCUUGAAGCUUGUGGAAGCAAAAAAAAUACGAGGGUGUUUGGGAAUGUGGCGCUACAACGUAAUAUCCCCCAAUUUGUUUUUUGUUUUUUUGGAAAAGGAUCCCCCAAUUUGUUAACCCUAUUCUCAAUGAUAUACAUACUUGGAGAUCGUCCAGAGCUUGGGGUUUUCAAAUAUUUAUGAGAGAGUAGCAUGUAUUUGAGGGUGGGUGUGUUGAUGCUAGUUGGUAGCCUUAUUUAUUGGGCUUACAACACUUCUUGUAAAUUACUCUCUACCUUUUAUAAAAAAUAAGGUAUGCAAUUUGCGUCCUCCCUUGAAUAAAAAAGAUGUCGUACAUUGCAAUAUGUGCUGCUGUGUUCAAGUUGACCACAGAGAAGUUUUGUAGGUUUGAUAGUGUGCUUGAGCCAGGAUACUCUAUUGCCUGUAUUGGAUGGCUGGGAAACGUUUAGUUGGCCAUCUCACAUUCAUGUUGCAGCAAUUGGAUGUACGCCGUGAAAAGGUGCUAUCCUUUUUGACUAUGACUUUUCUAUAAAAAAACCAGUUAAAAGGUGCUAUCCUUUUUGUCCUAACAGAAAAUUCCGAAGACAGAAGAAUUCUAUAAGAUGGCAUGAACGUUCCUCGUGAUGAAAAAAACUGGCUGGCCUUCACCCAUGUUCAGGUAUCAUGGUUUCAUAAGAGGAUUUCUUUCACCAGGCUAAGCAUAUUAAAAAGAAUACAACAUGAAGUUAAGUCACAACUCACAACCAUAAAAAAUAAUAGUGUGAUUCAUGUGUGAUGUCAUCUUUCUGAAUAGGCCAUGCCAAUAUCUGAGACUGAAUUAGCACUAAUAUAGUGAAUUCAGAAGUUGCUCCAAUGGCAAAAACUGGAGGGACGAAAGCAAAACAAGAAAACUGAGGGCAAGAUGGUCUUUUCACUGCUCCAUUAAGCAUUGUCAAAAGCUAGAGCGGCAAAACUGAAAUGUCAAAUUUAAGAGUGGCAUAAGGACAAAUGAACAAAAGCUAGUGAUAAAAAAAAAAAGCUCACCGUCAAUAACCGACGCAGUGGCACAAGUGUCUAGAACCCUGAAUUAUUAAUCAACACGUACAUGCGUACGGUAAUAAGAACAAGCAAGGUUAGUCGGUCGAUGCAAAGCAUUGGUAGUAAGUAAUUCAUGAUAUUAUGAUAUAAUUAUCAUUCAAUGUUGCAUAACGUGGUGUAGUUGUAUAAAAAUAGAUAAAAAUAAAUAAACAAACUAGUAGGUUGAAGGCAUGCCCAAAACCCUACUUUCGAAAACACUCAUCUAUUUCCUUAGGCUCGGUUUAGUGUUGCUACAUUACAUUGUGCUGAAUUUAUAUUAUAAUCUAUUGUAAAUAAAUAGUCUCGAACGGAAAGUAGAGAAAUGUUGGGUGAAAAUACCAGAUUAUCAUAAUUCACAUCGGUAUCAAACCAGCCUGUGAGGAAGGCUUUAGCAAUUCUAAAAUAUACCUGGAUAAUUACAUUAUCUUACAUGACUAAACUACAUAAAUACUCAACUAGAGAGAAAAGGAGCAUGCAAAAAAUAGGACAAAUCGUGGAAUCAGCUCUAGGCAUGACAUUGCACAAAUCAAGGGACACGACUAUUGGAAAACAGAAUACACGAUUUACGUACAAGACAUAUUUGAUUCUUGCUGGCAAUUUAUCAAGAUUGUUGUUAAAAAAUGAAGUUGCAAUUCAUAAGAAGUGGAAGAGAGAAAUAUGUAUUUCUGCAAAUAUUAUUGACAUGGAACUCUAGUUAUGUAUGAAGAACCAUGUAUUACAAUGCCUUCGUCAUCUUUUGCCACAUACCAAGUCCCUUGUCAACAACUUACAACUCUAAAUAAAAAUAAUAUCAACAAUUAUUUACUGAAGAUGUAAAUAUUGGGGACGAUCAUUUUCUAUAUUUUGAUACAAGUGCUAAAUAUCUGAUAAGUUUUCAGAGUUAAAUAAUAAGCAAUUUACAGGGGGCAAGUAGUUCACUAAAAAAAUGCCAAAUAAGUUUUUGCAUUGUGCAUUUCGACCACAAGUAAUCUAUAAUUUUACAUGCCUACAUUUCUAUCAGCUUCUGAAAGUAAAAUACAUGAGAAGUCUAGCUGCACAAAUGUGCAAUAUGCCCUUGCUCAUAGUAAGGAGAAAGGAAGCAAUGCAUGAUCCUGAUGAGGAUGCUGCCUACAAUGUGACCCACAAUGUAAUAAGCCCAAAUGCAUUUACUUUUCACUUGAAAGAAGAAUCAUAGAUUAGCAACAUAACAACCAUCGUGAGAUUUCAUUGUCAGUAUCCUUUUCACAGUCUAUGGAUCAUGGCACACAAGCAGCAACACUGCAAGGCAUAUUUCUGCAUCUACCAUUCCUUCAGCACAAUUUGAUCAGAAAACAGUAGAUCAAUGCAACCCAAUAAGACAGGAACCAUUCAUCACACUAUGAUUUCGUCUGAUCUCAUAAUUAUCACUACAACCUCAGCCUUACUCUGUGCACACAUCUACAAAGGAACAUGCAUUUGAUCGAACACCUACAGUGCAGACCGAAAACACCAAACAGGCCCGUACCACAAUUGAGAUGCCAGCUUCCUUCCUCAGCUGAAGAACAACAGAGUCAACUUACGGCACACGGAAGGGGGGAAUUAACACGGAGGCCUUUGGUUCGGCCGGCGCGGAAUCCCAUGACGUCGUCGGCAGUCGGCACGCGGGUCAAGCGACCCCUUCCGCGCCAGCCUCCGCCAGCGCCGCCGCUAGAAGCGCGACGAAGAGGAUGAGGAGUGGAGCCAGAGCAACGAGGAAGAGAAUCUCGGCGGCAGAUGUCCGCGCGCUUCUGGCAACCGCGCGCCGCGCCGCCGCGAGCUCGGCGCCGAGGAGGCGCGCGUUCCGGAGCUCGAACUCCUGCAGCGAGAGAAAGCGCGACGGUAAGACAGACGCGUCCGAGCCAAGCGUCGCACAUGCUAAGGGGAGGCGGAAGAGGCGUGGCAUUCCGGGUUACCACGGGGGACGAGGUCCGGCGGGUCGCCGUCGUCGAGGGAGGUGGCUGGCGGAGGGAGGAGAGGAGGAGAGACGCCCGGGAGCAGCGCAGCGCGAGGAGGAGGGCGGCGUCGGCCCCCUGCUUCUGCUUCUCCUUCUCCAUGGGGGCUCCGCGCGGGCGGUUUCUCGAAGCUUCCUGAAGUUUCCGGUGUUCAGUGUGGCGGAUUGCAGAGGAAGGACGAUGGCGUUGGUGAUGACUUUGAAAUUUGAAUGGAGAAUUUGGGGGAGACAGCUUGAUUUCUAGAGGCCUUCUUUAGGGGUCGUCCAGGGGAGCGGCUAUGUGGCGCCCAGUGCGAACGGUACACUCGGGUUGCUCACGCGCGCACUCAUGGGCCGGCACAAGUAGCGCAGUUUCUUCUUUUUCCCAUUUUUUUUCUAGUUUUUCCUUCGUUUUUCGUUGAAACAAACUAAUAAUUUUAAGAGAUAGAUGAAACUUUUUCAAUCUAGUUAUACAGAAUCAACUUAUCUAACUAAUUUAUAUGUAAUCUUUUAAAAUUCUAAAAUACGCAUGUGUUGCAAAAAUAUUCACACAUAUAGAAAACUAUUCAUGUAUUUUUAUUUAAAAAAUAAUAAAUUUGAAAAAUGUUCAUAGUAUAUUAUAAAAAAGGGGAAUGUAUUUACGAAACAUCCAUUGUGUAUUUAUAAUUAUUUAACAACGUUUCAAAAUUGAUUGUGAUGCAUUUAAAAACUAUUCAACAUGUAUUAAUAAAAUGUUCAUUGUGUAUUUCAAAAGUGUUUGACAUAUAUUUUUAAUAAAUGGUUCAUAUAUAAAAUUAUUUACAUUUACUUUUUGCAAGAAAUAGAAAAGGAGGUGGCAAUGGGUAGAACCAAAGUUGAAGUGUCGUCUCGAAGAACGUCUAGAACAUAUGCUUGAUGAACUCAACAUCUUAUUAAAGCUGCGUUAGCUGAUCUUAAAAAUUUCCCACCGAACGAACCACCACACACCAGGCAAAUCGUUCCAAGGAAUUUGGCAAGCUUCAGGUGCCAACAAUGGCUCAAGGCCCACACGGCGGAGAUCUCUACAAGCGUCUGUUGUAGGCUCAAUGUGCUUCUCCGGUUGGCGAAUGUGAAAAGCACACUACUAUACUAUUGAUUAACACUGGCCCACCCAAAUCCAUGAUAUCUAACCGUAUAGUUGCCCAUUAGUGGUUUCUUGUUAGUGAUGAAUAACAUCGAUGAUCGGCCAGGCUUGAAUCCAACCGGAAGGUUAUUACUAACUAUCAAAUGUAUAUCAAAUUGUUUUUUAGUUGUUUAUGAGAGAUGGCCAUGGGUGGAUAGUAUUAAGGACAGUAAAACUGAACUCCUUUCCUGCCCUCUUAUGCCAUCAGUGCUCAUGACCGUUCGUUUUUUGUGAUCGGGAUGUGUUGGCCGUCCGAUCUAUGUCUAAUUACAGUCUCCUUUCCGCCUGGGCUGUGAAGCUUUUCUGUACGAACGGAUGAGUUAUGUUGGGGCGCUGUCCUUGAGGGCCGCUACUCCCGUGGCCGAAUCCGAGUAAUCUGGUUGCUCGGGACUUUUUUUUGGCACAAAGGGCUUGAUGCGCGUGGGUGAUCGAUGCUUUGGACUGAGAGGACGAAUGGAUCGUUCGCUGACAGGGAGGAGGCGAGUCGAUGCAGACGAAGAGGCGACACUACCGCGGACCAGCUUUGUGCGGUAGGUCUGGUCAGGACCUCCGGACCACGUGCCGUUGCACAUCCACACGAACCAUUGCCUGGCUGUUCCCCUGUUCCCACAGCGAAACUGCUUUGCUAGGGUUUGAUGGCAACAAUCACAUUCAGUUUCUAUUCAGGCAUUCAUGGCGGAUGAUGUGCGCCGCUUGCCAACGGUGAUUAAUGGAUGUCUUUUUGUUUUCUCGUUGCUCUGCUGCUUCAGUACAGGUACGUGUAUAUAUACUUCUUCCACUACAUCUCUCAACUCACCCUUUACACUAUAGCGAUAGGACAUCCAUGAGCAUGGUGCUUUGCUAGGUUCCCUUUAUAUCUUCCUUUUUUCCCAUCCAUAUACUAUUCCUUCUUCCACCCACCGAUUAUGCUGUGCUAAUAUUCUCCCGAUCAAAAUUUUGUACAGGUAUUGUUCAUAUUGAAAUUGAGUCGGGCAAAUCUUGGAUAUUGAUUCUCACAGUUUUUUAUCUCUGGAAUUCUUGAGAUGAUAAUAUCCAAUGGUUCUUGGUCAGGUAAUAACAAUUAUUCCAUAAACGUUUCAAUCGAUCUCCGUACUCUGUCCGUUCGUCUACGUCCACCCCCAGCACCGUUAUUCUUGGAAAAUCCAACGGUGGCGGUGGUGCCUGUAUGCGCCCUUCAAUGUCUAUAAGCACAUCUGCGGCAUUGAGGACGACCGAUCCUUCUGUUGUGGUCGCUGCAAUGUGUACCACAAAAGUUAGGUGGUGCUGAAUUGGUUAAAUAAAUUGGCUCUGGCAUAGUGUAGCGAAAAGUUCUACACUUCAUAAAGCUAUAAAUGUUUUUCUUAAUAUGUACUGUUUAAUUCAUUAAAUUACCUUUCUCAUAGGGAUAUCAAAAAAGCAAUUAUAUUUGUAGAAAAUAAUGGUGAUAUCAAAGGAUCAAUUAUACUAUACCAUGUCAGCGAUAUGACAUUUCUUAUAUUUUUAUAGUCAUUAUUUUAUUUAAUAUGUAUGAUAUCAUGCAUAUGUCAUUUACUCAGCAUACAUAUCUAUCAACUCCUUUAGAGGUAGAUCCUAUGGGGUGGAGCAAGGCUACUGAUGGUUUUUCAUGUAUUCCCCCUUGUAAGUUGAAUAUAAAAUAAUGUCUAUUCAUUUUUCAGGUUAUCAAAUUAGAAAAAAAUGAUAUACCUAAUAGUCCGGAUAUUUUUUUUGUUUGUACGAAAACUCUGCUUGCAGCAUGAUCAUACUACGUGUCGAACUGCUCCUACAUUUAGAGCAUCCUUGGGUCAAAGAUCAUGCUUUAGUUAGGGACUUCAGGUCUGGUAUUAAUAGGGGUAUCUAUCAGUCUAAAACCGGUAGCAACAAAAAAAUGUGUUGGCGCUAUGGUUGUAUUUCAAGUAAAGACAAGUAUGGAGUUGUCAUCUUAUUGGAAACUGAUCACCUCUAUGGGUUACAAAUUGUAGGAUGAGAAACUUAGUAGCAGCAUCAACAUUUUUUAGCUUCGACUUGCAGGGACUCCUAUGUAUAUUCUCUUUUACUCCUUUUGCUAAAAAAAGUGAUAUACUACAUCCCUUCCAUUAUCUACAGAAUAUAUUAGUCUGGUUUGUUUGUAGCACAUCGAUUUCAAGUAUGAACAUGUCUCUACUCAUGUCGCCAUGUUCUAGCUUGUUGCUGUAGUACAUGCACUCAAACCGGUUUUUCUUGCCAUCACCUCAUCCGAUCCAGCAUAUUCGUCAGGAGCGGCCAACUACAGCCUGUAUCAUACACGACCAAGAAACUGUCUGACAGAUCCAUGGCUUGAAAUACCUCAGCAGAAAGAACAAAGAGUAUAAAUGGUUUCUAUGUUGAAAGAAAAGAUAUUUCAUAAUAAUGUUAUAACUAGAGGACAAUUAAUGAGUCUCUUUUCUGCAUCUUCGUCUUUGGAUGUAGCUACUUCGUCUUGUACAAUUUCACAGAAUGAGUUGUACUAUUUUUAACCAAUAAUACUCAUAUAUUUUGAGGCAUCUAAUUCACUUAUAUAUAUAUCCUUAAAAAAAUCAAUGUUUAUUUUUUUUAAAUAAACGGGCGCCGCAACGCGCGCCAUCAACGAUCUAGUAUGUCGAGAUUACAUGAGAGGGAAUAAGGUGAGUGGAGAAAGGAUUUAAUGAAAUUUACGAAAAAGGAGAGAGAGGAAUGGGAAAGGUAGGAAUGAUACAUACAAACAUAUUCAUAUCACAAUUCUAGCAAAAUACUACAAAAAUCAUAUCGAUAUUCUAUAAGAAGCAUAGAAAAUAUUAUAGCAUUCAUGGCAGAAUACUACAUGAUUCAUAUCUGUAUCCUAUCACAAGCAUAGCAAAUACUAUUUGUAACAUUCAUUGCAAACUCAUACAAGAUGCAUGGUGAAGUAUUACAAGAUGUGUAGAAAAAUACAAUAAUAGUCAUAAAAUAGUAUGACAAACAUGAAAAAUACUACAUAAUCCAUACACAAUACUAGAAGAUGCAUAUCAAAUUCUAACUAAUAUCAACAUUCAUGGUGAAAUCCACCACAUCGGUAUACAUGUGUUUAUAGCAACAAUGCUAAAAGAUUUAUACAAAGGAAAGGAGCUCGCUAUCAGGGCCACUCAUGUGGCCAAAGAACAUAGCGUUAGUGGGUCUAUGACUGCGCACGGUAGAGGGAGAGAUAAGACAAUCGGCAGAGCCACCACGACAACACUAGCAGGUCUAUGUCCGUGUAUGGCGGCGUGUGAGAUCAAAGGCCUUGUUUUGGGUGGACGAUGUUGCGGUAAUACAAAAGGCGGUACGGAAGGGACGCCCCAGUGCAUGCCAUGCGGAAAACGGUAGGGAGGGUUAGGAUUCGUACCAUCGAGAAGGGUAUUGCGACGUCGGCUUGGGCUUCAUGGAGAUAGUGAGAACACGCUCGAUGACACGGAGGACACAUGAUCGGCAGUGGGUAGGGCGUUGUGGCUUCGGCGAGGGUGCCAGGAUAUCAAAUCAACGAUGAGGCGAUUGUUUGAUGAGAUGAGUGAUGUGAGGGAGCACAUGAAGGCUUAUGCAUCAAGUAUCACUGUGAGAGUGGGAAAUACUAAAUACUAAAGUGGCUAUCAAUAUGAAAUGAAGUGGAAAUUGAAGAAGCUUCGAACUUGUUGUAAUCAUAAAGAACUCAAAAUACACAAUAGCAUUGUAGCAUCAUGUUCCAUAAGAUUCAGAGGCUACAUGCCCCAAGAGGGAGGCUGGUGGAAGAUAACCACCAUGUUGCCCUGACUAUAUCAAGAUUGUUGGACUCAACGACUAUGACCUCUACAACAUUCUUGCGCUACUCUAGCCAUCACUAAAAUCCACAACUUUUCUGUUUAGGUGAAAGAUUGUCUUUAACUCAACAAAAAUUCGCACAACAACUAUCCCUAGAUGGAGGUCCUCUAUAGCAGUGCGCAUUAACAGAUUUCUAAUUGUUUCAGAAUAAUUGCCAAGUAUAUAGUCAUAUAUGGUGUUGAUUAUAGUUUUUUCCAUAGUCAAGUUCUUAUUGUCAAUGCAAUUUUACAAUUUCAAUUUUAAUCUAUCAUCUAGUCUACCAUAGAUAUGACAACUACAUCAUUAAUUGACAAUCAUAUUAUACUCUCUAAUAGAUAUAAGUGACGCACGGGGAGUAAUAAUUCUUUAGAAAUUACUCUAAAUAUAUAAGUAAAGUGUGUAGAAUAAAUUUAUAAAGGCAUCCCCAAAAUUCAUAGGUCAUAGCACUACCAUAAAGUAUAAACUAUCCUCUAAGAAAACGGAAAUAGACACUCCAAGAACUUACACAUAUUAUAUGAACAUAUAAAAACAUAGGUCUAAAGAAGACGUGCUAAUAAUUGGUGAGACAACUUUUGGAAUAUAAUUAGAGAUGCAUGGAUUCCCCAAGCUUGAAUUCUUAUUUAUUUUUUCUUCACCUCUUGUUAUCGAUGUCUUCCCUAAAUCUUAAAAACAACAUACAUGUAAAACUUAAACAAGCUCGCAAUGUGGUUAGUCCAUAACACAUCACAAUAUAAACAUGAAUGUGUUGUAGAAAAAUCAUAAUGAAAUCAGUGAUGAAUAGCUAAGGUAUAUGGCAUCGUAUUUGAAUGCUCAAAGAAUCUUAGUGGUCCGAAAACUAUGCACAUAUAUCUCUUAAACAAAUAAAACACAAUUUCUUUUUUGUGGAUACACAAAGUUUGUGUAUGUUGUCAUUGAUAGAAGGAAUUAGAACGAGUACAGUGCAAAGUAUGACACAUAACAUGAACGCAAGAAUGUGUGACUAUGGUACCCAGAACAGCGAGACAAAUGAUGCUUAGACUGAACGAAGGAUACAACAACACAACUAAACCCAACAAGUAGUGGAGGAGGUAGGGGUGGCCACCAGGGGUCGAGGCCCUCACUGACAUUUUAAUUUCUUUGCAACUGUGCAUAUGAACAAUGGAAAUGUUGCAUUGUUACCUACAAUCGUCCCCUCAGCUGUAUACUUUAGACAUUCUUGCCUCCGCCACUACCAGGAAACCUAAAUCUAAAAGAGGCAGGCCGAGCCAACAUGAUGCCCAACAUCUGGGACACCGCGAGCAAGCAACGCUAGGAACUUCUAGAAGACUAUGUGUUGGUAUUGGAUGUGUGCAUCUUUUUUGAACACAAUACAUGCAUAGACGCUCAUACAUACACACGUACACCCACCCUUAUGAAUGCACAAAUACACAUUGUACCCCUAUGAGCACCUUCGAGAGACUGAUGCGGCAUAUCAUCUUGAGAUUGAGGAAGUCGCCACAAACAUCUUCAUAGUUGGCAGGAACGUCUCUAUCACUGAACGCACUUCUUCAGAAGGCCUGAAAAUAAUGUAGGAAAAAUGUGACCACCCGUGUAUAGUCUACGACUUGAACCUUGGUGGUAUGAGGAUAUCAUUGUCCUCCUAACCAUCCAACCAUAUGCAGAAGUCGGUGUGUGUGAUCAUUAUCUCUGUAUCCUCUUGAUGAUUACUUUUGAACCAAUAAAAUCCAUCCUUUGUCGAAAAACGAUUGCAUCUCAAGAGUACUAGAUUUUUCAAGAUUUUAUGUUGCUCCAGGCCAACCCUACGCAACAACACAUCACGGUUAGGAUGAGUAAAUAGCAUAAAACUACUACAGUUAGGGCUAUCGUUACAAAAAGAAACUACCAAUUUGUUUUUACGCUGAUAAGUACCAAGUCAGGGGUUGGCUAUUUCAAAAAACCCAAAACUCGCAGCACAAACGUUUUAACCCGUUUUCUAACCAAAUGGUCCUACUGGUCAGGCCACGUGGCCCAUCGCUCUCACGACGCGACCGUUAACGGCCAUUACAUUGAUCGAUGCGGUCGGAACUGGGUAAUAAACACCCAGGUACUCCUCGGUUGCUCCACUACCCGCCCACUCCCCUGCACCCACUCCCCUGCUCCAUUAUGAACACAUCGCCGCCGACGGUAGCCUAGGUCGCAGACCUCCCUGCCGUCAUGCCUUCCUGGAAUGAUAGUGAAACGAGCUCAGACAACGACUGCGGGGCCGUUGGCAUGGACAUGGGGCUUUUAGUCCUUUUUCCUUGCCAAACCUAGGGUUACGGACUGGUGCUAUCUACUGCCAUGGAUCUUGAUUAGUUAGGGAUAUUGUUGUGUCUCUGUUAUGGAUCUUGCUUAGGUAGGGUUAGGGUUGCUUGUGACCUACUCCCUAGGUCCCCAAAUAAGUGUCAUUGCUUUAGUACUAAAUUUGUACUAACUUAGUACUAAAUUUGCGACACUUAUUUUGGGGCGAAGGGAGUAGUAUUUAGGUAAAUUAGGGUUAAGGUUCUUUGUGAUUAGCGGAUUUAUGUAGGGUUAGGGGUAGUGUUCUUGCUGAUCUGGGAAUUUAUAUAGGGUUAGGGUUAGGAUUCUUGCUGAUUUAGGGAUUUAUGUAGGGUUAGGGUUCUAAUUGUUUGUGCUUUGAGUUGUUAUUUAAAAUAUUGUGGGUGAUUUUGUGGAUGUAGGAGAAACCUGAUACCAUUGUGGAGCCCCUUUUCUGUGGCCAACUUGAGCUUUCUGACACCAAAUGCAUUCUACACCACAUGAGGCCUAUGAAGUGUGUGGCUUUCGAAUGCACUUAGGCAUUUCUAUGGCUGCCCAGUGCAUGUUAUAUGUUAAUCUUAUCUUUUUUACUAUUGCAGGUCCAUAUUUGAUUGCACAAUUUUAUUGAUACAUAUGAAUGUUUAGUACCACAUUUGAUUUCACUUUAAUUGGAUGUUUAGUGCACCACAUGAGCCAACAUUUUCAGUAACUGAAUUUCUUCUUCAUAUUUCAGUAACUGAAUCUAUUUAGUGCACCAUAGAAGCAACAUUUUCAGUUAACUGAAUUUGUUCUUCAUAUUUGCAGCAAAUCUUUCAAUAGGCACAUGGCAGUGUAAUAAGUUAUCAUAUUUCAGUUAUCUUAACCAUUGCUACUUUACAAACUUUAUCAUGCUAGUGUAAUAAGUUUAUAAAUUCAUAAUCGUCAAAUGCAUGAAAAUGGUGUGAAUUGUGGGGUUGCAUAGUGGCUUGACAAGCCUUGGCCUCAUGUUCUUCAGAGAUGUUUGUCCAAGCUAUGGGAAAUGUUCCAUGAGCAGAACCGUGGAAGGUUACUUGACAUGCACAAGCUUCACGAGUGGUUGGCCAAGCUUAAGGUUGAAAAUGUCAAGCUUUGCAUUGAGUACAACAAUCUUGUUAAAGAUGUAGGCAAGAUGUAUGAAUGGCGGGAUGAGAGCGUGGGAAAAUGGAUUACAAGAAGGCAGUGGAGGAGGAAGAGUUUGAGAAGAAGAAUAAGGAGCUAGAGGAGAAAGCUAGGUUAAAGGUGCACAUGGGAAAGCUAAAACUUGCUUAGGAGCAAAGGUGCAUUUUGCAAACCCAAGUUGACAUUAUCUAAAACACCAGGAAGGCUCUGAAGGAAGUUGAAGUGUACAGAGAUCUUCUUCAAAAGGAGAAGACAAAGCUUGAGAAAGUUCUUUCCGAGUUGCUGAAAGAUGGUUAUGACAACAAUGAGAAAUUAGAGCAAAUCAAGUCCAUCCUUGAGUCUUGAAGUGAUGGUUAUGGUGCUAAUGUGUUGGAAAUAUGCCCUAGAGUCAAUAAUAAAUUAGUUAUUAUUAUAUUUCUUUGUUCGUGAUAAUCGUUUAUUACCCAUGCUAUAAUUGUAUUGAUUGGAAACAUAAAUACAUGUGUGGAUACAUGGACAAAACACAAUCCCUAGUAAGUCUCUAGUUGACUAGCUCGUUGAUCAAAGAUGGUUAAGGUUUCCUAACCAUAGACAAGUGUUGUCACUUGAUGACGGGAUCACAUCAUUAGGAGAAUGAUGUGAUGGACAAAGACCCAAACUAUAAACAUAGCGUAUGAUCGUGUUAGUUUAUUGCUAUUGUUUUCUGCAUGUCAAUCUAUCUCUUCCUAUGACCAUGAGAUCAUGCAACUCCCGGGCACCGGAGGAAUACCUUGUGGGUUAUCAAAUGUCGCAACGUAACUGGGUGACUAUAAAGGUGCUCUAAAGGUAUCUUCAAAGGUGUCUGUUGGGUUGGCAUAGAUCAAGAAUGUUAUUUGUCACUCUGUGUAACAGAGAGGUAUCUCGGGGCCCACUCGGUAUUACAACCUCACAACAAGCCUCGCAAGCAAUGCGACUAUGUAGUUAGUUACAGGAUCUUGUAUUACAGAACGAGUAAAGAGACUUGCCGGUAACGAGAUUGAACUAGGUAUGGAGAUACCGACGAUCGAAUCUCGGGCAAGUAACAUACCGAAGGACAAAGGGAAUAGUAUAUGGGAUUAUAUGAAUCCUUGACAUAGAGGUUCAACCGAUAGAGAUCUUCGUAUAAUAUGUAGGAGCCAAUAUGGACUUCUAGGUCCCGCUGUUUUUUAUUGACCGGAGAGUGUCUCAGGUCAUGUCUGCAUAGUUCUCGAACCCGUAAGGUCUGCACACUUAAGGUUCGGUGACGUUUCAGUAUAGUUGAGUUAUAUGUGUUGGUGACCGAAGGUUGUUCAGAGUCCCGGAUGAGAUCCCGGACGUCAGGAGGGUUUUCGGAAUGGUCCGGAAACAAAGAUUGAUAUAUAGGAAGUCCUGUUUUGGUCACCAAAAAAGUUUCGGGCUCAUCGGUAGUGUACGAGGAGUGCCGGGAGGGGUGCCCGGGACAUCGUGUUAGACAAUGUAAUUAUGGGUGCAUGUGUUUAAACUUCUAGGGAUAGAACGUUGGGAUUGAUCUUUUUAGUUAUUAUUCUCUUGUAGAUAAAGAUCAAUCCUAACCUCUUUCUAUCUCAUGUAAUCCUUGUGUAUUCGGUUGGCCUUUGAGCCUAUAUAACACGCAGCCGUCCCUGCCGACAAGGCAUACGAUUCUACCCCAUCUCUUCUCACAUGGUAUAGAGCCUUCCUCUUCCAUCUAUGUCCAACUCAUCUUCAUCUUCCGCCGCCGUCAUGUCCUCCUUCACCUCUCUCGCUGCCCUCGGUCACACCAUCACCGAGAAACUCUCUAGAGAUUUUUUUUUGGUGUGGAAGGCACAAGUCCUCCCCCACAUCAGGGCUGCCGGGCUGAUGGGAUUCCUUGAUGGAUCCUCGGCGGCGCCCCCUGCAGUUUUGCUCACGGAGACGGAGGUCUCAGGCAAGAAGGUGUCGGGACCCCGAUCCUAGGUCAUAAGAACCCAGCCUGUAACACAUCACAUCAUUUUGCGGCCUCACGCACGGUAAACUCCACGGCCGCCACCUUACCUUGGUCGGGACCGUUUGCGUCUUUUGGCUCACGUAUAUGAACGUGUCGCUAGCGUUCAAACGACAAGAACCCGGGUCGACAUGACUAGUUAUAAACCCAGGCGGUACAUCCAUACAGGGACAGGCAUACAUAACCCAGCAAAGCACGUGUCGGUCAUCAGCGUGUGUAGACGAGUCGUAGCAAGCUAAAAGGACUCCAUUACACUGCGUGACAUUUCCCCGAGGGAACAGACACAGCAGCAAAGAAGGAUACAUGCCGGUCAAUCAAUGUGUUCCGAGCAGUAGCAAGCUACCAAGGCCCGAUGGAAACACAAAGAGGCAUUUCCGUGUAAAGAGUACUACUAAAGGCAAACAACUAGGUGUCGAAUCCCAUACAUAUAAUGCAUUUCAAACAUACACACAUUAUGCACGAUAUGUGUAGAUACAACAUGGCAUCACAACAUAACCCUAUGACUCAAGCAUUUAAAGACUCAUAAGAGGCAACAUAGUAUAAUAUUACAAACAGGGGUCNUUUGACUCUUGGCUAACUUGUACUACGACUACAAUUUCUUUCUUUGAGGUGGGAUAGCGCACACGAGUCCACAUAUUCACCAAUUCAAUACACCACUAUGGAUCCACUCUCGUCUCCCUAAGAGAAGGCCUUCCAUAGCACUCACACUUAUCUUGCAUGUUUUAGAGUAUCCAUUUAAAUUUUCUAUGUACCACGUAAUGUUUCCAAGUAGUCCCUAUCCGAGGACGCGGCUAUUCGAACAGAUUGAAUCACCCUGCAGGGGUAUACUUCUUCACACAUGCUCCCACCACUUAGCACCAUAUGCACGUCAUGCAUCUCGGCAACCUUCAAGCGGAAGCACUGGCGUGGGUGCCGGCCACAACCGUUAACCACACAAGACCCUAGUCCAGGUUUAUCGCCUAUUUGAGACUGAACCCGCAAGGAAGUUCGACCGAGGUUUCCUCUAUGGCCCCAAACGAUGUGUGCAGGGUUCCCAAGCCCACCAUCCGGGUGCCACUUGGUACACCGUGCCACUGUGUAUCUACCUAGUGAAGCCUACCCCGUCGGGCAGAGCUAAACACGGCCGCCAACACUUUUCCUACAAACACCAGAAACUAAUUGCAACUCCUGGACAGGGAUCUAGGCCAUUAACAAGACAAGCGGGGUCAUAUUUCAGGGCCCAAUGCAUGGUAGUAUCUUGUCUUGGAUAACAUCCACAGAACUCAGUUCUUAAGGACGGUCUCAAUGAGACAACCCACCAUGUACUCCUGCAUGGCCUCUCAUCGCUACCUUUACCAAAUCUAAUUCACACUUUUACUCUCACACUGUAGAACAUGAUCACAACCAUUCCGGUUCAUCAUCCAGAUGGAUCAGACCCGACACGACUCUAAGCAUAGCAGGCGUUGUAAACAAGCAUGGAUGAGUAAGCACAACAAGGCUCAAGCAGUUGCUACUCAUGCUAAGUGAUUUCAACUAUUUACUGUGACAAAAUCAGGUCAUGCACAAGAAUGGGUUCAACUACCGAUAACAUGUACAGUUGAAUCGUGUUCGUCCUAAUGCAGUAAAAGAGAGCAGGAGCGAGAGAGUGGGUUUAUAUCAAUAUGCUCAAGGGGGGUUUGCUUGCGUAACACGUCUGAAGAUAGCAAUGAGUCUUUAUCAAUGUCAACGUUCACAUCAUCGGAAACAUCGUUUACCGAGAGGAAACAACACCGGCAAACAAGAAAGAACAACAAUUACUUCACGGAAAUGCAACACUAUGAUGCAUGUUCAAGACAUGAAAUGAAAGGUGGCAGGGCUAAUGUGGCUAUCAUUUCUUAAGUUGAAGUUGGUUUGAAUUAGGAUUCAAACAUCACUUCAAGCCGGGUAUCUUUCCAAGUACCCUUAUAAUUGAUUUGACCUGAUGCUCAUAACAAAUUGUUCCAACAUGCACGGAGUUAGUAUUUUGAGGUACUGAUUUGCAUUGACCAAUGUUUGGUCAUAACAAUUGAAGUGGAAUUCAAAUAAGUAUCAAAUUCCAUCUCCAAACUAAAUAUGAAAUUUAUCCUAUUCACCAUUUUGCCUAUUUGGUGAUGUUAACUUUUUCAAACAUGCAUGAAAAUGCCAUAAUCAGAUUCUUUGGAUUUUUCUGAUCCUUUUUCAUAUAUAAAUUAUUUUCAUCCGAGUUAUAUUUUAUUUUCUAUGACUUUUUGAAGUUUUAGGCAUUUUCUGGAAUUAUUUUAUAAUAGGAAAUUAAUUACUGUGUCAGCACUGCGUCAGCAGUCAACUGGCCCAGUCAGAGUCAAACCUGACGUGUGGGGUCUACACGUCAGUGACAGAGGUUAAUUAGGAGGGUUAUAUUAGUUUUAUUUCCUGUUUUAGAAUCGUAGGGCCCAAUGUGAGUGACUCUUUAGGUUAGUUAAUUUGGUUAGUUAAUUUUGUGACUGACUUAAGUUAAACAGGGAUAGGCCCCACCUGUCUGUGACUCAGGGGAGUCAACCCACCAUCACACGGGGUCGAUACCACCGGCGGCUCAACGCCGGCGACUACAGACGCGGCGGAGCUCAUCGGAAAAUCCCUACGGGCAUCCAUUUCGGUCGUGGUUUGGCUCUACGGCUAGCUGAUGAAGCGCAGCAUCCAUUCCGACCAAGCCACGGGUCAGGAGGUGGCUGGGGUGAGGCCGGCGACGACCUCGGGCGGUGGCCGGAGUCAGCCAUGGUGGGGGUUGGCGCUAGAGGGCAGGAACGGAGGGGGAGAGCAUAGGAGGAGGAGCAGGAGCUCACGGCGGCUCCAUUUCUGGCAUCGGCGAUGAAGGGGAGGCUCGGAGCAGGCCGAAUCGACGGCGGCGGAUCCGGUGACCGGAGGGAGAAACGGCGACGCUGCGGGGGCUCGGGAGCUCGGAGGAGUUGAUGGAGAGUAGCAGCUCAUCGAGGCGGAGGUUUGGAGCGCGUCAGGGAAGCGAGGGGUGGCUGGGGUCGACGGCGACGAACUUGAGCAGUGCUCGGCAACGACGGCGAGAGAAGAGAGGAAACAGAGAGAGGAGGAGGGGAAUGGAAUGGGGAGGAGAUAAGGAGGGCUUGACGUCGCGCUGGCAAGAGAGCAAGGGGGAGGCGACACGACGAGCAGGAGGUGGCAAGGCACGACGGCGAGCUUGCCACGGCUCUGCUCGUCCUCCUGGCAGAGGAGGAAGAUGACCUCCUCGCCCCUGGUGGACUGGGCCUGGAGGGGCGACAGGUAGGCUUUUCUGUUUUCUUCUCUUUAUUCUUUUCUGUUUUCUAUUUGCUAACAUUUGUGUUGAUUUGAAAAUAAAUCCAAAUCAUUUUGCAAAAUCCUUAUAAUUUUUUUAUGUGGCAUAAAUAUAAAUGUCCAAUACCACAUAAUAGAUUCAGCAUUUAAAAAGUUGUAUUUUAUAUAUAGAAAUUAUAAUUCCAUUUAAAAUAGUUGUUUGAUUAAUUUAAAAAAACCAAUAUAAAAAGUUUCUGUGAUCCAAAAUAUUGGUUGACAUUUUUAUUUCAGUCCAAUAUUUUAUUGGAAAAUCAGGAACAUUUCCUUGAAUCAAUUUGAAGCAUUAUUUAUGUUGCUUGUUUGGCAAAAAUUUAAAUGAUGAGGCUUGAUCACUCCUCAUUUCAUUUCCAAAAGAAAAAAAAUCGGAAUGCAUGCAUGAGAUGCAAAGACAAACAAUUCUAGGUCUGGGGCUGUGACAACUCACCCCCACUAAACAAGAAUCUCGUCUCGAGAUUCAAGCGUAGUCGGGAAGAGGAAGAGGGGACACUAAACUAUCACAAUCUUCACGAUCCAUUUGCUCCUCUCGAGGACGUUGAUUCAUCGCACCAUGUUGAUCUUGACAUCUUUGUCCUUGAGGUCUUAAUCUAGCUUGACGACAAAAGAACAGAGAGACGACAUAAGAUUCGAUCUCCUCUAAGAUCGAGCAACUCAAGAUCAACUCAUAGAAUGAGACGUAGGAACAUCCCUUGAGCUGAGACACAACACACAUAACACGGACGAGGAAAUGAGACAUAUGACAGAGGUUCGAUUGGUAGGCAACAAAUCCAGGCUUAAAACAGAUGCUGGCGAGGUUUCAAAGUAGCGAGGAUUAGGUUUCCCUUCAUACCACAACGGGGCACCUUAGGAAGGUGACUUUUAGAGUUAUUCCCCUCAAGUGGCAAAAGAAUUACUUUUGAUCCUAAGAUCAUUGAAACUCUUCAUACCAGGGUAAGGCAAUUCACAAAUGAUUGUUGGAGGAAUUUGAAAGAAUGGCAUACUCAGUUGGAAAGAAACUAGGGUUAUAGAACAACUCAGCGAACGGAAGGCACAUUCCAAUUAUUACCGAGGAUAUAACCUAGUGUCUGAGUGUGCUCUCAAGAACUUGAGCAUUUCCAUAUUCAUCAAAGUUUUACCAAUAUCUGUGCCAAGAUCUUGGUGACACAACCUACUACUAUGAUGAACAGAGAUGGAGGAUGCAGAUGCAAAAGAAGACAACACUUCCUCAGAUUUCACCUUAGCUGUGCCAAGGGAACGUAAUCUCGUUGAUCGACCGAGAGACAUUUAGCACUCCGCUUCUAAUGUUCUCCUUGAUGUACUAGCACAACCCAAUUAUAGAUCAUGCUUGAUAUUUAGCACAUCAAGUAUAGGUCAGACUUCGGGACUCAAAAGGUCCAUGAGGAACAACUUCUGAAAUAAGUUAUACAUAGUCCUCACGGGGGAUGGCUAAGAUUGCUGAUACAAGAUAUUAUAAUAUCAAGUCUUCCGGCUAGAUGUGUUAGCCAUUACAUCACUUUACCGCGUUACCUAGAGACCAAUAUUAUAAUUCUUGGGGAAAGUUCCAACCAUUCUAACUGCCUGAGAUUCAGCUCCGGUUGGUGCCAAGAUGCUUCAGACUCAGCAUGUCCAAAAAGAAAGUUUGCAACACAAAUCUACAAGAUAACGUUGCGUGAUUCUUAGGAAAUGAACUACGGAAGACAACUCCAAAACAUGAGCUGGAUCGCAAGACCCACGUGAACACACUGCCCAAGACAACUGUGAACACAUGAAAAGUCUUACAACAAAACAUUACCGAGUUCUGGAUGGGAACCAUCAUUGCGGAUAACGAAGCCAUGUGCAAGUCCGUCUGGGCCCUUCGGGAAUGACACCUAACUUCUUUUCCUUAAACAAAUCAAUCAAUGGCUUGGUGUGCUAGGAGAUACAUAUGGAGUGAAGAUGAUCAGUCUAUCAAACCAUAUAAUACUUCACACUUGCAUGAUUGACUUGGAAUGAUUCCGAAGAAACAAAUUAACUUUUCUCGAAUUCAAGGCAGCAACUUGCAUCAGGUGCUCAUGAAUUAGAGGAAGUCACUCCUUACACCUAACAUAUACCUCGUGCACAAGACACGAAGACAAUGUCUACAAAGUUUCCAGCACUAGCUUGAUGUCCAACAUAGAUCAUGGAACAAGUUAGAAUGUUGCCGAUGGGCUCAACAACAAUUCAUCAAGAUACCCAUAUAAAUGGACUUCCACAACUAUGUGAGCAAGAUAAUAGCAUUGGUCAGAUCAAGGAAUAUAAUGGUGUACGCUCAAGGAAAACCCUGAGUAAGACACUGUUAUGAAAAUCUUUGGCUCUGAGUUUGAUUUGACAAUAGCCCAUACUCAAAUCAAAAUUGGACAAGAUAAUAUAUGCAACAAUUGAUCGCAUGACUCAACUGAUGAAAAUAUCAUUUUUCUUCAAGACUCCCACAACAGGAAAGAUAUCCCUUUUAAACGAGCUAAGUUUAGGCGAAGCUUUUAUCUUCCAACUCUCCAAGUUGUUGUUUAGCUUAACCAACUAGCUCGGGGUAUCCAAUACGGAUUCUUGGAGAAGGGGUUGGUUUAUAAAAAAACCAACUUGAUCACGAGCUCUAUCAUAACAGUCAGGAAACAACCUGGUAAUACCUCCGAGAAGAUGUUCGGGAAAUCACGAACCACCGAUAUAUUAUUAAGCUCGGGAACAAUCUUGCUUUUCAGGGCAAGAUGAUGUGAUCAAUAUAGCGAGGGAUUGACACAAUCCUAACCCAUCGAUCGAAAAGUGCACCAUGAAACAUGGACUAGGUAGCACGGUCAAUCUUAGAAUGACGAUUCAAUCACCAUCACCAUAAGAGUGAAAUUAUUGUCCAUUAGCUACCAAGCAAUAACAUUGCUAGGAGUAUUCAUUUCACACGUCAUGGUUCACUUGUCGAUAUUCCGGUUUCAACCAACACGAAAACCGAGGAGGGAACACUGAUAGCGAGAAGUAUCACUACAUCAAGAGCUCAUAAGAGAUAGUGCAAUUCUCACGACAUUCUUGACAACAAGAGGGUAAUACUCCAAGAUAGAACAGAACAAAAGCUGGGUUAGCAUUUCGAUCUACGGAAUGCAACUACUUUGAGCCAAUCCAAGAAAUGGUUGAGGUACUGGAGUUUGCUUCUCCCAGUGAUUCGAGAAUAGAACAACUUGAUGGACCACGAAAUAAAAGACAUUGAUGACAUGAAUGCACAACUAUUCUUGACUAUCCUCUCAUGGAUGAAGGUCAGAAUACAACUAGAUAGGGCCAACUCAAGAGCACAUGGUUUCUUGAGUUGUGGAUGCAUGGAUUAGCAUGUCGAACGAGUUCAACAAAAUUCUUCCAGAUAAUCCGUGCAGAAGGGCGGAGUAGGCAGAAUCACAAUAUAGAGUAGAGAACUCAUCACGAGCACUCUUGUUAUGAUCUUUAAUUCACGGAGAACUUCUGCCAAAGAUGAUUCAUGGGGUUGGUAGAAUGAUAUACCAUGAACCUUGGGAACUACAACAAGGUUACUAAUCAUUCUAUAGGAACUAGCAACACUAUCAACGGAGAUGAGCAGAAUGAUCAUUGGAUUCAGAGACCCAGAAAUAGAGUACCUACAAGCUAUUUAACAUCACGAGAUGUUUUUUGAAAAUGAUGGCCAGAACUAUCACACUGGAAGACAUUCCACACAUCUGGACUAUUGGGUAGUUUUCGGAGUAACAUGUUUUCCUAAUACUUCAACAAAACAUCGAGGUAACAAAGUACCUAAACACAAUUAUUAGUGUGCUUUGUCCGGCCGAAAGACAUUGGGAAAAAGGAAGGAAUUUGCAAUCGCAUCAGACUAUUUGGGAACUUUGGAAAACUCGGAGAGCAUAACGGCUGUACGGGCAUGAAAUAUGAGGCAACCUGCAAGAAAACUAACAACAUAACAAUUGAAUUCUUAUGGAGACACUGAUCCAGGAAGACAACAACUUUUCUAUAAGUCUCCAGCAUGGUAACUCGUCAUCCUAAUGAAUAGAUCAGAAAGCCUAAUUCUUAAACCCCGUAGAAUAAAGAAGAGGGUGACUUAGAAUAAGAAUGACACAAGGAAAGGAGUAAAAGAGCCUUACGUUCCCAUCCACAAACAAUUCCCUUAUAUGACUAAAGAGUUGCUAGACUCAACAUCGACCAGUUUGGCUUGGCUAUCCUACAGGCAGUCAAGCUCUGAUACCAAAGCUGUCGGGACCUCGAUCCUAGGUCAUAAGAACCCAGCCUGUAACACAUCACAUCAUUUUGCGGCCUCACGCACGGUAAACUCCCCGGCCGCCACCUUACCUUGGCCGGGACCGUUUGCGUCUUUUGGCUCACGUAUAUGAAUGUGUCGCCAGCGUUCAAACGACAAGAACCCGGGUCGAAAUGACUAGUUAUAAACCCAGGCGGUACAUCCGUACAGGGACAUGCAUACAUAACCCAGCAAAGCACGUGUCGGUCAUCAGCGUGUGUAGACGAGUCGUAGCAAGCUACAAGGACUCCAUUACACCGCGUGACAUUUCCCCGAGGGGACAGACACAACAGCAAAGAAGGAUACAUGCCGGUCAAUCAAUGUGUUCCGAGCAGUAGCAAGCUACCAAGGCCCGAUGGAAACACAAAGAGGCAUUUCCCUGUAAAGAGUACUACUAAAGGCAAACAACUAGGUGUCGAAUCCCACACAUAUAAUGCAUUUCAAACAUACACACAUUAUGCACGAUAUGUGUAGAUACAACAUGGCAUCACAACAUAACCCUAUGACUCAAGCAUUUAUUAAAGACUCAUAAGAGUCAACAUAGUAUGAUAUUACAAACAGGGGUCNNNNNNNNNNNNNNNNNNNNNNNNNNNNNNNNNNNNNNNNNNNNNNNNNNNNNNNNNNNNNNNNNNNNNNNNNNNNNNNNNNNNNNNNNNNNNNNNNNNNNNNNNNNNNNNNNNNNNNNNNNNNNNNNNNNNNNNNNNNNNNNNNNNNNNNNNNNNNNNNNUUUGACUCUUGGCUAACUCGUACUACGACUACAGUUUCUUUCUUUGAGGUGGGAGAGCGCACACGAGUCCAUAUAUUCACCAAUUCAAUACACCACUAUGGAUCCACUCUCGUCUCCCUACGAGAAGGCCUUCCAUAGCACUCACACUUAUCUUGCAUGUUUUAGAGUAUCCAUUUAAAUUUUCUAUGUACCACUUAAUGUUUCCAAGUAGUCCAUAUCCGAGGACGCGGCUAUUCGAAUAGAUUGAAUCACCCUGCAGGGGUAUACUUCUUCACACAUGCUCCCACCACUUAGCACCAUAUGCACGUCAUGCAUCUCGGCAACCUUCGAGUGGAAGCAUUGGCUUGGGUGUCGGCCACGACCGUUAACCACACAAGACAGUCCAGGUUUAUCGCCUAUUUGAGACUGAACCCGCAAGGAAGUCCGGCCGAGGUUUCCUCUACGGCCCCAAACGAUGUGCGCAGGGUUCCCAAGCCCACCAUCCGGGUACCACUUGGUACACCGUGCCACUGUGUAUCUACCGUAGUGAAGCCUACCCCGUCGGGAGAGCUAAACACGACCGCCAACACUUUUCCUACAAACACCAGAAACUAAUUGCAACUCCUGGACAGGGAUCUAGGCCAUUAAUAAGCCGAGCGGGGUCAUAUUUCAGGGCCCAAUGCAUGGUAGUAUCUUGUCUUGGAUAACAUACACAGAACUCAGUUCUUAAGGACGGUCUCAAUGAGACAACCCACCAUGUACUCCUACAUGGCCUCUCAUCGCUACCUUUACCAAAUCGAAUUCACACUUUUACUCUGACACUGUAGAACAUGAUCACAACCAUUCCGAAUCAUCAUCCAGAUGGAUCAGACCCGACACAACUCUAAGCAUAGCAGGCGUUGUAAACAAGCAUGGAUGAGUAAGCACAACAAGGCUCAAGCAGUUGCUACUCAUGCUAAGUGGUUUCAACUAUUUACUAUGACAAAAUCAGGUCAUGCACAGGAAUGGGUUCAACUACCGAUAACAUGUACAGUUGAAUCGUGUUUGUCCUAAUGCAGUAAAAGAGAGCAGGAGCGAGAGAGUGGGUUUAUAUCAAUAUGCUCAAGGGGGGUUUGCUCUCCUGACACGUCUGAAGAUAGCAAUGAGUCUUCAUCAAUGUCAACAUCCACAUCGUCGGAAACAGCGUUUACCGAGAGGAAACAACACCGGCAAACAAGAAAGAACAACAAUUACUUCACGGAAAUGAAACACUAUGAUGCAUGCUCAAGACAUGAAAUGAAAGGUGGCAGGGCUAAUGUGGCUAUCAUUUCUUAAGUUGAAGUUAGUUUGAAUUAGGAUUCAAACAUCACUUCAAGCCGGGUAUCUUUCCAAGUACCCUUAUAAUUGAUUCGACCUGAUGCUCAUAACAAAUUGUUCCAACAUGCAUGGAGUUAGUAUUUUGAGGUACUGAUUUGCAUUGACCAAUGUUUGGUCAUAACAAUUGAAGUGGAAUUCAAAUAAGUAUCAAAUUCCAUCUCCAAACUAAAUAUGAAAUUUAUCCUAUUCACCAUUUUGCCUAUUUGGUGAUGUUAACUUUUUCAAACAUGCAUGAAAGUGCCAUAAUCAGAUUCUUUGGAUUUUUCUGAUCCUUUUUCAUAUAUAAAUUAUUUUCAUCCGAGUUAUAUUUUAUUUUCUAUGAAUUUUUGAAGUUUUAGGCAUUUUCUGGAAUUAUUUUAUAAUAGGAAAUUAAUUACUGUGUCAGCACUGCGUCAGCACUCAACUGGCCCAGUCAGAGUCAAACCUGACGUGUGGGGUCUACACGUCAGUGAUAGAGGUUAAUUAAGAGGGUUAGAUUAGUUUUAUUUCCUGUUUUAGAAUCGUAGGGCCCACUGUCAGUGAGUCUUUAGGUUAGUUAAUCUGGUUAGUUAAUUUUGUGAUUGACUUAAGUUAAACAGGGAUAGGCCCCACCUGUCUGUGACUCAGGGGAGUCAACCCACCAUCACACGGGGUCGAGACCACCGGCGGGUCAACGCCGGCGACUACAGACGCGGCGGAGCUCAUCGGAAAAUCCCUACGGGCAUCCAUUUCGGUCGCGGUUUGGCUCUACGGCUAGCUGAUGAAGCGCAGCAUCCGUUCGGACCAAGCCACGGGCCAGGAGGUGGCCGGAGCGAGGCCGACGACGACCUCGGGCGGUGGCCGGAGUCGUCCAUGGUGGGGGUUGGCGCUAGAGGGCAGGAAUGGAGGGGGAGAGCAUAGGAGGAGGAGCAGGUGCUCACGGCGGCUCCAUUUCUGGCAUCGGCGACGAAGGCGAGGCUCAGAGCAGGCCGAAUCGACGACGGCGAAUCCGGUGACCGGAGGGAGAAACGGCGACGAUGGCGAUGCUGCGGGGGCUCGGGAGCUCGGAGGAGUUGAUGGAGAGUAGCAGCUCAUUGAGGCGGAGGUGUGGAGCGCGUCAGGGAAGCGAGGAGUGGUCGGGGUCGACGGCGACGAACUUGAGCAGUGCUCGGCAACGGCGGCGAGAGAAGAGAGGAAACAGAGAGAGGAGGAGGGGAAUGGAACGGGGAGGAGAUAAGGAGGGCUUGACGUCGCGCUGGCGAGAGAGAGCAAGGGGGAGGCGACACGACCAGCAAGAGGUGGCAAGGCACGACGGCGAGCUUGCCACGGCUCUGCCCGUCCUCUUGGCAGAGGAGGAAGAUGACCUCCUCGCCCCUGGUGGACUGGGCCUGGAGGGGCGACAGGUAGGCUUUUCUGUUUUCUUCUCUUUAUUCUUUUCUGUUUUCUAUUUGCUAACAUUUGUGUUGAUUUGAAAAUAAAUCCAAAUCAUUUUGCAAAAUCCUUAUAAUAUUUUUAUGUGGCAUAAAUAUAAAUGUCCAAUACCACAUAAUAGUUUCAACAUUUAAAAACCUAUAUUUUAUAUAUAGAAAAUAUAAUUCCAUUUAAAAUAGUUGUUUGAUUAAUUUAAAAAAAACAAUAUAAAAAGUUUUUGUGAUCCAAAAUAUUGGUUGACAUUUUUAUUUCAGUCCAAUAUUUUAUUGGAAAAUCAGGGACAUUUCCUUGAAUCAAUUUGAAGCAUUAUUUAUGUUGCUUGUUUGACAAAAAUUUAAAUGAUGAGGCUUGAUAACUCCUCAUUUCAUUUCCAAAAUAAAAAAAUAGGAAUGCAUGCAUGAGAUGCAAAGACAAACAAUUCUAGGUCUGGGGCUGUGACAGAAGGAGUCCAGAUCGACUCCGAAUCCUGCCUACACCGUAUGGUAUAGUCAGGACCAGCAGGUUCUCACCUUCCUGCUGGCCUCUCUUUCGUGGGAUGUCCUGCUCCAAGUCCACGACGCACCACCUCCUUCGGCAUCUGGUAGAUGAUCCUCUUGCUCUUUGCCUCCCAGUCUCGGGCACGCAAGAUCCAACUCCGUGGUCAGCUCUCUACAACCAAAAAAGCUGAUCUCUCUGCUGCCGCAUAUUACACCAAGAUGAAAGGUUUUGCAGAUGAACUUGCGGCUGCUCGCACACCUGUUGACGAAGACAAGGUCGUCUCCCACAUCCUCCACGGGCUUGAUUCGGACUACAACUAGUUUGUGUCUGCUAUCUCCACCCGCGCUGCAGCAGACAACCCCAUCGGCCUUGGCGAAAUCUUCUCGCUCCUUCUCUCGGCUGAGACUAGGAUCGAGGCACAGAACAACACCGCCGCCCACUGAUACGUCCAUUUUGCAUCAUGCUUUCAUGUUGAUAUUUAUUGCUUUUGGGGCUGUUAUAUUACUUGUGGUACCAUAUUUAUGCCUUUUAUCUCUUAUUUUGCAAGGAUUAUUUGAAGAGGGAGAAUUCAAGAAGAUGGAAUUUUGGACUGGAAAAGGAGCAAAUCCUAGUCCACUAUUCUGCACAUCUCCAAAUGCCCUGAAAUUUUACGUGGGUUUUUUCUGGAAUAUAUUAAAAAUAGUGGGCGAAAGAACUACCGGAGGGGGGCCACCAGGGCCCCACAAGCUUGCCCACCGCCACCACCCCCCUGGUGGCGCACGGCAGGCUUGUGGGCUGCCUGAAGGCCCACUAGCCCCCCUCUUUUGCUAUAUGAAGCAUCCUGGUCUGGAAAAAAAAAUCAAUGGGGAGCUUUUUCAUGGUUUCGCCGCCGCCACGAGGCAGAACUUGAGCAGAUCCAAUCUAGAGCUCCGACAGGAUGAUCCUGCCGGGGAAAUUCCCCCCCCCCCUGGAGAGGGAAAUCGUCGCCAUCGUCAUCACCAACACUCCUCUCGCCGGAGGGGAGUCAUCUCCAUCAACAUCGUCAUCAGCACCAUCUCCUCUCCAAUCCCUAGUUCAUCUCUUGUAACCAAUCUUCAUCUCGCAACUCCGAUUGGUACUUGUAAGGUUGUUAGUAGUGUUGAUUACUCUGUGUAGUUGAUGCUAGUUGGAUUAUUUGGUGGAAGAGUUUAUGUUCAGAUCCUUGAUGCUAUUCAUUACACCUCUGAUCAUGAUUAUGCUUAUGUCUUGUGAGUAGUUACUUUUGUUCCUGAGGACAUGGGAUAAGUCAUGCUGAUAAUAGUCAUGUGAAUUUGAUAUUCGUUCGGUAUUUUGAUAUGAUGUAUGUUGUUUUUCCUCUAGUGGUGUUAUGUGAACGUCGACUACAUACCACUUCACCAUAUUUGGGCCUAGAGGAAGGCAUUGGGAAGUAGUAAGUAGAUGAUGGGUUGCUGGAGUGACAGAAGCUUAAACGCCAGUCUAUGCAUUGCUUCGUGAGGGGCUGAUUUGGAUCCACUAGUUUAAUGCUAUGGUUAGACUUUGUCUUAAUUCUUCUUUUGUAGUUGCAGAUGUUUGCGAGAGAGGUUAAUAAUAAGUGGGAUGCUUGUCCAAGUAAGGGCAGUAACCAAGCGUCGGUCCACCCACAUAUCAAAUUAUCAAAGUAACGAACGCGAAUCAUAUGAACAUGAUGAAACUAGCAUGACAGAAAUUCCCGUGUGUCCUCGGGAGCGUUUUUCCUCCUAUAAGACUUUGUUCAGGCUUGUCCCUUGCUACAAAAGGGAUUGGUCCACUUGCUGCACCGUUGCUACUACUUGUUACUUGUUACUCUUUGCUUGCUACGUUUCACCUCGCUACACAAUCACUUGUUACCGCUACUUUCAGUGCUUGCAGUUAUUACCUUGCUGAAAUCCGUUUAUCAGAGCCUUCUGCUCCUCGUUGGGUUCGACACUCUUACUUAUCGAAAGGACUACGAUUGAUCCCCUAUACUUGUGGGUCAUCAAGACUCUUUUCUGGCGCCGUUGCCUGGGAGUGAAGGGCCUUUGGUAAGUGGAAAUUGGUAAGGAAACAUUUAUAUACUGUGCUGAAAUUUAUUGUCACUUGUCACUAUGGAAACUCUUCCUUUGAGGAGUUUGUUCGGGGUAUCUUCACCACGAACAGAAGCACGAGGAGUUGCUCCUCAACCUGAGGUACCUACUGAAAAUAUCUUUUAUGAAAUUCCUUUGGGUAUGCUUGAGAAACUGCUCGCUAAUCCUUUUACAGGGGAUGGAUCUUCACAUCCAGACUUUCAUCUAAUCUAUGUAGAUGAAGUUUGUAGUUUAUUUAAGCUUGCAGGUUUGCCCGAGGAUGAGGUAAAGAAGAAAGUCUUUCCUUUAUCUUUGAAGGAUAAGGCGUUGACAUGGUAUAGGCUAUGUGAUGAUGCUGGAUCAUGGGGCUACAAUCGGUUGAAAUUGGAAUUUCAUCAAAAGUUCUAUCCUAUGCAUUUAGUACAUCGUAAUUGGAACUUUAUUUAUAAAUUUUGGCCUCGUGACAGGGAAAGCAUAGCUCAAGCUUGGGGAGUCUUAAAUCAAUGCUAUAUUCGUGCCCCAAUCAUGAGCUCUCGAGGGAAAUCAUCACUCAAAACUUUUAUGCUCGGCUUUCUCAUGAAGAUCGUACCAUGCUUGACACUUCUUGUGCCGGUUCUUUUAUGAAGAAGGAUAUUGAUCAGAAGUGGAAUUUAUUGGAGAGAAUCAAAUGCAACUCUGAAGAUUGGGAGCUGGAGGAAGGUAAGGAGUCAGGUAUGAAUUUCUAGUUUGAUUGCGUUAAAUCUUUUGUUGAGACAAACACUUCUAGAGAUUUUAGCGCUAAGUAUGGACUUGACUCUCAGAUAGUAGCUUCUCUAUGUGAAUCCUUUGCUGAUCAUGUUGAUCUUCCCAAAGAGAAGUGGUUUAAAUAUCAUCCUCCUGUAGAAAGCAACAUAGCCAAAACCAAUCUAGUUGAGGAGAAAAUCAUAGCUUUUAGUGAUCCUGUUGUUCCUUGUGCUUAAACUGAGAAACCACCAUACCCUGCUAGGAUGAAGGAUUAUUCUAAAGCUCCAACUGUGAUACGUAGGGGUUACAUUACACCACUUGCACCCCCUGAGGAGAUUAGAGUUGAACCUAGUGUUGCUAUUAUCAAAGAACUCUUAGCCGAAGACAUAGACGGGCAUGUUAUCAAAUUCUGUGAGGACUCCGCUAGAAUUGCUAAACCUCAUGCGAAAGACAAGCACGGACCUGUAGUUGGCCUGCCCGUUGUUUCUGUUAAGAUAGGAGAUCACUGUCACCAUGGUUUAUGUGAUAUGGGGGCUAGUGUUAGUGCAAUACCCCGUUCUCUAUAUGAUGAAAUCAAAGAUGAGAUUGCACCUACUGAGUUAGAACCCAUUGAUGUCACUAUUAUGCUAGCUAAUAGUGACACUAUCUGCCCUGUGGGAAUUGUGAGAGACGUAGAAGUCCUGUGUGGUAAGACGAAGUAUCCUACUGAUUUCCUCGUCCUUGGUACUGCACAAGAUAGCUUUUGUCCCAUCAUAUUUGGUAGACCCUUUCUCAACACUGUCAAUGCUCACAUUGAUUGCAUUAAGCAGACUGUCACAGUAAGUUUCGACGGUGUGUCUCAUGAAUUCAAUUUCUCCAAGUUUGGAAGACAACCCCAUGAAAGAGAGUCGUCGGGUAGAGAUCAAAUCACUGCUCUUGCCUCUAUUGCCGUACCUCAUACGUAUCCUUUAGAGCAAUAUCUGCUUGAGCAUGAAAAUGAUAUGCAUAUGGAGGAGAGAGAUGAGAUAGAUAGAAUUGUCUUAGAACAACAUCCUAUUCUCAAGAAUAAUCUGCAUGUUGAACUACUUGGGGAUCCUCCCCCACCAAAGGGUGAUCCUGUAUUCGAGCUUAAACAGAUGCCUGAUACUCUUAAGUAUGCCUAUCUUGAUGAGAAGGAGAUAUAUCCUGUCAUUAUUAGUGCUCUCCUCUCAGAGCGCAAAGAGAAGAAGUUACUAAAAACUCUGAGGAAGCACCGCGCUGCUAUUGGAUAUACUCUUGAUGAUCUUAAGGGUAUUAGUCCUACUCUAUGUCAGCACAAGAUUAAAACCGAUUCUGACUUUAAACCAGUUGCUGAUCAUCAAAGGAGAUUAAGUCCUAAGAUGAAAGAGGUCGUUAGAAAAGAAAUAUUAAAGCUUCUAGAAGCAGGAAUCAUUUAUCCUGUUGCUCAUAGUGAUUGGGUAAGUCCGGUACAUUGCAUACCUAAGAAGGGAGUUAUCACCGUUGUUCCUAAUGAUAAGGAUGACUAAUCCCACAAAGGAUUAUUACCGGCUAUAGAAUGGUGAUAGACUUCUGGAAACUGAACAAGGCAACCAGGAAAGAUCAUUAUCCUUUGUCGUCCAUCAACCAAAUGCUAGAAAGGCUAUCAAAGCACACACACUUCUGCUUUCUAGACGGUUAUUCAGGUUUCUCGCAAAUACCUAUGGCACAAUCUGAUCAAGAGAAAACCACUUUCACCUGCCCUUUCGGUACCUUUGCCUAUAGACGUAUGCCUUUUGGCUUAUGUAAUGCACCUGCCACCUUCCAAAGAUGUAUGAUGGCUAUAUUCUUUUACUUUUGUGAAAAGAUCGUCAAGGUUUUCAUGCAUGACUUCUCCGUUUACGGAUCUUCCUUUGAUGAUUGCCUCAGCAACCUUGAUCGAGUCUUACAGAGAUGCGAAGAAACCAACUUCGUCUUGAAUUGGAGAAGUGCCACUUUAUGGUUAAUGAAGGUAUCGUCUUAGGACACAAAAUCUCUGAAAGAGGCAUUGAAGUUGAUAAGGCUAAGGUUGAUGCAAUUGAGAAAAUGCCUUGCCCCACAGAUAUCAGAGGUAUACGAAGUUUCUUAGGUCAUGCUGGUUUCUAUAGAAGGUUCAUUAAAGACUUCUCUAAGAUUAUAGGCCUCUUACCAACCUCUUGCAGAAGGAUGUUCCUUUUGUUUUUGAUGAGGAUUGUGAGGAAGCCAUCGAAAUACUUAAGAAGGCUUUGAUAACCGCACCUAUUGUUCAACCACCUGACUGGAACUUGCCCUUUGAAAUCAUGUGUGACGCUAGUGAUUAUGCUGUUGGUGUUGUUCUAGGACAAAGAGUUGACAAGAAGUUGAAUGUCAUUCACUACGCUAGUAAAACUCUAGACAGUGCCCAAAGAAACUAUGCCACUACGGAGAACAAAUUUUUAGCAGUCGUGUUUGCAUGUGAAAAGUUCAGAUCUUACAUAGUUGACUCCAAAGUCACUAUUCACUCUGAUCAUGCUGCUAUUAAGUACCUUAUGCAGAAGAAGGACGCUAAGCCUAGGCUGAUCAGAUGGGUUCUCCUGCUACAGGAAUUUGAUUUGCACGUCGUUGACCGAAAGGGUGCUGAUAACCCUGUAGCAGAUAACUUGUCUAGGCUAGAGAAUGUCCUUGAUGACCCACUACCUAUUGAUGACAGCUUUCCUGAUGAGCAAUUAAAUGUCAUCCGCACUUCACAUAGUGCACCGUAGUAUGCCAAUUAUGCAAAAUAUAUCGUAGCCAAAUACAUACCACCCAGUUUCACCUAUCUGCAAAGGAAGAAAUUCUUCUUUGAUUUGAGACACUACUUUUGGGAUGAUCCUCACCUUUAUAAGGAAGGAGUAGAUGGUGUUAUUAGAUGUUGUGUGCCUGAACAUGAACAGGGACAGAUCCUGCAGAAGUGUCAUUCCGAAGCCUACGGAGGACACCAUGCUGGAGAUAGAACUGCCCAUAAGGUAUUACAAUCAGGUUUCUAUUGGCCCACUCUCUUCAAGGAUGCCCGUAAGUUUGUCUUGUCUUGUGACGAAUGCCAAAGGAUAGGGAACAUCAGUAAGCGUCAAGAGAUGCCUAUGAACUAUUCACUUGUCAUUGAACCAUUUGAUGUCUGGGGCUUUGAUUAUAUGGGACCCUUCCCGAGUUCCAAUGGGUAUACUCACAUCUUAGUUGUUGUGGAUUACGUUACUAAGUGCGUAGAAGCUAUCCCCACUAAAAAUGCUGAUCACCACACCUCUAUUAAGAUGCUUAAAGAAGUCAUAUUCCCAAGAUUUGGAGUCCCUAGAUACUUGAUGACUGAUGGCGGUUCACACUUCAUUCAUGGUGUUCUCCGCAAGAUGCUAGCUAAGUGAUGUCAACCAUAGAGUUGCAUCUCCUUAUCAUCCUCAGUCCAGUGGUCAAGUUGAGUUGAGUAAUAGGGAGAUCAAGUUGAUCCUACAAAAGACUGUCAGUAGAUCUUGAAAGAACUGGUCUAGCGAACUUGAUGAUGCACUAUGGGCUUAUAGGACUGCUUAUAAGAAUCCCAUGGGCAUGUCACCGUAUAAAAUGGUUUAUGGUAAGGCCUGCCAUUUACCUCUUGAGCUGGAACACAAAGCUUAUUGGGCAAUCAAAGAGCUCAACUUUGAUUUCAAACUUGCCGGUGAGAAGCGGUUGUUUGAUAUCAGCUCGUUAGAUGAAUGGAGAGCCCAUGCAUAUGAGAAUGCCAGGUUGUUCAAGGGAAAGGCUAAGAGAUGGCACGACAAACGAAUACAGAAACGAGAGUUCAAUGUAGGUGAUUAUGUCUUGCUAUACAAUUCUCCUUUGAGAUUCUUUGCAGGCAAGCUUCUCUCUAAAUGGGAAGGUCCCUAUGUUGUCGAGGAAGUAUAUCAUUCUGGUGCCAUCAAAAUCAAUAACACGGAAGGAAAUUUUCCUAGAGUGGUAAAUGGGCAAAGAAUCAAGCAUUAUAUCUCUGGUACUCCCAUAAAUGUUGAGACCAAUAUCAUCAAUGUCAUAACUCCAGAGGAGUACAUAAGGGAUGUUUAUCAGCCUGUUUCAGACCUUGAAAACGAAGAUGUAUCUGUUUCGGCAAAAAAUUGGACUCUGAUACUUUUCCAAUAGGAAAUUUCCUCAGUUUUGGAAUUUUUGGAAAAUUAGAAAAAUAAAAAGCAGUCCGGAGAGCAAACGAGGCAGCCACAAGGGCCCACUCCGCCACCACCCCCUGGUGGCGGUUGGCAAGCUUGUGGGCACCUCGUGUGCCUCUCGGACUCCGUUUUCUUGCGGAGGACUCCUUCUGGCCCAGAAAAAAAUCAAUAUAUAGUCGCCCGAAGGUUUUGAUCUCCGUAUCGCGUAGUCUUCCUCUGUUUUCGCUUUGAGCUUGUUUCUGCCGCAGAUCUAGAUCAUCAUGACUUCCCCAAACGCUCCUAAUGACAAGAUCUUCGAGAAGGUCAUCAAUCCCUACCUCACGGAGGUGCUGAAACACCCUCAAUCUAUCAAGAUGUGCGAGGGGAUGUUGCACAUCCGUGAUGUUGAGGGGCCUAAGAAGACCGGAAGCAUGGAGACGAGGCUCGUAGCAAUGGAGCAACAAGUCUUCAAGUGCCAAGGGAUGGUUGAGCGUGGACUCAACGCCAACCAUACGAUGAUCGCGGAGUUCACUAGCAAUCACAAGAUGGAUGUCAUUGAUAUUGGGAAACACCUCUCCAGACUUUACGAUAAGGUUGACCAACUUCAGGGCCAGAUCUAUGACCUGCAGAAUCAAAACUGUGAGUAUGAGUACAGAUUUAAAUCAAUAAGGUUGGUUGCAGAUUUGAGGAUUCCGGCGACUCGUUCAUCCUGCCACGAUGGAGCACCUAUGCCUUGGAAGACGGAGGAUCAUACUACUCCAACAACACCACCAUCACUGCCAAAGGAAGACAACUAAACAUUGGUAUGGGCAAUCCCCUUGGUUUUUGCCAAGCUUGGGGGAGUUGCCCUGGUAUAGUUCUUUCCUUUAUAUCUUUUGCUUUUACCUUUGUUUUAGUUCUUUCCUUUUCAGUUUUUAUUUCUUCUUUUAGAGGAAUAAGUCUUUAGUUUUUAGUUUGAGGCUUUUGCUUUUGUCUCUCCCCCGAUGUAUUCGAGCUUACGAGCUAUAUAAUAAAGAGUGUCUUAGUCAAGGGCUUUGCUUUGUGCCAUGAUCAAAGAGUAUGAAAGAACGAUAGCAUGAAAGAUCAUGAGACGAUCUUAUGGAAAGUGAUAACUUCACUUAUGACAAGUAUGAUGAUUGAAACUUGUUGAGAAUAAAUCAACAUAGACCUCAGUCAUUGUUGUAAUUAAUAAGAAGUAAUAAGGAAAGAGAGGUUCACAUAUAAAUAUAUCAUCUUAGACACUUUUUACAAUUGUGAGCACUCACCAAACUAUUACAUGCCUAGGAGUAGAUGUUGGACAAGGAAGACAACAUAAUGAAUUGUGUUUGCUUGGUUCCAAACAAUGUUAUAUGAUUAGAGAUCCCUUAGCACGUGACGAUUGUUUCCACCUCAUAUUAGCCAAAACUCCCGCACCAAGUAGAGAUACUACUUGUGCAUCCAUAAACCUCCAACCAGUUUUGCCAUGAGAGUCCACCAUACCUGCCUAUGGAUUGAAUAAGAUCCUUCUAGUAAGUUGUUAUCAGUGCAAGCAAUAAAAAUUGCUCUCUAAUAUGUAUGAUCUAUUAGUGUGUGAAAAUAAGCUUUGUACGAACCUGUGAUGAGGAAGACAUAAAAACGACAGACUGCAUAAUAAAGUUCUUUGUCAUAGGGGGCAAUAUAAAGUGAUGUUCCUCCGCACUAAGAGGACAAGCAUUCAUACCUCAAAAGCGCAUGACAACCUCUACUUCCCUCUGCGAAGGGCUUAUCUUGUACCUUUACUUUUUACCCUUGUAAGAGUCAUGGUGAUCAUCACCAAUUCCCUUUUUGCCUUUGUCCUGGCUACCUUCACAUGCUUGGGAAAGAUCUAUAUUCAUAUAUCAACUUGGAGUUGAGUACUCAUGCUUUAUUAUUGUUGACUUUACCCAUGAGGUAAACCGUUGGGAGGCAAAACUAUAAGCCCCUAUCUUCCUCUGUGUCCAGCUGAAACUUUGACACCAUGAGUACCACAUGAGUUGUAACAAUUGUGGAAAACAAAAGAGAUGAUUGAGUAUGUGGGUUUGCCUUACAAGCUCUUAUUUGACUCUUUCUGAUGUUGUGAUAAAUUGCAAUUGCUUCAAUGACUAUGGACUAUUGUUGGUUACUUCUCGGUAAGGUUUUUGCUUCAUGCUUUCCUUUGUGAAGGAAUUGUUACUUUCCCAAAAGAAUCUUUAUGAUUUAUUGCUGUUCUAUGUGUGAUCAUGAUGCCCUCAUGUCCGUAUUAUGUUUUAUUGACACCUUCGUCCCUCAACAUGUGGACAUGUUUAUGGAACUUGGUUUUCGCUUGAGGACAAGCGAGGUCUAAGCUUGGGGGAGUUGAUACGUCCAUUUUGCAUCAUGCUUUCAUGUUGAUAUUUAUUGCUUUUUGGGCUGUUAUAUUACUUGUGGUACCAUAUUUAUGCCUUUCCUCUCUUAUUUUGCAAGGAUUAUUUGAAGAUGGAUAAUUCAGGCAGCUGGAAUUCUGGACUGGAAAAGGAGCAAAUCCUAGUCCACUAUUCUGCACAUCUCCAAAUGCCUUGAAAAUUUACGUGGAUUUUUUCUACAAUAUAUUAAAAAUACUGGCCGAAAGAACUACCGGAGGGGGGCCACCAGGGCCCCGCAAGCUUGCCCACCACCACCACCACCCCUGGUGGCACAGGGCAGGCUUGUGGGCUGCCGAAGGCCCACUAGCCCCCGUCUUUUGCUAUAUGAAGCGUCCUGGUCUGGAAAAAAAAUCAAUGGGGAGCUUUUUCGUGGUUUCGCCGCCGCCACGAGGCGGAACUUGAGCAUAUCCAAUCUAGAGCUCCGGCAGGACGAUCCUGCCGGGGAGAUUUUCCUCCCGGAGGGGGAAAUCGUCUCCAUCGCCAUCACCAACACUCCUCUCGUCAGAGGGGAGGCAUGUCCAUCAACAUCUUCAUCAGCACCAUCUCCUCUCCAAUCCCUAGUUCAUCUCUUGUAACCAAUCUUCGUCUCGCAACUCCGAUUGGUACUUGUAAGGUUGCUAGUAGUGUUGAUUACUCUUUGUAGUUGAUGCUAGUUGGAUUAUUUGGUGGAAGAGUUUAUGUUCAGAUCCUUGAUGCUAUUCAUUACACCUCUGGUCAUGAUUAUGAUUAUGUCUUGUGAGUAGUUACUUUUGUUCCCGAGGACAUGGGAUAAGUCAUGCUGAUAAUAGUCAUGUGAAUUUGAUAUUCGUUCGGUAUUUUGAUAUGUUGUAUGUUGUUUUUCCUCUAGUGGUGUUAUGUGAACGUCGACUACAUAACAUUUCACCAUAUUUGGGCCUAGAGGAAGGCAUUGAGAAGUAGUAAGUAGAUGAUGGGUUGCUGGGGUGACAGAAGCUUAAACCCCAGUCUAUGUGUUGCUUCGUGAGGGGCUGAUUUGGAUCCACUAGUUUAAUGCUAUGGUUAGACUUUGUCUUAAUUCUUCUUUUGUAAUUGCGAAUGCUUGCGAGAGAGGUUAAUCAUAAGUGGGAUACUUGUCCAAGUAAGGGCAGUACCCAAGCGCCGGUCCACCCACAUAUCAAACUAUCAAAGUAACGAACGCGAAUCAUAUGAACAUGAUGAAACUAGCAUGACAGAAGUUCCCGUGUGUCCUCGGGAGCGUUUUUCCUCCUAUACGACUUUGUUCAGGCUUGUCCCUUGAUACAAAAGUGAUUGGGCCACUUGAUGCACCGCUGCUACUACUUGUUACUUGUUACUCUUUGCUUGCUACGUUUCACCUCGCUACACAAUCACUUGUUACCGCUACUUUCAGUGCUUGCAGUUAUUACCUUGCUGAAAUCCGUUUAUCAGAGCCUUCUGCUCCUCGUUGGGUUCGACACUCUUACUUAUCAAAAGGACUACGAUUGAUCCCCUAUACUUGUGGGUCAUUACCCACUCCCUUAAUCUGGUCUCCAAAGGGAGUGGCCGCGGCAAUCCGGCGCGCUUCUCUUCCGGCGGCGGCGCCCCUACACCAACCACUUUGGCGCUGCUACAUCGUCUCCUGGAGGAGGCGCUCCAUCACCACAAGGCCCACUUAUCUGCCAGAUUUGCAAGUUUGAUGGCCAUGGAGCAUGGUCUUGCAAGAAACGGUUCGACAAGUCCUUCAACAACAACCCCAAGCGCCAAGGCAAUCGUGCUAAAUCUGCAAACACGGCGGCUGCCUCCUAUGGUGUCGAUACCAACUGGUAUCUUGACACUGGCACGACAGAUCAUGUGACAGGUGAACCGGAGAAACUCACUGUCCGUGAUCGCUACACUGGCCCCGAACAAAUCCACAAUGCUAGUGGUCAAGGUAUGGAAAUUGCACAUGUUGGUCAUGCCCUCCUUCCUACUGCUCAUGAAUCUCUUAAGUUGAACAACAUCCUGCAUGUUCCUACCGCAUCUAAAAGCCUUCUUUCUGGUCAUCACCUAGCCAAAGGUAAUCAUGCCUAUCUUAUUGUUUACCCGGAGUUCUUUUCUGCGAACGAUCAGGAAACGGGGAUAACAAUCCUUCACGGACCAAGUAGUGGUGGUCUCUACCCUAUUGCUGCUCAGCCGGCUUCUCCUGGACAUCAACUCCUUGGAGUCAUCAAGCCCUCUACCUCUAGGUGGCAUAGGCGACUAGGACACCCAUCUCUUCUAGUGGUGCAACAAAUACUUCGUAAUCAUCAUCUACCCGUGUCAAAUAAAACAUAUCAUCACCUUGUUUGUGAUGCCUAUCAAAUAGCCAAGAGCCAUCAGUUACAUUACUCUCGUUCCACUAGUGUGUCCAAAGCUCCUUUAGAGCUCAUUUUUUCCGAUGUAUGGGGCCCUGGGCCUCUUUGUGUUGGUAGACAAAAAUACUAUGUCAGUUUCAUAGAUGAUUUUAGCAAGUUCAGUUGGAUUUAUCUCAUUAGAAAUAAAUCUGACGUGUUUCAAAAGUUUCUUAUCUUUCAAGCACUUGUUGAGCGUCUCUUUAAUUGCAAAAUCAUUGCUAUGCAAACUGAUUGGGGUGGCGAAUAUCAAAAGUUGAACCAAUUUUUUGAGCGCAUUGGUAUUACCCAUCAUGUGUCAUGCCCUCAUGCGCACCAACAAAAUGGUUCCGCCAAACGCAAACAUCGCCACAUUGUCGAGGUUGGUCUCUCUCUCUUUUAGCUCAUGCAUCCAUGCCACUCAAGUUUUGGGAUGAGGCAUUCCUCACGACUGCCCAUCUCAUCAACCGUGUUCCUAGCCGUGUCAUCCAAAAACAGACACCUCUUGAACGAUUGUUUCACAUCACACCAGAAUACUCCUCCCUUCGUAUCUUAGGAUGUGCGGUAUGGCCUAAUCUUCGCCCCUUCAACAAACACAAACUCGAAUAUCGUUCCAAACAAUCUGUUUUUAUUGGCUACAGUUCUCUACACAAAGGAUAUAAGUGUCUUGAUGUCUCCACAGGUCGAGUUUAUAUCUCUCGGGAUGUUAUUUUCGAUGAGCAUAUUUUUCCUUUUGCUGCAUACAUCCUAACGCCGACGCUCAACUACGUGCAGAACUUGUCCUUCUGCCAUCCUUUCUUCUUAAUUCCCCACCUACUGUUCCUCAGGAGGAAGUAUGUACUGAUAUUGUGUCAAUUUCCACUAACAGUAUGCCCAAUACUAAUGCAAAUCUCGAAGCAGAUCGUCAUGGUUUUAUGCAUGCAGAUCAUGCUACAGAAUCGGCGGCCAUAGCAGAUCGAGGCGUCGCGGCAUCCGGGGCUGAUUCGCCUGCACAAUCUGCCUCGGGAUCGCGCCCAGAUUCGCCUACCAGCGUGGCCUCGGGAUCUCAUGCGUCACGGGUGUCAACGGCUGGCUCCAACCGGCAGCAGAUGGCCCCACCAGAUCUGCCUCCUCUGCGCCUGCAUGCACGAGCCUUGGGCUCGGUGCCGCUACCCGCCACCGACCACACCUCGGGUCAUGCACCACCUGAUCCGGUCGCCUCUACCGACCGCGCAUCGGGACAGGGCGAACCUGGCGCUGUCUCCUCUCCGCCCGAUGCGUGCGCCAGCACUCGCCUGCCACCUUCUCCUCGGGAGUUGGAGUCGGAGGUGGCUCCCGCUUCCCCGACAUCCCCCGCGCCUGGUCGCCUGUCGGUUUCUAUCCUGCUGCAUGCGGCCGAUGCUGACGCUGCGACCAUGUCGUCGUCUGCGAUCUCCUUCGACGCCCCUCCUGCAAGCCAUCUUCGUCCACCACCGCCACCACCUCCUCCAACUCGCACACAUACGAGGUCAAAAAGUGGUAUCCUCAAACCUAAAGAGUAUAAAGAUGGUUGUAUCCGUUGGGGUUCUUUUUGUGCCACAGGUGAACCACAUAACUUGCAGGAGGCCCUGACUCAUCCUAAGUGGAAAGAUGCAAUGGAUGAAGAAUAUCGUGCACUUAUGGAUAACCGUAUUGGCACCUCGUGCCACCCCAGAAAGGUACAAAUAUUAUUGACUGCAAGUGGGUUUAUAAAGUAAAACGGAAAUCUGAUGGCAGCAUUGAUCGUUUUAAAGCACGUCUGGUAGCCAAAGGUUUUAAACAACGUUACGGUCUUGACUAUGAGGAUACUUUCAGCCCUGUUGUUAAAGCUGCUACUAUCAGAUUAAUUCUCUCUAUAGCUGUCUCCAGAAAUUGGUGCAUGCGGCAGUUGGACGUUAAGAACACGUUUUUACAUGAUGUUCUAGAAGAGGCUAUUUUCAUGAAACAACCACCUGGGUAUGUGGAUCACAUGUCACCUAACUUGGUCUGUAAGCUUGACAAAUCACUUUAUGGCUUGAAACAGGCACCUAGGGCAUGGUACUCUCGUUUAUCUAUCAAAUUGCAGUCUCUUGGUUUUGUACCUUCCAAGUGUGAUACGUCACUUUUUCUGUACUCUCGGGCUGGUGUCACUAUAUUUAUGCUCAUCUAUGUUGAUAAUAUCAUUGUUACUAGCUCCUCUCCUCAGGCAAUUGAAGCUCUCCUUAUUGAUCUUCGCAUGGACUUUGCUCUCAAAGAUUUGGGUCCUCUCCAUUAUUUCCUUAGAAUUGAGGUAACUACUAUUGGUAAUGACAUUAUUGUAUCUCAAGGAAAGUAUUUGCUUGAAGUACUUCAAUGAGUAGCCAUGCCAGGAUGUAAACCAGUUAGUACACCAUUGUCAACUCUGAGAAAUUGUCUUUAUUUGAUGGUCAUCCACUUGGAGAGGAGGAUUCCACUCAGUACAGAAGCAUUGUUGGUGCUCUCCAAUAUUUGACUUUAACUCGUCCUGAUAUCUCUUUUCAAGUUAACAAAGUUUGCCAGUUUUUACAUGCACCCACUUCCGCACAUUGGACUGUUGUAAAGCGCAUUCUUUGAUAUCUGCAAGGCACAUUAACUCAUGGACUUCGCAUUCGUAAGUCUGACUCUAUGUUGGUAAGUGCUUUCUCAGAUGCUGAUUGGGCAGGUUGUCCUGAUGACAGGAAAUCCACUGGAGGGCUUGCUGUUUUUGUUGGAGGUAACCUGGUAUCUUGGACUGCUCUUAAACAACCUACUGUCUCUCGUUCUAGUACUGAGGCAGUGUAGCGACCCGACUCAAAACGAGUCAAGCCUCUGUGUUUCUGUGCCAUCCCUGGAUCAGUAUGCUGGCACACACAGUACAUCAAUGUAUAUAUUAAAGUGCAAUCACAUGUAAAUAGCGUAAAACUGAUAUAUACCUUAAAUAUCUCAGCGGAAGCAGUCAAGGGAGUGGAGUCCCAAUAAACACCAACGACAAGUUGAGUGUAGACCGUAACCCUGAAUCGCACUCUUACUCGUCGAAGAAAAUAUCUGCAACAUAAGACGUUGCAGCCGUGUAGGUCAGCAUAUUGAAUAUGCCGGCAAGUCACAUAAGAGAGGGGUGAAAAGCAAUCAUCUAUACUAUAUGCAUAUAUGGCAGGUGGGGCUAUAAGUUUUUAGCGAAAAGCAAGUUUUCUCCUACAUCAAGAGAGGGCUAAAAGCAAAAUGUUACUACGUAGUUGGUUGUUAAUGAGAUGGUUCCGCCAACCAGUUCUCAUACCCGAGUUAUCAAUAUUACCCUCAUCAAAUAUAUAUAAUGGUGUUGAGAAUUUCAGAUAACUUCAGUUCCUUUGGCUCAAGUUGUCCAUGACCGUGGACACGGCUAAUCGAUUAGGUUUGAGUACUCUGCAGAGUUUUGCACACGUUCCCCACAAGAUUUGAUCACCUCCGUGUAUGUCCUCGCACUUCAGGGUGUUUGAAGACCGGAUGAUCAAAACAUGGUCUUUCAACGGUUCCCUCUGAAUCCCUGUCGGUGCCCAUCCAAUCCUACCGUUCUUCUACAUCUGCUAGCACCGCCUGUCCAGAGUCGCCGCGUUGUCCAACCAAGCCAGAGCCCAUAAUGACUUGUGGCUGUGCAGGUAAGCCUUGGGUCUUGAAAAUAUCCGUCCGUCUCUUUGAGNNNNNNNNNNNNNNNNNNNNNNNNNNNNNNNNNNNNNNNNNNNNNNNNNNNNNNNNNNNNNNNNNNNNNNNNNNNNNNNNNNNNNNNNNNNNNNNNNNNNNNNNNNNNNNNNNNNNNNNNNNNNNNNNNNNNNNNNNNNNNNNNNNNNNNNNNNNNNNNNNNNNNNNNNNNNNNNNNNNNNNNNNNNNNNNNNNNNNNNNNNNNNNNNNNNNNNNNNNNNNNNNNNNNNNNNNNNNNNNNNNNNNNNNNNNNNNNNNNNNNNNNNNNNNNNNNNNNNNNNNNNNNNNNNNNNNNNNNNNNNNNNNNNNNNNNNNNNNNNNNNNNNNNNNNNNNNNNNNNNNNNNNNNNNNNNNNNNNNNNNNNNNNNNNNNNNNNNNNNNNNNNNNNNNNNNNNNNNNNNNNNNNNNNNNNNNNNNNNNNNNNNNUUGUCGUCCCGGGGCCAAGUAUCGGGGUUGUUGUGUGCCUACCACAUGAUACUACAAUCUAUACCACAAUUUCCAAGUACCUAAGCAGCAUGCAAUUGGGCAUAGGAUGGUAGAACUACGAUGCAUAAAACAUAGGUGAUAGUAUGAUCAAAGUGACUUGCCUGGUAUUACUUGAUGAAGAUAGUCGCUCUCAAAAUCCUGAUAAUUCUACUCGCCACACUCCGAGCAAUCUAUCGUAAACAAAUAGCAUUCAAUAAACAUUCAUGCCAAAAAGGAAGAACCAAGAGAACAUAAGAACAAAACAUGUCUUUGUGCAAAAUAACAACAAACUAAGGUUUAAUAAAAAAAUAGGUUCUAAGUGUGUUGUAAAGUGAAGGUGCAUGAAUGAGAUCAAAAGAGGUAAUGGACGAUGAACUAUUGCUAAAUAAGCUCGACUUGCAUACACUGUGGGAGAUGAUCAAAAAUAUUGGGAGAACAACACGAAUGUUGUUUGACAAAUAGUAUAAGACAUAAGAAUUUAUUUGUAGAAAGAAUUUCUUGAAAUGGAGCACUACAACGCAAGUUAUAGCGAAUUGAAGUAUGAAUUGAAUUUGCAUUCAAAAGGUCAAGAGAAGUUGAACUGAAGUACGAUGGUUACGUACAAAAAUAUAUGACAUGAGUGUUUAGGGGUAAAAGGAAUCAAUUGAAAAGGUGGUACGAUUUGCAAGAUAAGAUCAAAUGAAUGUUCGAAUACAAAUUUGAAUCGCUCAAAUUUGUAAGGUUCAAAAGUCAAAACUAAUGAUGCUACUGGAUAUAGGAGAUCAAUAUGAGCGUGUAGAAAAAAGAAUUACUAGAUUUGAAAUAGCGGAUCAAAAGAUACAAAUACGUCAAUAUAACAUUGAAUCGGCUUAGAACGAUGUGAACACUUUUUGGCACUGAUAGAUAAAUCUGAUUUGAUCAAAAUUAUAAGUUGAAAAGUUAAAACUAAUGAUACAAACGGAAAGAUUACUUUGAUACGUAUCCGACGCAAUUGAAUUCAUCUAAAACGGAGCUACGGAUAAAAAGAUAUGAUCAAAAGAAGUUUGAAUAUGAAUAUGAACAAAUUUCGAAAUUUGAAAAUUUCAAAAAAGUUGAUAUGAUAGGUCAUCGGAUAGGUGGGAUCAAGACGAAACUCUAGGCGUUGGUUUCAUCUAAUUCGGAUAAACGAGUAAAAAGUUAUGGCUAUUUGAAAAAUCAAGGCCAAGCUGUUUUACAGAAGAAAAGUGCUAUGUCUAAAAGAAUUCUAGUACUAAUGUGUAAAUACGAAGACUAAAUAAUAUAUCUAAUUACUCUACCGUAUACUAGUGUAGGAAUACUAGUCUAGAAAUAAUAAACUACGGGAGUAUAAAAAAAAUACGAAGAGAAAUACCUUUAGAAUGCAGAGUAAGAAUUAAUUCCAAUGAGGAGACGACUUCGAGAAAUCCCGCCGAAGAGAAGAAAAAAUAUUUUUAUUUAAUAAAUCUAGUUAAACCAAAAGAUUGAUUUAACCCGAAAUAGAUGAUUUUUGGAUGCUCCUAUGGGUCUAUAUUUAUAGGUGGAAAGAAGGUUUAAUGGUCCAUAGAUAGGCGAUGUGGGACUAAACAUAUACGUAACGUGGAGAUAAAAGAAACAAAGCCUCUCAUGGGCCAGGUAAAGGUUCGGCCGGCUGCAAGAGGCGAUUCUUGCGAGCCGUGCCUUUUUUUUUGAACAAUGUUUUUUUCUUUUUUUUUUAAAAAGUGAAGAAAACGUAAAAAACGAAAAUAGAGAGAACAUUUUAUAUAGGUAUAUUAUAUAUCAAAAUUUUCAGAAUAAAAUUUCGUACAACAUGAACAUUUUAUUUUUCACAAAAUAAAAACUUUAUAAAAUUUUGUUUUUUAAAAAAUUCAAUAAAAUCCAAAUUUUGUCUUUAAAUUUUUGGCACUAUUUUUCUUCUGACUUUUCUUUUUUUUGGAGGGUGUCAUGUUACCUUCUCUCUUUCUUGCUUGGCAAGUAUAUUGUCAGGAAAAAAAAUUGUGGUUGAAAUAUUGUGCCAAAAAUAAAAUUGAAAUCAAAAACCAAAGGAAAAAAAAAUCAAAUGCCACAUUCAUUCAAAUUCUUUAUAGUUGAAGAAGUCAUGUUAUCUUCUCUCACUGAUUUUAAAUGGAUGAAUUUGAAUUCAAAAGAAAAAUGGGAAAGUCAUUUUAUUCCCUNNNNNNNNNNNNNNNNNNNNNNNNNNNNNNNNNNNNNNNNNNNNNNNNNNNNNNNNNNNNNNNNNNNNNNNNNNNNNNNNNNNNNNNNNNNNNNNNNNNNNNNNNNNNNNNNNNNNNNNNNNNNNNNNNNNNNNNNNNNNNNNNNNNNNNNNNNNNNNNNNNNNNNNNNNNNNNNNNNNNNNNNNNNNNNNNNNNNNNNNNNNNNNNNNNNNNNNNNNNNNNNNNNNNNNNNNNNNNNNNNNNNNNNNNNNNNNNNNNNNNNNNNNNNNNNNNNNNNNNNNNNNNNNNNNNNNNNNNNNNNNNNNNNNNNNNNNNNNNNNNNNNNNNNNNNNNNNNNNNNNNNNNNNNNNNNNNNNNNNNNNNNNNNNNNNNNNNNNNNNNNNNNNNNNNNNNNNNNNNNNNNNNNNNNNNNNNNNNNNNNNNNNNNNNNNNNNNNNNNNNNNNNNNNNNNNNNNNNNNNNNNNNNNNNNNNNNNNNNNNNNNNNNNNNNNNNNNNNNNNNNNNNNNNNNNNNNNNNNNNNNNNAAAGUCAUUUUAUUCCCUCUCAUUCAAAAGUUUUAAAUUUUUUCAAAUUCCACUCAAGUUUCAAUCACUCAAACAAACAAACUCUCAAUCUAAUAAUUAUAUUAACAUUCCAAAAUUUAUAAUUUUGGGAUGUUACAAGCUGAGUAUAAAGCCCUUGCUAAUGCCACUGAUGAGAUUAUUUGGGUACAAAAUCUGCUUACUGAAUUGGGUAUUCGUCAUCCUCCAUCAGCAUCUCUUUGGUGUGAUAAUUUAGGUGCCACUUAUCUGUCUGCUAAUCCUAUCUUCCAUGCUCGCACCAAGCACAUUGAAAUUGACUAUCACUUUGUGCAUGAAUGAGUUGCUCAGAAACUCUUAAAUAUUCGUUUCAUUCCUACUGGUGAUCAAGUGGCGGAUGGCUUCACUAAACCCCUCACAACUCGGCAUUUAGAAGUUUUUCGUCGCAAUCUCAACUUAGAUAAGUUGUGAUUGAGGGGGGAUGUUAGACAAUGUAAUUAUGGGUGAGUGUGUUUAAACUUGUAGGGAUAGAACGUUGGGAUUGAUCUUUGUAGUUAUUAUUCUCUUGUAGAUAAAGAUCAAUCCUAACAUCUUUCUAUCUCAUGUAAUCCUUGUGUAUUCGGUUGGCCUUUGAGCCUAUAUAACACGCAGUUGUCCCUGCCGACAAGGCAUACAAUUCUACCCCAUCUCUUCUCACACAUCGGGAGGGGUGUCACACCCCGGGAGGGGUGUCACACCCCAAGGGGCCUCAUGGGAUGUGGGAAGAGAUAAACCAGCCCCUAGUGGGCUGGAAUAAGUUCCCACUAAGGCCCAUGAGGUUUGAGAAGGAAAAAAACAAGGUGGAAAGAGUUUCCAAGUGGGAAGGAGGAAUCGUACUCCAAAUAGGAUUGGAGUAGGACUCCUCCUCCUCUCCCUUGUGCAAGGGAAGAGAAGGCUGCCCUAGGGCGCGCCCUCUCCCUCCUCUCCUCCUAUUCACACUAAGGGUUUUGAGGGUUUUUGGACAACAGAAAACAGCCAUGUGCUGCCCUCUCUCUCUAGAUCUAUUUCUCCUCUAGUUUCAGCGAUGCUUAGGCGAAUCCCUGCCGGAAUAGCACCACCACCACCACGCCGCCGUGCUGGAGAACUCAUCUACCUCUCUGGCCCCUCUUGCUGGAUCAAGAAGGUGGAGAUCGUCAUCGAGCUGUACGUGUGCGGAACGCGGAGGUGCCGUCCGUUCGACACUUGAUCGGGACGGAUCGUGGGACGAAUCGUGAGACGGUUCAUGGAACGGAUCGUGGGACGGUUCGUGGGACUCAUCAUGAAGACAUACCACUACAUCAACCGCGUUUAUUAACGCUUUCUCUUAGCGAUCUACAAGGGUAUGUAGAUUCACUCUCCCUCUCAUAGAUGAUCAUCCCCAUGGAUAGGUAUUGCGUGUGCGUAGGAAUUUUUUUGUUUCCCAUGCUACGUUCCCCAACAGUGGCAUCAUGAGCCAGGUUCAUGCAUAGAUGUAAUCUUGAGUAUUGUUAGAUUGAAGCGGCCCGGACCAACCUUACUCGUACGCUUACGAGAGACCGGUUUCAUCGACUAACAUGCAACUUGUUGCAUAAAGAUAACUGGCGGGUGUCUGUUUCUUCAACUUUAGUUGAAUCGGAUUUGACCAAGGCGGUCCUUGGAGAGAGGUUAAAUAGCAAUUUGCACAUCACCGUUGUUGUUUUGCGUAAGUAAGAUGUGAUCAUACUAGAUACCCAUAGCAUCCACGUAAAACAUGCAACAACAAAUUAGAGGACAUCUAACUUGUUUUUGCAGGGUAUGCAUGUGAUGUGAUAUGGCCAAAGACAUGAUGUGAUAUAUUGGAUGUAUGAGAUGAUCAUGUUGUAGUAGUUAAAUAUCGACAUGCACAUCGAUGCUACGGCAACCGGCAUGAUCCAUAGGGUUGUCUUUAAACUAACGUUUGUGCUUGCAGAUGCGUUUACUAUAUUGCUAGGUUGUAGCUUUAGUAGUGAUAGAAUUGAUAGCACGACAACCUCGAUGGCGGCAUGAUGAUGGAGAUCAUGGUGUGGCGCCAGUGACGAUGAAGAUCAUGCCGGUGCUUUGGUGAUGGAGAUCAAGAAGCACAAGAUCAUGGCCAUAUCAUGUCACUUAUGAAUUGCAUGUGAUGUUAAUCCUUUUAUGCACCUUAUCUUGCUUAGAACGACGGUAGCAUUAUAAGGUGAUCCCUCACUUAAAUUUCAAGAUAAAUUUGUGUUCUCCCCGACUGUGCACCGUUGCAACAGUUCGUCGUUUCGAGACACCACGUGAUGAUCGGGUGUGAUAGACUCAAGGUUCACAUACAACGGAUGCAAAACAGUUGAACACGCGGAACACUCGGGUUAAACUUGACGAGCCUAGCAUGUACAUACAUGGCCUCGGAACUCAAGAGACCAAAAGGUCGAGCAUGAAUCAUAUAGUUGAUAUGAUCAACAUGGAGAUGUUCACUACUGAAACUAUACGCAACUCACGUGAUGAUCGGACUUGAGUUAGUGGAUUUGGAUCAUGCACCACUCAAAUGACUAUAGGGAUGUCUAUUUUGAGUGGGAGUUAUUAGUAAUAUGAUUAGCUAAACUCAAUUAUCAUGAACAUAGUCAAAAAGGUCUUUGCAAAUUAUGUUGCAGCUUGCGUUGUAGCUCUACUAUUUUUAUAUGUUCCUAGAGAAAAUUUAGUUGAAAGAUGAUAGUAGCAAUUUUGCGGACUGACUCCGUAAACUGAGGAUUGUCCUCAUUGCUGCGUAGAAAGCUUAUGUCCUUAAUGCACCGCUCGGUGUGCUGAACCUCGAGCGUCAUCUAUGGAUGUUGCAAACAUCUGACAUACACGUUUCUGAUGACUACAUGAUAGUUGAGUGCGUAAUGCUUAACGACUUAGAAUUGGGGCGUCGAAGACGUUUUCAAACAUCACGGAACAUAUGAGAUGUUCCAAGAGAUGAAAUUGGGAUUUCAUGCUCGUGCCCUUGUUAAGAGGUAUGAGACCUCCGACAAGAUUCGUUGUCUACAAAGUAAGGGAGAAAAGCUCAAUCGUUGAGCAUGUGCUCAGAUUGUCUGAGUGCUACAAUCGCUUGAAUCGAGUGGGAGUUGAUCUUCCAGAUGAGAUAGUGAUGGUUCUCCAAAGUCACUGCCACCAAGCUACUAGAGCUUCGUGAUGAACUAUAACAUAUCAAAGAUACAUAUGAUGAUCCUUAAGCUAUUCACGAUGUUUGACAUUGCGAAAGUAGAAAUCAAAUAGGAGCAUCAAUUGUUGAUGGUUAGUAAAACCACUAGUUUCAAGAAGGGCAAGGGCAAGAAGGGAUACUUCAUGGAACAACAAACCAGUUGUUGCUCUAGUGAAGAGACGCAAGGUUGAACCCAAGCCCAAGACUAAGUGCUUCUGUAAUGAGGGGAACAGUCACUAAAGCGGAGCUACCCUAGAUACUUGGUAGAUGAGAAGUCUGGCAAAGUCGGCAUAAGUAUAUUUGAUAUACAUGAUAUUGAUGUGUACUUUACUAGUACUCCUAGUAACACGAGGGUAUUAGAUACCGGUUUAGUUGCUAAGUGUUAGUAACUCGAAAUAAAAGCUACGUAAUAAACGGAGACUAGCUAAAGGCGAGGUGACAAUAUGUGUUGGAAGUGUUUCCAAGGUUGAUGUGAUCAAACAUCGCACGCUCCCUCUACCAUCGGGAUUGGUGUUAAACCUAAAUAAUUGUUAUUUGGUGUUUGCGUUGAGCAUGAACGUGAUUGGAUCGUGUUUAUUGCAAUACGAUUAUUCAUUUAAAGAGAAUAAUGGUUAUUCUAUUUGCUUGAAUAAAUACCUUCAAUGGUUUAUUGAAUCUCGAUUGUAGUGAUACACAUGUUCAUAAUAUCGAUGCCAAAAGAUACAAAGUAGUAAUGAUAGUACCACUUACUUGUGGCACUGCCACUUGAGUCAUGUUGGUAUAAAAUGCAUGAAGAAGCUCCAUGUUGAUGGAUCUUUGCACUCACUCAUUUUUGAAACGUUUGAAGACAUGCAAACCAUACCUAUUGGUAUAAACGCAUGAAGAAACUCCAUGCAGAUGGAUCGUCUGGACUCACUUGAUUUUGAAUCACUUGGGACAUGCAAAUCAUACCACAUGGGCAAGAUGACUGAAGGCCUAGUUUCUAGUGAGAUGGAACAAGAAAGUAACUUGUUGGAAGUAAUACAUUUUUGAUGUAUGCACUCCAAUGAGUGCUGAGGCACGCAGUGGAUAUCGUUAUGUUCUUACUUCAUAGACGAUUUGAGUAGAUACAUGAGUAUUUACUUGAUGAAUCACAAGUCUGAAAUAUUGAAAAGUUCAAAGCUAUUUCAGAGUGAAGAUCGUCGUGACAAGAGGAUAAACUGUCUAUGAUAUGAUCAUAGAGAUGAAUAUCUGAGUUGCGAGUUUUGGUACACAGUUAAGACAAUGUGGAAAUUGUUUCGCAAUUCAUGCCACCUAGAACACCAUAGUAUGAUGGUGUGUCCGAACGUCAUAGCCGCGCCCUAUUUGAUAUGGUGCACACUAUGAUGUCUCUUACCGAAUUACCACUAUCAUUUAUGGGUUAUGCAUUAGAGACAACCACAUUCACUUUAAAUAGGGCACCACGUAUUUUCAUUGAGAUGAAACCGUAUGAACUAUGGUUUGGAUAAACCUAAGUUGUCGUUUCUUAAAAGUUUGGGGCUGCGAUGCUUAUGUAUAAAAGUUUAAGCAUGAUAAGCUCGAACCCAAAGCGGAUAAAUGCAUCUUCAUAGGACACCCAAAACAGUUGGAUAUACCUCCUAUCUCAGAUGCGGAAGCAAAGUAUUUAUUUCUAGAAACGAGUCCUUUCUCAGGAAAAGUUUCUCCCGAAAGAAUUGAGUGGGAGGGUGGUGGAACUUGAUGAGGUUAUUGAACCGUCACUUCAACCAGUGUGUAGCAGGGCGCAGGAAGUUGUUCCUAUGGCGCCUACACCAGUUGAAUUGGAAACUGAUGAUAGUGAUCAUUAAGCUGCGGAUCAAGCUACUACAAACCUCGUAGGCCGACAAGGCCGCGUACUGCUACAGAGUGGUACGCUAAACCUGUCUUGGAGGCCAUGUUGUUGAACAACAAUGAACCUACGAGCUAUGGAGAAGCGAUGGUGGGCUCGAAUUCUGAUAAAUGGCUGGAGGCCAUGAAAUCCGAGAGAGGAUCCAUGUAUGAAAACAAAUUGUAGACUUUGGAAGAACUACUUGAUGGUCGUAAGAUCAUUAAGUACAUAUGGAUCUUUAAAAGGAAGACAGACGAUGAUGGUGAAAAGUCACCGUUAAGAAAAGCUCGACUUAUCGCAAAGAUGUUUCCGACAAGUUCAAAGAGUGGACUAUGAUGAGACUUCCUCACUCGUAGCGAUGCUAAAAGUCUGUUGGAAUUAUGUUAUCAGUUCCUGCAUUAUUUAUGAAAUAUUGCACAUAGGAUGUCAAAACAUUGUUUCCUCGACGAUUUCUUUGAGGAAAGGUUGUAUGUGAUACAACCAGAAGGUUUUGUCGAUCCUAAGGAUGCUAACAAGUAUGCAAGCUCCAUCGAUCCUUCUAUGGAAUGGUGAAAGCAUCUCGAAGUUGGAAUAUACGCUUUGAUGAGAUGAUCAAAGCUUUUGGGUUUAUACAAGGUUUAUGAGAAACUUGUAUUUCCAAAGAAGUGAGUGGGAGCACUAUAGAAUUUCUGAUAAGUAUAUGUGGUUGACAUAUUGUUGAUCGGAAGUAAUGUAGAAUUUCUGGAAAGCAUGAAGGGUUGUUUGAAAGGAGGUUUUCAAAGGAAAACAUGGAUAUAUCUACUUGACCAUCGAGCAUCAAGAUCUAUAGAGGUAGAUCAAAAUGCUAAACAGAACUUUCAAUGAAAUGCAUGCCUUGACAAGUUUUUGAAGGAGUUCAAAAUAGAUCGGCAAAGAAGGAGUUCUUGGUUGUGUUGUAAGGUGUGAAUUUGAGUAAGACUCAAAGCCCGACCACGGCAGAAGAAAUAGAAAGGACGAAGGUCGUCCCCUAUGCAUUAGCCGUAGGCUCUAUAGAAUGAUAUAUUGUGUACCGCACCUGAUGUGUGCCUUGCCAUGAAUCUGUCAAGGGGUACAAAGAGUGAUCCAGGAUUGAAUCACUCAACAACAGUCAAAGUUAUCCUUAGUAACUAAUGAACAUCCAUUCUGCACCACAUGAGGCCUAUGAAGUGUGUGGCUUUCGAAUGCGCUUAGGCAUUUCUAUGGCUGACAAGUGCUUGUUAUAUGUUAAUCUUAUCUUUUUUACUAUUGCAGGUCCAUAUUUGAUUGCACAAUUUUAUUGAUACAUAUGGAUGUUUAGUACCACAUUUGAUUUCACUUUAAUAGGAUGUUUAGUGCACCACAUGAGCCAACAUUUUCAGUAACUGAAUUUGUUCUUCAUAUUUUAGUAAGUGAAUCUCUUUAGUGCACCACAGAGGCAACAUUUUCAGUUAACUGAAUUUGUUCUUCAUAUUUGCUGCAAAUCUUUCAAUAGGCAUAUGGAAGUGUAAUGAGUUAUCAUAUUUCAGUUAUCUUGACCAUUUCUAGUUUACAAACUUUACCAUGCUAGUGUAAUAAGUUUAUAAAUUCAUAAUUGUCAAAUGCAUGAAAAUGGUGUGAAUUGUGGGAUUGCAUAGUGGCUUGACAAGGCUUGGCCUCAUGUUCUUCAGAGAUGUUUGUUCAAGCUAUGGGAAAUGUUCCAUGAGCAGAACCAUGGAAGGGUACUUGACAUGCAGAAGCUUGAGGAGCGGUUGGCCAAGCUUAAGGCUGGGAAUGUCAAGCUUUGCAUUGAGUACAACAAUCUUGUUAAAGAUGUUUGAUUGGCGGGAUGAGAGCGUGGGAAAAAUGGAUUACAAGAAGGCAGUGGAGGAGGAAGAGUUUGAGAAGAAGAAUAAGGAGCUAGAGGAGAAAGCUAGGUUGGAGGUGCACAUGGGAAAGCUAAAACUUGCUUAGGAGCAAAGGUACAUUUUGCAAACCUAAGUUGACAUUAUCCAAAACACCAGGAAGGCUAUGAAGGAAGUUGAAGUGUNAGUCCAUCCUUGAGUCUUUAAGUGAUGGUUAUGGUGCUAAUGUGUUGGAAAUAUGCCCUAGAGGCAAUAAUAAAUUAGUUAUUAUUAUAUUUCUUUGUUCGUGAUAAUCGUUUAUUAUCCAUGCUAUAAUUGUAUUGAUUGGAAACACAAAUACAUGUGUGGAUACAUAGAAAAAACACAGUCCCUAGUAAGUCUCUAGUUGACUAGCUUGCCGAUCAAAGAUGGUUAAGGUUUCCUAACCAUAGACAAGUGUUGUCACUUGAUGACGGGAUCACAUCAUUAGGAGAAUGAUGUGAUGGACAAAGACCCAAACUAUAAACGUAGCGUAUGAUCGUGUCAGUUUAUUGCUAUUGUUUUCUACAUGUCAAUGUAUGUGUUCCUAUGACCAUGAGAUCAUGCAACUCCCGGACACUAGAGGAAUACCUUGUGGGUUAUCAAACAUCCCAACGUAACUGGGUGACUAUAAAGGUGCUCUAUAGGUAUCUCCAAAGGUGUUUGUUGGGUUGGCAUAGAUCAAGACUGGGAUUUGUCACUCCGUGUAAGGGAGAGGUAUCUCGGGGCCCACUCGGUAAUACAACAUCACAAUAAGUCUUGCAAGAAAUGUGACUAAGUAGCUAGUUACUGGAUCUUGUAUUACGGAACGAGUAAAGAGACUUGCCGGUAACGAUAUUGAACUAGGUAUGGAGAUACCGACGAUCGAGUCUCGGGCAAGUAACAUACCGAAGGACAAAGGGAAUAGUAUACGGGAUUAUAUGAAUCCUUGAUAUAGAGCUUCAACCGAUAGAGAUCUUCGUAGAAUAUGUAGGAUCCAAUAUGGACAUCGAGGUCCCGCUGUUGGUUAUUGACCGGAGAGUGUCUCAGGUCAUGUCUGCAUAGUUCUUGAACCCGCAGGGUCUGCACACUUAAGGUUCGGUGACGUUUCGGUAUAGUUGAGUUAUAUGUGUUGGUGACUGAAGGUUGUUAGGAGUACUGGAUGAUAUCCCGGACGUCGUGAGGGUUUCCAGAAUGGUCCGGAAAUGAGGAAUGAUAUAUAGGAAGUCCUGUUUUGGUCACCGGAAAAGUUUCGGGCUCAUCGGUAGUGUACCGGGAGUGCCAGGAGGGGUGCCGGGGACCAUCGGGAGGGGUGUCACGCCCAAGGGGCCUCAUGGACUGUGGGAAGAGAUAAAUCAGCCCCUAGUGGGCUGGAAUAAGUUCCCACUAAGGCCCAUAAGUUUGAGAAGGAAAAAAACAAGGUGGAAAGAGUUUCCAAGUGGGAAGGAGGAAUCGUACUCCAAAUAGGAUUGGAGUAGGACUCCUCCUCCUCUCCCUUGCGCAAGGGAAGAGAAGGCUGCCCUAGGGCGCAGACCUCUCCCUCCUCUCCUCCUAUAUAUACUAAGGGUUUUGAGGGGUUUUGGACAACAGAAAACAGCCAUGUGCUGCCCUCUCUCUCUAGAUCUGUUUCUCCUCUAGUUUCAGCGAUGCUUAGGCGAAGCCCUGCUGGAAUAGCACCACCACCACCACCACCAUGCCGCCAUGCUGGAGAACUCAUCUACCUCUCUGCCCCCUCUUGCUGGAUCAAGAAGGUGGAGAUCGCCAUCGAGAUGUACGUGUGCGGGACGUGGAGGUGUCGUCCGUUCGGCACUUGAUCGGGACGAAUCGUGGGACGGAUCGUGAGACGGUUCAUGGGACGGAUCUUGGGACGGUUCGUGUGACUCAUCGUGAUGACGUACCACUACAUCAACCGCGCUUAUUAACGCUUCCGCUUAGCGAUCUACAAGGGUAUGUAGAUUCACUCUCCCCUCUCGUAGAUGAUCAUCACCAUGGAUAGGUAUUGCAUGUGCGUAGGAUUUUUUUGUUUCCCAUGCUACGUUCCCCAACAUAAUGUACAUCCGAGACAUGUAUAAGCAUGUGGCUUAAUUGUGUGAAGUGAAGAUAUGGGUGUACAUUUUGGGGCAAUGUGAAGUCUAGGAUCUAAUUUGAACUCUAGUAGCUUAUGUAUGUAUGAACCAUAUUUGCUAUGUUCCUAAGUUUGUUGUAAUGGAUCUUCUAUGCUAUGUUCUUAAGUAUGUUGUAAUGCAUCUUUCAUGUUGUGUCUAUCUAUUUUCUGUCAUCACACCUUGUGACAUAUUGUUCUUAAUUGUGCUUUAUUGGCCCUACUCUUCCUUCUAGAAGGGAACCUUAGAACUUCUUCUUCAUUAGUAAGGCCUAAAUCACCUACAAAGCAGUAUUUAUGAGGUUGAGGCACAUAAUCUGCAAAGUUGGUGUGCUCAGGAUCACUAUGUGACUUGCUAGUUGGCCCUGGUUUUCUCACGGGUUUAAUCUUCUUUGUUCCUUUCUGAGGUAAAACUAAAGGUUCCUCCGCUUCCUCCUCGGAAAGGAUUUUACGUUCCUCCCAAAGCUCAGAAGUUUUUGAGUUAGCUCUACAAUAGUGAUCUCUUGUAUCUUCCUCUUCCCUCUGCUUCUGGCUUGUCCCUGUGCCAGCCUCAUCUUCACCACUAGCCCAAGCCUUGUAUGAUAUAUUCUGCCCUCUAUGAUCAUCCCUGAAAAACUCAAAGUCUGAAGAGGAUUUGUCCAUCUCAUCAUCAUCUUCAUCUUCUUCUUCUUCCACACCAUUUUUCCUUGUUGAAAUUGCAACUUUGCCUGUGUUAAGAUAGGGCUCAUCAGAGUUUACUGGUGGCAAAGUUGAAUCAGAGGCUGGAUAGAGGACACCUUCUUGGGAAACCUUGUGAAUAACUAGCUCACCGGCAUUAUUAAUAGGAAUUUGUUCCUCAAGGAAGAUGUGAUCCAUAUUAACAUCUGUUGGGCUAGGAUCAGUAGCUUUUCUGAGAGAGAUAUUGAGGAUCUUCUUAUCAACAAAUAGGUCAAACAUUUCCUCUACUUUCUCCUCACUAUCCAGGACCUCCACCCCCUCCAAGCCCUUCCCCUCUUCCUUUACAUAAGUGAGAAAAACAUCCAUUCCAUAAACCUCCAACUCAACCAAUGCCAUAUGGUCAGAUAACUAAUAUCUGAAGAAAUUGAAUAGUUUCUCUCCAUAUUAUCCAUUCCUUAAAAAUGUAGCCUCCUGUCCCAAAUUUCAUCAUCUAAGUUGUAGGAGAUUAAAUUGAAAAAAGAAGCAGAUUAAUUAUAAAGCACUAAAACUCUAUAACAACUGCUUACUGUAAGUUAAAACACUCACCAAAUGCACUCAACAUGGCUAUAAAAGGUACUAAUUACAGUGACAUAACCCAAAAUAUGCACUCCCAUGGCAACAAACAAUUACACUGCUCAUUUGCAAUAUUGCACUAACUUCUAACCCUGAUUACAGUACUUGUUUUCUAAUAAGUAAGUGUCUUCUAACGCUAAUUUCAAAAUUUAAACUUAAACUGUGAAUGCUACUGAAAUUACUUACCUCACUCCACCAAACGAUGACGUCCACCUGUGGCUGCUCUUUGGAUCUGCGUGAAUGCACUUCGACACUACACUCGCCGUACGGAAUGCCAGAUCUAGCUGGACCUCUCACGGUGACGGCUGGGGCGACCGCUGAGUUGGAAAACUCGAGUCGCCCAACCAUUUGUCAACCUCUUCAUGCCCAUCACCCUCAUCGCCGGUGCCGCCUUGGCCCAGAGGCUCGCCGCCUAUGACGUUUGGUUGGGCCGCCGUCGUCGCACCUAAGUCAAAGAGCGGGAGCUGGGGUGAAGAAGGGAAGGGGAGAGUGAGACAAAGGGCGGCCCAACCAGCUUCUUUGGUUCCAACCGCACCGGUCGGCGUAACGGUUGUUCACGACCGCGCCGUGAGCGUGAUGGGCCACGUGGCGUGAGUGGUGGGCUCAUUUGGUCAGAAAACGGAUUAAAAUGCUUGUGCCGAGAGUUUGGUUUUUUUUUAAACAGCCCAUCCCCGACUUGAUACUUAUGAGUGAAAACAUGAUAAUUUUUCAAAACGAUUUAUAAUACUCCAGGUUUAUGCUAUUUACUCCCGUUAGGAUGCUACCUCCAAAAGUGAGUCAAGAAACACCAUACUUUGUUUAGGAAUUUUCCAAACCCAUGUACAUACAUGUUCGUAUGGUUACAUGGAAUGGAUAGCUGGUAGGCGCAUGCGGCAUCCGCAUGCCGAUGGUCGAUAGAGAAGAGAGGAGCAAACGGAGGGAAGGCACGGCCUCUUGCUAUUAUUACACAGAGCUGAGAAGUCGAAGGCGAGUGACAGCCACCCAUGAAUGCGCGCCCUGGCCGCGGCGCGCGGGGGCUCCUCCGUUGACCGCCUCGGUAUUAAGCGCGAGCCGGACGUGUCACAGCACCGCAAGGCCUUGCUGCACGCACGCACGCACGCACGCACCUUGCUUGGAUCCAUCCAUGGACGCCUGUCGCCUGGUCCUAGUUCUCGGCCUCCUCGCGGCCGUGGCGCCGCUGGCCUUCGCCGAGCUCUCCGCCGACUUCUACAAGGACUCCUGCCCGGAUGCCGAGAAGAUCAUCGCCACCGUCAUCGAGAAGAACCUCAAGGCGGACCCCGGCACCACCGCCGGCCUCCUCCGCCUCCUCUUCCACGACUGCUUCGCCAAUGUACGCAUGCAUCCUCACUUGGUUCUUGAUUAGGAUCCGAUCCCAUCAAUGGAGAGAAAAUGUGAUCGAGUUGCUCUGCCUCUGCUUGCAUGCAUGAAUGCAUGGAUGGAUAUGUUAGGGGUGCGACGCGUCCAUCCUCAUCGACCCGCUGUCCAACCAAAGCUCGGAGAAGGAGGCCGGUCCCAACAUCUCGGUGCGCGGCUUCGAGAUCAUCGACGAGGCCAAGAAGGAGCUGGAGGCCAAGUGCCCCAACGUGGUGUCCUGCGCCGACAUCAUCUCCCUCGGCACCCGCGACGCCGUGCGCCUCUCCGGUGGCCCGGACUACGCGGUCACAACCGGCCGCCGCGACUCGCUCGUCUCCAACCGCGAGGAGGCCGACGACAACCUGCCCGGCCCGGACAUCCCCGUGCCCAAGCUCAUAGCCGACUUCGUAAAGUCCGGCUUCACCGCCGAGGAGAUGGUGCUGCUGCUCGCUGGCGGCCACAGCAUCGGCAAGGUCAGGUGCAUCUUCAUCGAGCCAGACGCCACGCCCAUGGAGCCGGGCUACCACGCCAGCAUCAGCAAGCUCUGCGACGGGCCCAACCGGGAUACAGGCUUCGUCAACAUGGACCAGUCCAACCCCAACGUCGUUGACAACUCCUACUUCGCCAACGCCAUCGCCGAGAAGAUGCCGCUCACCAUCGACCGCCUCCUCGCCAUCGACUCCAAGACGGGGCCCAUGCUCAAGGACAUGCUCAACAAGCCCACAGACUUCCUGCCAGCAUUCGGCAAGGUCAUGGAGAAGCUCACCACGCUCAAGGUCAUCACCGGCAAGGACGGCGAGAUCAGGAAGACAUGCACCGAGUUCAAUAACCCCAUGACCUCCGACGGCCCCUCGGUCAUACGGAUCAGCUCCGUCGACCCCGAGGACCUGGAUGGCUUGUCGGCCGGCAACAAGCAGGAGCAGGUGUCAAGCAUCGUCUCGCAGGGGACAAAGGAAAAGGACGCACAGCAGGCGGUCCCCGACGACAAGGCGGCCGGUGCCACCAAAGCGCACCACAAGAAGGCUUCCGGCAGGCACAUCAAGCUCCGCGGCGCCAACCCCGAGUAGAAGCAGUGCGCGUGAGCGCGUCAGUAUACUGCUGCACCACGUACGUAAUUACGAGCUGUCGUCCCGUCCCCCGCACCGGCGACGCGCGUAGGCCUCCAUCAGCAGUCUCUCCAUCAAAUUCGUUAAUUGCAUUUCGAAAUAUUCUUCUUCUUCAUCUCAGUACCCUCUCCCUUGAUUGUAGAAGGAAUGAGCGACGUACUAUACUACGGCUAGUUAAUUAUAACUAAUAGGUUUGGUUCAACUUUUCUGUAACUAAUGUCGCGUCGAGUUUUAAACAGCGACCAAAGCACUCUGGUUUGUUUCAUUUUUUGUUGUAAUUGUUCUUCUGACCAGUUUCUUUCGCUGGGUGCCGAAUAAAAAUGUGCCUGUUUUGCUUUUGGCUUCCCUGUAUACAGACAGAGUCAUACUCCCUCCAUAAUGUAGUACGGUUUUUGACACUACUACAUUAUGGGACGGAGGGAGUACAUUGUAUUUGUUUUGAUAGAUGCACUAUACUUUGUGCAUUAGUCCUUUCAUCCCAUAAUUUAAGAGUAUUUUUUUACACUAGUUUAGUACUUCCUCCGUCACGGUUUAGAAGGCACGUUUGAAAAAACUCUCAAACCAAGAUAGUCGUCGAUUGGUUGUAAGAUGUAACAUGUGUAAAUGCUAAUGCGCCUAAUCAACUGAGAAAAUAAUAGUACUAAUGUGUGAGCAACAAAUUGGGAGGGCGCAUGCAUGAGUAGUACUAUUACUAAUUAAUAGAAGUAAUUGCUUUCGGGCCUUAAACCUUGUCUAUUUUAGAAAUGCACGUAAGUUUAAGUGUGUCUUCUAAACCGUGACGUAAGAAGUAUCAAUAAUGCUAUUUUAUUACGGAACGAAGGGAGUAUAAUUUUAAGACUAAAUGAUAAAUGUGACGUGCAUCACACGAAGCACUCUCAUCCUAACAAUUUUCACAACUAAAGUUAUCUUCUAAAAAGAAAAAGAAAAAUGCAAAAGAAAAAACUUGCCACCGAGAAGAAUGUUGACAUGCUUGAGAGUUAAAUUGUCACCAUUGCAUCACUAAACUAAAACCGGUCGGAGUUGUCAUGUGUUCGUACCAUAUGUGUGACAUUCAUAAGGGUCCUUUGAAAGUUAUAGGGUGUGAAGGUGAGCGGGUGCAUACUUUUUUUUCUAACACAGGACAAACGCAACGCCCAUACAUACGUGCACAUACUCAUUUCUUUAAACGCUUACACACAUCCUAUCUCUAUGAGCACCUUCAAAAGAUUGAACGACACAUCAUCUUGAAAUUGACAAAGUCUUCACAAACGCCUUUGUAGUAGACGAGAACGUCUUUUUUAUGAACAUGCAUCAUCGGAUGGACUACAAUAAAUCCAGAAAAAUGCAAGCACCAGUCUAGAAAUUGAACUCCACUGCGCUGAAGAUACCACUAUCAUCCAAACCAUCCAACCAUAGAUCGGUUGGCGCGGGUGAUAGAGAAUAUUUCUUCAUGUGUGGUUUUGGUAAUUCAUGACAAUCCCUAUGGUAUGGUAAACACACAAAGACUGAAUCAAGUUGAUCAACACAUAUAAUAUACAAGAUGUACCGAGAGGGAUCAAGUGAUCCCAUGGUAUGGUAAUCAUUGUUCAUUACGCUUUGUGUACUAACCCAUGGUCUACGUGAGAGUUCCAUGUGGGGAUAGAUAUGUUUCCAUGUGUUUGCGUCAAGGGGAAGAUCUCAUACAACCCAUAGAGGAUGACAUCAAAUGGUGAUUGUCAUCAAGAUUGCAGUGUGCAAGUUCAAGUGGAGCAUCACAAAGAGAUCCUCUCCCNNNNNNNNNNNNNNNNNNNNNNNNNNNNNNNNNNNNNNNNNNNNNNNNNNNNNNNNNNNNNNNNNNNNNNNNNNNNNNNNNNNNNNNNNNNNNNNNNNNNAAAGUCAUUUUAUUCCCUUUCAUUCAAAAGUUCUAAAAAGUUUCAAAUUCCACUGAAGUUUCAAUCACUCAAACAAACAAACUCUCAAUCUAAUAAUUCUAUUAACAUUCCAAAAUUUAUAUUUUUGGGAUGUUACAAACUACCACACUUAAAAUGAAUCUCGUCCUUGAGAUUCGAAGAGGCUAGAAAGAAAGGUUUAGAUUUUGGAGGUCUUCUAACAAAUCCAAUCUCCUGCAAAGUGGGGUGCUACCACACUUAAAAUGAGUGUUACUGGUCGCUCAAAUUUUUAACAAUCCUCUGGGGUCUUGGCAUCUCGCUUGUCACAUUCUUCAUGGUAACUUCUUUGGUGAAGUUCUUCCAUUAUAUUCAUAAUGUUUUCUAUCAAAAUCGAGUACUCUUCUGUUGAUAUAAGCCUCUUCCGUCACUGGGUCUUCUUAACUGACAAGUCUCGUGACCAUUCUAAAUAACCUAUCGAUGAUUCUCAUGGUGGUCUACCAUUUGUGGUUAUCCUGCAGAGAGAAGGGUCUUGGCUUCAUCCUCACCGUAAAAUUUCCUACGCGUGACAACAAGUGCCAUGUACAUGGGCUUUCAUUAUACCAUUCUAAGGCUUAAAAAAAGGCUUCAAAGAACGUCGUCUCUCACUGUGGGUAACUCUCUCAGAUUUACCUUUCCGAAUAGCAAGAGAAUGAUAAGAGUAAGUCAUCAUGGUGGCCAAGCCAUGUCGCACUGAAAUCAUUACCUUGUAUAAGGUUUAGUGAAUCUCGUAUACUAACACUUGUGCAUCCUCACAAGCGUUGCAGAGUUUCUCUUGUCCACGAACGAAGUUCGGAUAAACCAUUGGUUCUGCAAGUUGAACAAAACAUCUAUCGUUUCUUCACCUCUCUCAGGUUGUCGUAUGCUCCUAAGAAAACGUUUGCUGAUACAAGUUUCCUUCUCCAAAAAUAUAGUACUUGAUCCUUGUUAGUCCCGGGGUCUGUGGGUUUCAGGCAUACUUGGGGUAAAUGUGACACGCCGCUGGGUAGUGGGUGGUUCCUUCACAAAGGAAACAAGUCACCUGACUGCUUGGGCACUCCUCAGCUGGGUGAUUUUCUUCACAAUGAGUGCAUCCAUCCUUGUGUUCUUCCUGGGUGUGUCCUAUUUCUCCACAGAUCUUGCAUGCACAAGUCUUCUUCUUCGGAUUAUCAUAGCACUUCUGAAUAAGUCGGGAUCUUAAUAGAGUCUUCUUGAAUUCGUCCCAAGUUUUUGCUCCGCUAAAUCCUUGUAUGGCAUGAUGCAUUUUCCACCUGAUAGCAGCACUUUGGGUAAAGUACUAAAGAGCGUGUUCCACUUCAUACUUCCUUGAGAUCAAGUUGCUCCCGAAGUGGUUCUCCAUGGUUUGAAUCCAUAUAUCAGCCUCCAGCUGGGUCAUUGGUCCAGAGACUACAAGUCCAGCUUCAUACUCCAUCUGGUAGGAUUAAGGUUUUGGGGAUGAGACGGGUAAGAGAGGGAGGGAGAUACACACAAUACAAACAAUAUUUUUGAGAAUAGGUUUUAUUUGUGGCCGUCGGAAAACACACACCAAAGACGGCUCACAAAUCAUCGUAUCUAACGUGGGUAUAUUACAGGGGUUUGGACUUCUAAUGGUCAUAUAAAUAUUUGAACGCUUCAGGGUCUUCGAAUUCUUCGGGUCUUGAGAGUCUUCAAUUGGUGUAGCUUCAAUUGCAUGAUGAAAUCCUCUUUAUUUUGAAGUAGAACUCCGUUGAUUCUUCAUGAGGUCAAAGGGGUAAGGGUAUUGUCUAACUAUUGGAGGUGAGAGAGGACAUUUGAUGAAGUCAGAAGAGAUGAGAGGUAAAGAAUGUUCUUGGAAAUAAAAUUUUAGAGAGAUCCUUUCCUAAGAGAUUUCCAGUUUCUAGGGUUACGUCCUAUAGUCAACAUGUGCUCUGAUACCAUUUCUGUAGCGACCCGACUCAAAACGAGUCAAGCCUCUGUGUUUCUGUGCCAUCCCUGGAUCAGUAUGCUGGCACACACAGUACAUCAAUGUAUAUAUNNNNNNNNNNNNNNNNNNNNNNNNNNNNNNNNNNNNNNNNNNNNNNNNNNNNNNNNNNNNNNNNNNNNNNNNNNNNNNNNNNNNNNNNNNNNNNNNNNNNCGACGCUCUUCCGAUCUGGUGGGGGGUGGGGAAAGGGCGCUGACUGAAAUGUCCGCCCCGCCAACCGCUUUCCUGGGAUACAAGGCACCGUAUAGGCGAGGUGAAAACCUGUGUUUUCACGGGUCGGGGAGAGGAUUUUGCCGCGCCCUUCAAAACAGUCUACGGUUCGGACGCGUUUUCGGGGUUUGAUCGGACAACAUUUUCCGUACAAACCCGUAUUUUGACGGUUAUUUUGCGGGUCGGGACAUUAUACGGGAUCUGCUAGAAUGCUCUUAAUUGUGUUUUUGAAAAAGGUUGUGCAAGCUUAUAUUUUUUUAUUAAAAGUAUUUCACUCAAUUGAUAUAUCAGGUGAUACAACCGUAAUGAAAGAAUGUUCAGUCUCUGCACAGCGUGAUGCACACAGCCAACAAGCCCAACUAACCUAAAAAAGAAUAUCGCUUUACAGCAAAAAUAAACCAAUCCAGUCUAUGAUGGGGCAAAUCAUAUCCGAAGAUUACACGUCAUUCAUAUCAAAAGAAAACCUCCUAGUUGUAUGCUUCAGCCGGUGUAGUUAGAGAAAAAAAUUUACUAGUGUAAAAGUGACUUGCACCAGCAAAUCGAGGCGAUUUACAGAUAGUCACUCCCUCAUUUGACACAUAUCUAAAAAAAAGUGUUCGUAAUUGCGUCAAUUAUUUUAUGGACUACAAGGAGCAAGAAAAUAUAUACUGACACAGAUAGUCUUGCAUGUGUUGCCUAAAAAAAAAAAGAUAGCCUUGCAUUGCAUGUGUUGCCGUAAUAAAAAAUACAACAGCCUUGAACGGAUGAUGGGCAACCGUCCGCGCCCAAAUCAGAUCGGUCAAAUCACGCGUAGUACUCCUACACAGAGACAAAUAAAGCCAAGACUGUACAGCAAUCGCGAUAGCGUCAGGACUCGGCGGAGCUCGAUCACCACAGCCCUCCUCUCCUCCUCACCCAUCCCAGCGGCCCGGGUUUGGGCUCGGCGCCGCGGCCAAAUCUUUCGCGGCCGCAAUCGCACGGGCCAAACGAGCAGUCCAGCCCCAGCCCCGACGAUGGCGGCGCCGGCGGCCGGGUACGGCGCGGACGGCGUGUACCGCUCGCUGCGCCCGCCGGCGCGCAUCCCGUCCGACCCAGGCCUGUCCGUCGCCGACCUCCUCCUCCGCCGCGCCGACGCGUGCCCGUCCGCGCCCGCGCUGAUCGACGCCGCCACGGGCCGCGCGCUCUCCUUCGNNNN
rnacentral:lncRNA from 1 species